UCCAGAAACCUAGAUCUAUCAAACAAACAAAAUAGAAGUUGUGGUUAUUUUGCCAACAUGAAGGAAGAACCACAUUGAAAAUCAUAAUAUCAUUAAGAAAUAAUCGUUAAGAUGUGAACAUAUAGUUUUUUUUUUUUGCGUAUUACAAUAUAAAAAAACUCAUAACAUGUUUUCAAGUUAGUGUUGGGUUACAAAGUUGGUUGUUUGUGUUGGGUCUAUUAGUGUCUAAGUUCAAGAGGGGAGGGGUGAAUUGAACUUAUAAAAUUUUCGCAAGAACACACAAUUUUUCAGUAUUCCAGAGGCAAAAAGAACAGAUUGUUUUUACAUGAAACAGAUUGAUUCUUCAGAGCAGUCUUGGCACAAUUUGAAUUUGUUCAAUGUGAAAUUGUGAUCAACAGAGAAUUAUAACAGAAUCAGAUCAGCUUAAUAUUGUGAGGAUGAAGGGUACAACUAUGCUUAGAAAUCAAACAAAGUUACUUAACACAAGGUUUUAAGAAGAAUGAUCCUUUCUCAGAUUUUAAUGAAUGGACAGUUUGUUCACAAAUCACUUAAACCAUUAUAUACAGCCGCCUUGUUUAUGAUCAGAGAACUUUAACAAAUCAGGAAGAAUAGUUUUCACUUAAACCCAGAAUUAACAGAUUCAAUUUCAAAAGAACAGAUUUAGUUCUUGACAGAAUUAAGCAAAACCAGAAAUGAGUGCAGGGAUGAGAAGACAAGGCACACAAGUUUUUAUACUGGUUCACUCAUACAGAGCUACAUCCAGUCUCACCUUACCCCAAGGUGGAAUUCACUAAAAACAGUACCAAUUACUUACAAACACAGCAGUUCUUGAACACUACAAGAACAACACACACAAUGCUGAAAAACCCUAUUUCAGCACACCUUGCACUCCAAGAAACCCUAUCAAGGAGUGACUAACACUUACACAUUUACAAAACAGAAUAAAGGAAAGAUUACACCUGAAAAGAAGAUGCAAGAACUCAAAACCAGUAGUUCAAUUUGCUGCAGAACUGCACCAGCACCUUCACCAAGAUCAAAGGUUUCCUAGAACAAGCACACUUGAAAAUCUCUUUGGAAAACCUUUCAAAAGUCUUUCAAUCCUUCUUCUCACAUGGAAAAUGUUUGAUCUCUGUCAAAAACGUAAUUGCUCAGCACACUCUCAUGUGAGAUAGACUUUUCUUUAUAUAAAAAACAGUUUCUAACUUCUUUUCAAAAAGCAGUUAUGAAAACAACAGAUUCAUUUUUGAACUUAACAGAUUUAUUUUAUGAAAACCGCCAACUCAGCUAACUGAAAUAACUGUCUGAGUUGUACCUUUGGUGCCCUAACUAACUUGUGAAAAACCUUUCAACUGAUCAAAGGGCAAACCGAUUCUUUCACAGUGAAACAGAUUAAAUGAAGGCAAGUGGGCCAGCUCAGCUUUAACUGAAAUAACGAACUAAGCUUUGCCUGUGGUCUCUAACAGAACUUUUAGAAAAGCCUUUUAACAGAGAAGAAAUAAACAGAUUCUUUCUCCAUAAAACAGAUUUAUUUGUGUACUGAUUUAAAACUUUUAAAAACAUUUUAAAAAGCUUUUCAAAACCCAUUUAACCACAUCAUGUGCUUGAUCUAGACUUGGUUAGGCAUCUAGGAUAGGUUAUACAACAAAAGGCAAUCAUACACAAUUACAAGCCUAAUUACAAAUGAAUCUAAAAGCCUAUUACAAUCUUCAAAGCACUCAAGCCAUUUUCUUCAUCAAACACAUAACAAGCCUUGGUAGGGAAGAAGCUUCCUCCAGCUUCAACAGUUUGUUGUUAACCCUAAACAUGUUUUGUUAUCUCUAUAAUAUUGUGUUUAACCUAGAUCUCACAAUAUAAUUAUGAGUAUAUUUAUUUAUUUAAAGAGAUUGUGUAAGGACUUAGAAAAUAACUUUAGAGUAUAAAUAUUAUAUUUAAAAUGACAUCUAAAUAUUUUAUUAUCAAAGUAAAAACUUCAUAUAAAUGGAAAAUGUAGUUAUUCAAACUUUAUUUUAAAAUAAUCAAUACUUUUUAGAAAAUCUUUUUCUUUUCUUAUUUGCUUUCUCUCUAAAUUUUUGACAUCAUCAUUUGACAAUCAAAGUCCACAUUUGGAUUACUGGUAGUGAAUAGAACAAAAAUGUUUGAUUAAAUUUAUGUUUAGAAUAAAUUCAUCUAUGUUCCUUUUUUUUAGUCAGUUUUGAGUUUUCUCUUUAUCUAGGUAGACAUGCUUUGCGUGUUGUGUUUGUGACUUCAAGAUUAAUCUUUGUUAGUUCAAGAUCCUAAUGAUGUGUUCAGAUCAUUGAUAAGGACUUUGUAGUGCAAGUUAGAUUAUCCCUUUUUUUCUCAAGGAGUUGAAGCCCUUUUGAAAGCACUUGACCUUCUAAACAAGCAAGGGAAGCUAGUCUUAUUUUUCAAUAGAACUUUAAGUUAGAAGAUCUAAAUGUGAAGGUGAUGUAGUCAUAAGUUAUAAAAUUUUAUUGUAGGGUAAGCUUUAUUGAUUGAAAUAUAUGUUAAUUGAUGAAAGGAUUUGAAGUUUUAAACAAUUGGAUAAGUGGUUGAUGAUUUAAAGUGAUUGUGAUAUGUAAUUUUUACUUGAAAAAAUAAGUUACUAAAAUGAGGUAUAUUUGCUCUCGGAUCCAAAUUUGCUUACUAUUUUCCCCAUUUGUUUAAGUGAAUUUAGAUGCAGAAUUUGGGGUGCUCUUGGCCUUAAAUCCGCUCAGCGUUUUCCCCUACGCUUUCGUAAAUUUAGAUGCAGAGUUUGUGGUGAUCUUGGACUCAAAUCCGGUCAACGACAACAUCAUGCACUUAACGCAUUUUCCUAGGCUUAAGCCCUAGCUUUAUGGGUCUGAGCCAUUUUGAUAAAAAUGUUCAUUUUUGCUUCGCUACCUUUUCUUUUCAUUUCUAUAAAUAAUGAAAUCGAAUUAAAUCUUUUGAAACUUUAUAAAUUGAAAGUGAUUUCAACUUUCUAAGGUUUAUAUUUCAAGAAAUUUAUGAAACUUAAGUGUUUAAACACAAGUAAAUCUAACAUUUGUCAAAAUGUAAAGCAUAUAUUCAUUUUAUAUUCAAUUGAUUCGUGAAAUUUUAAAGGUUAGGUGAUUGUUGUUGAUAUUUCCAAUUGUCGUAAAAGUAUAAAUUUAUGUGUGAUUGAAUGGUAUGUUGAUGAAUGUGAUGAAUUAUGAAUCAUGUGAAAAUGUAAUUGAGACAUAGUAUUUUCAGGAAAGGAAAUACUGUGUUGAGAUGGUUAGGAUGUGCAUUGAUUAAGGACUUGUCUAGAAGUAUAUAUAUUGACUAUACUUAUUUAUUGAAAUCAUGUAAAUGAAGAUAUUCAAGUGGUGAGAGUCGAAGGAGGUUCAUAUGACUGUGUCUACAGUUUGAAAAUAAUCUAGUCUGACAAGUCGUAUGAAUUAACCUUGUCAUACAAGUUGGUUGAUUGAAUUGAUUCAUAUGUAUAUGUGGUUGUUAGUGGGAGUAGUAUGACAUGUGCAUAUCUCUGAGUUUGAAUCAAUGCACGAGUCUUCUGAAAGUAAAGUCAAAUGUCUCUAUGUGGAUUUCAAUUGAUUUCUGGCAUGAGUGGUUGAUAAGUGACUAAUUUCAAUAAUAUUUCAUAUUAAAAUAUAGACACUUAUGAAGAUUUACUGCUAAUUUACAUAUAAAAUAAUCCCUAAUUUAUAAAUUUAUACAUUUUUUAUGAUCUUUAUUUGAAUAAGAGUAUUUUAUUCCCAAAUUUGGUGUUAAUUGCAGAUUUCUAGGAAAGAUUGGAGAUUUGGAUUAAAGAGGAAUGAUUUGAGCUAAAAAGAGAAAGAUGGAAGGUCCCAUAAUGGAAAAAGAUGUAGAGACAGAUUGAGCCUUUUUAUGUUUUAUCACUUAGCCCAUUAGCGCGACACAGGAAACAACCUAAACCUAGAAAAUUAGGUUAAAUAGGGGGCUAGAGGAUUAACUCUAGGGUGCGAGAUUGAGAGGAAAACACCAUAGAGUGAAUUGUAACCCAAUUGGGAGAAUAAAAGGUGCUAGAAGUAUGCGUGACUAAUUCUACCAUUUGAGAUUGUGAGUAAUCUACUCAAACUCUUAUGUAUUGAGGUGAUAUCUUAUAUAUUAAUAUUCAGUUCUUGAUUGAUUAUUGGUAUUGUUGUUUUACUUUUAAUUUUUCGUGACAAAUUGAGAAUCUUAAUCUGACCGGGAGGUAUUUGUAGGGUUUGGACAUAAAAAACAAUACUUAACAUAUUUGAGUGUUAGGGAUAAACUUGAAAUGUUAAUUGACAUUAAUGUCUGACCUUCGUUCCAAGUUGUUCUUAUAAUUAUGCGAGGGAUCGAUAAUUAGGGAACAUUCUUAAAGAUUUUAUAUGCGAGGAAUCGAUAUAAAUGAUUUUUAUACGGUCAUCAAUUUCAAUCAAAGAACUUAAUAUUGACAUGUUAAUCAAAAUACAUAAGAGUGAGAAAGAUGAAACCAAAUCCCUAUUUUUCCAACUUGAAGCAACUCAAUUCUUUGUCUGUUUUCUUAUUGAUUAGUGCCAACACAAUUAAUUCAAAACUCUUUUUAUUGUUCUGUUUUUAUAUUUAGCGAUUAUAGUACUCAAUAAUUCACUGUUCAUUGUGGGAUUGAUAUCCGUCUUUAUGAACAAUUAUUACUUCUAACAAAUGCGGUGCACUUGUCGUAAAAAGUCAUCAGUGGUAUUGAGCUAUGUUAGUGAUUUUUUGACGUAAGUGAUGUGAAACAUGGAAUAUUUACAUACAUUUGAAUUUUUAGGAUAUUUGGAAUGAAUGAAGUGUGAUGAUUCGUAUGAUUAUGAUCGAAUGAUUCAAAUCUAAAGUUUCAUUAAUAUGGUUUAGGUUAUAAGACUCCAAAAUAAAGAUAAUGGAGUAUUUUCCUUUGGUUCUUUUGAUGUUAUGUUUUGAUGAUGUAUAUAUUUUGAUAUCCUUAUACGAGGGGAAAAGAAAUGAAGAAUGAUUAUUUUCUAUAUUCUUAACAUAUUCAAAAUCUUUUUUCUGGAUCUUCUUUAAGUACUAUGAAGAAGAAAAAAAAAGUUGUUCUAAUUUAAUAUACAUAUAUAUUAGAUGAAUAAAAAAAUGUUAAAACAGGUUUUUUCGUCUCCAACUUUUUUUUUUGGAGAGAUAUUGUUGUGCGUACGUACAAGAUAUAAAAGUAAAUAAUUCUACUUAUGUGUCUUGAAAAAAUCUAAAUUAUCUUAAACAAAGGUGUAUAAAAAAUGAAAGGUAAUGACAUGUAUCGUGUAAGUGUGUUGGACAUAAUAUUAUUAUAUAUUAUUUAAAAGAAAUAUUCAAUUUUCUACCAACACAAUAAACCGAAUAAAAAUAUUGUGAAAUUAAAUUGUGUGAGGAGAAAUAACGAAAGUUUAGUCAAGGGAACAUAUUUAGCUUUUUUUAAUUUUAGUUAUUUUAUUCUUUCAAUUGUUAAUUUUUGUGUGUGUGCAUAAUGAUGUUUUUGUUGUGAGUACACAGGUUAAUUUCUUAAAUUACGAAUGUGUUUGAUAAAAGCUUAAUUAUUAGCUUAAUUUGAUAACUUAUAAGUUAAUUUUACAAUAAAUGUAGUUUAUUUUUGAGUUAACUUCUAACUUCUAACUAAACUAACUUUUACAUUUUAAUAUUGUUUAUUUAUUUUUUUAAUAGGACUUAUUUCAAUUUUUUAUAUUAAGUAUUGUAAUAUUUUUAGUAAUUUUCUAAUUAUUUUUAAAUCUUUAUGUAAUUCAAAUUAAAAAAAAUUAACAUUAUAGAAGUAAUUAAAUUUUAAUUAUAUGAUAUUAUAUAAAAAUUGCAUAUAGUAAAAAUUAUGAAUAAUAAAAUUCAAUACUACAGUGGUUUAAAUUGAGAAAUUAAAGAAAUUUUUUUAAAAAUAAAAAUUUAAUUUAAUUUAAUUAAUUACAUGAAUUUAUUUAAAUAAUAAUACUUGUUAAAAUAUUUUUUUUAAAAGGUAAAUAAAAAUACCAAAAAUUUUAAUUAUUUAAAGAAUAAUUAAAUUAUAAUUACAUAAUAAUAAAACUUAUAUAAUUAUAUUAUUUUAUGUCAUUUUACAUUCACAAUUAAUUUGUCAACUAGCUUAUUAAAUAUUUCUAAUUUUGUAAAAUAAAAUAUCAAUUGAAAAUUAUAAAUUAUAAAUUUAUGGCUAAUUUAUUAAUUAGUGUUUCCAAAGACACCUAUAUUGUUAUCACCUUUGAGUUUAGUUAGUUUUUUUUUUUCAUGACGUUCUUAAGUAUGACUUGAUUACUUGGGCUUGCUGCUAAAAAGAAUUACUGAUUCCUUGCAUUGUACGGAGGUGUGGCUAUUAAAGCUUACAACUUACAAUUUUCAAUAUAUUAAUUAGGUGGGGCCACAUUAUUAAGAAGGAAAAAAUAAAUAUCAAUUAAUGUAGUAUAAUGGGUAAGUUAGUCAUUUGGAUAUAAUAAAACAAUUAUUAAUAAGAUACUUUUUAUAAGUAUUUAGUAAUGUUUUUAAUAUACUAUUGUAUGUCUGUUUCAAUGUGUAUUUAAUUUAAUAAUGCUUUUAUAUGUUUUUAAUAUACUAUUGUAUGUCUGUUUGAAUAUGUAUUUACUUUAAUAAUGUUUUAAUAUACUAUUGUACUGUGUAUAUUGUAUGUUAUGAAACUCGUACAUUCAUCUUAAAUAGCGUGUUGAUAUUAAAUACGAUAUUUAUAAGACACUCAUAAGAUAUCGUAAGAUAAUUAUACGUGAGGUGUUUAAUUUAAAAUAUAUUUAUUAAAUUUUGACAAUUAUAACAUAAUUUUAAUAUAAUUUUUUUAAAAAAAUAUAAUAAUUUUCUAAAAACUUAAAUUAUAUAAUUUUUUAUUAUAAGUAUAAAAAUAAGGAACAAAUUCUUUUAAAUUAAUCAUGAAAAACAUCUUUCAACUUAAAAAAAUUUAAAAUAUACUUAUACAUAUAAAUUUUUAUUAUCAAUUUAUAUAAUUCAUAAUUAUAUAAUAUAUACAUCCAUAUUUAUUAUCUUACAUUUUAAAAUUAUACACAUGUCUUCAUGUCCCUAUCUUUCUCAUAUCUCCGUGUGAAUUUCGUGUUAGAUAUAUUGAAUGCUUCUUUCAAUAUGUAUUUAACUGAUUUCUCAAUUUGGGGUCAAUUUGGAAUGUAAAUUUUAUAAUAAGUAUUUUUAAUUUAACUUUGUAAUGGAUAAGUGCUGCAUACGUGUCCAAUAGGAUUACGGGACUUCGACUUUUCUGUUUCUUUUUCCACGAUUUUGGAAUUUAACGUGUUUUAUAUUUUUUUUUAAGAUGGAAUAAUCACUAAAUGAAUAAAAUAAUUGUAAUAAUGAAAUAAUUUAAGAAAUAUUAAGUUGAUUUUUUAGUAUAAAAUGAAUUUGAUUAAUAACAGUUUUAGAAUCUAAAUAUUAAACACUAAAACUUAAAAGUAUAACCAUUAAACAUAUAUCCUACAAUAGUGUAAACUAUAAAACAUUUACGAUUUCGGACUUAAAUCUUUUAAUUUUACGGCUUUUACGGAAAACACACCAAUUUAAAGUUUCUUAUUUAUUUUUAAAUAUUCAUCACUUUAUAGUUAAAAUUAUAUUUUAUGUUUUUUUUAUAUUUUUAUUCGGAAAUAUCUACAAUCAAUAUCAUUAAAAAACAUUGAUUAAUUUUAAAAACUAAAUACUUUUAUUGAAAAUAUUAUUAAUACCCUUUAACAAUGAUUUUAAUGCAUGCCAAAAAUUAUUUUAAUAAAAAAUUAUUAUUGAGAUAUAAAUUUAUAUAUAUAUAAUUGUAAUUUAUAUAAAUUGAUAAUAAAGAUUUAGGUGCAAUAAGUUGUUUUAGUUUUUAUUUGGAAAAAAAAUAUUUUUCAUGGCUAAUUCAGAAUGAUUUGUUCCUAAUUUUAUAAUCAUAAUAAAAGUUUAUAUAAUAAAUUUAAAUUUUUAAAAAAUUAACUUGUUUUUUUAUUUAAAAUUGUGUUAAACCCUUACUAGAAUUAUCAUAAAUUAAAUAAAUAUUUUUUGAAUUAGACACUUUAUCGAUACGUGUCCUACGAGUGUCGUGUUCGAUGUGUGUCUGACACUGACACACCAUUUAAGAGACGUGUCCGAAUUUCAUAUACUAAUUAAUAAAAUUCUGCCUGUUUUCAUAGUAAAUUUUUCUUUUUAUAAAAAAGUUGAAUAGAAGGAUUGAAUUAUUGUAAUAUUAGAAUAAUAAUUGAAGCCCCGUUAUUCGUUUUUGUACGUCCAGACUCUUCAGUCCUCUGUUUAGGUUCAUGAGAAACCAGUACUGUGACCUAAUUCUAGUCCUAAUUAAUUACUAAGUACUAGAGAACUUUCCAGGCUGAUCUAUAAUUGAAGAAAUAUAACUAUGCAAUGCUUGAUUUUAUAAGUUGGUUCAAUUGUUAAUUAAACUGAUACAAAUAUUAGAUUAAAUUAAACUGACCAUCCAUUAUCUUGGCCAUAAACAACAGAGAAAAGAAACGGCCUCCCACUUCUGAAUUGGGACACUGACGCCCUCCUCAUAAUAUAUACAUUAUCUUCUUCUCAUUUCUCAUUAAUUAUUUCAAUAAUCACUUGAACAAUUGUUUGUUUUUAACUCCAACUGAUAGUGAUCUUCAGAAAACCACUAAUAUAUGCAGCAGUUCAAACAAACUGCUAAACUCAUUAAACUAAAUGGAAUAUUAAAGUAAGCGUACAAUGAAGGCAAUAGAAAAAAAUUAAGAGGAAGAGAAGGAUGCAUUAGGAAUUUAGAAUUCAAAAAACUAUUGAGGAUAAAUAGUUGCACUGUACGCGCACUAAAUACGGUCAACACGCUUACAGACAAGACCAAAGAAAAUGACAACGUAAAAGAGACCGACAGCUGACGGUUUCGAGUGGACACGUGUCCUUAAGCAGGUAUGGAGGACGCGUGUUGUUACCUGAUUCGGUAGUCUCUUAAUCAAUUUGAGUGUGUCUUGCGUCAUGGCCUGCAAUUUGCUGAAGCUAACCACUGGUUACGACAGCGAUAAUUAGGGGGUUGAUUAUGUGAUUAAGAAUAGUAAUCAAGGUGAUAGGGUGCUAUAUAACCGAGAGAGAGGCGAUAGGGCAGAUCCAAGAGUGGCGAGAGGUAUUCACAGAUAUUUUUUUUGUCUACACUUUCUUCAGAGCGUUAAGUCUUUUGUGCUUCAUCUUCCUUCUCCUUCUCCUUCUCUCAUCCCCCCUCUGUAACACCCCGCUUCUCUGAAUCCCUUUCUGUUAAUAAUCUGUCUUUCAAGCUAAGAUUUUCUGGUUUGUCUUUUAACUCACCAAGAAGCAAACUUAGAAGGAUUUCUCGAAAGCCAGGUGUUUUCAGAAACGAGAUCCAGGUUUUACUGUCAAAAUUUGCUAGUUUAAUUUUGAUCUUCUCCCCUUUUUUUUUCCUUUGAAACUAGCCAAGAGGGUUAUUUUUUAUCCCUCGAAGUUUAAUCUUUUUUUUAAGACCCCGGGACUGAGGAGGUUGUCUAUUUGUAAUCUCCUUCAUCCUUUGUUUGUAGAAAAGGUUUUUGUUUUAUUUGAUUUUUGUGAUUAACCACCUGUUCUUCAGUUUUAGAAAGACGCAGGUUGAAUUGAUCUGAUGGCAGCUAUGAUGGGUUUUUACAGCAGCACAGAGUUUCAACUUCCCUCAGAUCCGUUCAGGGGUGAACUAAUGGAAGUUCUUGAACCUUUUAUGAAAAGUCCUUCCUCAACCCCCUCUUUCUCUUCCUCACCUUCAAACUCCUCUUUCCCUUCUACUUCUUACUCUCCUUCUCCCGUCUACUUCCCCUCCUCACCCUCCUUGCCUAAUAUUUAUGCAAACAACUGCUCCGCGUCGAUGACCCAUGUGUAUUCCGACGGCUUAUCCCUAUCCAACACUCAAAAUAUCAUAGGCUUCGCUCAAGGCCAACCAACAUCUCUUCUCGGCCUCAACCACCUAACCCCCUCUCAGAUCUCUCAGAUCCAGGCUCAAAUCCAGAUUCAGAGCCAGCAUCAGCACAAUCUCAACACCCUGAACUUCCUCGGGCCCAAGCCCAUCCCUAUGAAGCACGCGGGCAUGCCUCUGAAGCCCACGAAGCUGUACCGAGGGGUGCGUCAGAGGCACUGGGGGAAGUGGGUGGCUGAGAUCAGACUUCCCAAGAAUCGGACCAGGCUCUGGCUGGGAACCUUCGACACCGCCGAGGAAGCCGCUCUGGCGUACGACAAGGCUGCGUACAAACUCCGAGGUGACUUCGCCAGGCUUAACUUCCCCAACCUCCGUCACCAGGGUUCCUCGGUGGGCGGAGGCUUCGGGGAGUACAAGCCGCUCCAUUCCUCUGUUGACGCUAAGCUUCAGGCCAUUUGCGAAGGCCUGGCUGAGAUGCAGAAACAGGGAAAGACCGAAAAACCUCAGGGUUCGUCCAGGAGGUCGCGAGCCAAAGUCGCUCCUCCGCCAGAGAAGGCUGAUUCCGGUAAGGGUUCGGACGACACCACCACCAACAACUCUUGCAAAGUGGAAGCAUCCUCGUCUCCCGUGACGACGGAAAGCGAGGGGUCUGAAGGUUCUUCGCCUCUCUCGGAUCUGACAUUUGUUGACGUGAGCGAGCCUCAGUGGGAAGGUGAUUCGGAUAAUUUUAACCUCCACAAGUACCCCUCUUAUGAGAUCGACUGGGAUUCUCUGUGAAGAAGUGUUUGGAAAUUGGAAGUCCUAUAUUAUGUAUUUAGCAAUUGCAUUUAAGGGUAUAUGAUGCAUGGUCUAGUCUAGUAUAUUUGUAGGUGUUAGUGUCUCUCUCAGGUGGCCACUGCAAUGAAGUUUUUGGCAAUUGCAGGCCUAGUUUUAGUGUCAAUAUCUUGUAUAAUCACUCUCUACCUUGGGUCAGAGCUGAAUUUUUUCUUGCUUCACCCGGUAGAAUUAGUCCAGUUAUGUUUCAAGUCUUACUUAAUGGAAUUAUUAUAUGAAUAUUGUAGCUGUCAUGAAUCUACUUCCUUUCACCUUUCACCUUAUAUAAAAUACGCCAUCUUGGUUCUAUUUGGGUGCUGAACCUAUUUACGUGAUCGCUAUUCAUCAAGGUGCAUCCGUUCGAAGAAUAAAAAUCCAUGCUAAUGCCUCUACCGUACAAAUCGUCUUUAUCAAAGAUCUUCCCACUGUUGUUUUUAAGCUUUUGUUUCAAAAUUAACAAAUCAGCAACAAUACAUAAAAUAUGCUGGGGUUACGAUUCAAAUCCAUGGAUAACAGUCUCUUUAUUUUAAAAUUGUCAGUUCAGUUUUUAAAAUAUUUUAAAAAAUUCCUAACAAGUCCAGUUCAUCUCACUCAAAAAUUAUUAUCAUUUUAGUAUUUGAAUUUAAUUAAUAACUUUUAUUUUUAAAUUUUUAAUUAGGUAAGCGUAAAUUACAUUUUCUGAUAUGAAAAAAAUAUAAAUAUAAAUAUAUCUUAUACGCUGAUUUUGUGAUAACGAGUUAUUACAAACUCAAAUGUACAUCUUGAGAAUCCAACACAGUGCAGUUAAAAAAAUCAGUUUCAAAUUAUGAAUGUUGAGUCUUUAUAUAUAGAAGAGAAAAUUCCGUCUACUUUUCAAUGUUGACAAAGGUAUUAGUUAUAUUGUAAAAUUAGAUUUUCUAUAUUUGCCAUAUCUCAUAUUCUAUCUUCUCUUACUACAUAUCUCUUUCUUGUACAAAGAUCGAUACAACUUUUAUAAGCAAAUAUAAUUUCAAUAAAUUUAUAUACUCCUUCCAACUCAUAUCAUGUCAAUUUCCUUUAGUUUAACUAAAAAAAUAUUUAGCUUAAUUAAUUUCUAAAUACUCUCAUUAGUUCUUUUCUCGUUUCCUAACUAUAUUUCAAUACUUAUUAAUACUGUUUUUUUUUCUUAAAAGAUAUAUUACCUUAACAAAAUCAUACGAGAUGGCAAAGUUAUACCAGAAAAAAUAUAACAAAGCAAAACGCUAUCAGCUUUUCAAUGUUCAUAAAUUUCAGUUCGAUUUUUUUAAAAGGUGUAAAUUUGCACAUAAAUUCAUUUCAUAAUACCUAGUUAUUUUAAAGAAAACACAUUUUUCAACCACAUUACAAGUCUUAAAAAAAUCAUGACUGUUUUUAUCUUAGACGUUAAUUUUUUUAAAAUAGAUUCUUGAGCAAGUGCCACUUACAAAAAAGAAAAUAAAAAAAAAAUAAAGAAAAAAUGAAAAGUGCUUAGAAAAACAAAAAUAUAAGAAAAAAGAAACACAUAAAGAGACAAACAAAAAAAGAAAAAAAAAUGCUGAAAUAUUUAUUUUAAAAAAGAUAGUUGUGUUCUACCUUUUUCCAUUCAUUUUUUAUAGAUUAAGCAUUAUAUAUUUAAUUUUUUUUAUCUAGUCUAUUUUUUUCACAAUACUUUACUCAAAUGUUGUCGUGUUUGCAUUGCAUAAGUUCUUUUGAGCGCAUAUACAUAUGCGCAUAUACAUAUGUCUAAACUAUUGAUAAUAGAAAAGUUUAUCUAGUGAUAUUACGAAGUGUACUUUAAGUAUAACUCAACCUCAUAAAAUCAGCUCAUGAGAUAAGGUUUGCACUAACUUAUAUACUAUGAAAUGUCUUAUUCUCUAGUCGAUGUGGGAUCUUCAACAAGUGAAAAUUAUAUGACUUGAUUCAUUUCUUGAUUUAAGUUACCUUCAUGUUUGAUAUUCAGUAGACCCUCUAAAUGUCCAUCACACAUAUGAUAAAUGAUAUGAUACUAGUUAAUUGUGUAACAAAACAAAAUUCAUAAUAAAAGUCUUAUUUAUGAAUUGAAUUAUCUAAUAAUGUUUUGUAUAGUUGCAGUAUGUAGAAGACUCUUUAAGCCCCUGUUUGGAUUGGGGGGUGGCACUGUAGCCGCAGACGGAUGUGGAGUGCCACCCCCGUUUGGAUCUGGUCAUGGUUGAGGGUGUGGGUGAGGGUGAGGUGAAAGUUGGGCCAAAUGAGAGAGCAUUCAGAAGUGAAGAGAAAGGAAAGGGUGAGGGAGUGAGUGCCACGUAGGAUGGAGUGAAAUAUCAUUUGUGCUCUCACUUUAUUUUUGGACGUAUGUGGGCAUUGUACGUGAAGCAUGCAUGAGCAUCUGUGAAGACAAGCUUUUCAGCAGCAAAUGAGAUUCCUGAACAAGUCAGGAAUCUGUUUGACCAAGUUCAAAGCUCAAUGAAUGCAUAGGCAAGUUGGUGAGAGAGGGUGGAUGAGGGUAAUAAAGAGCUCCAACAAUAUAUAUGUGGUUCCAAAGCUCACAAAUCUCACAAACCUCACAAAACAGAGGCAAUUUGGUUGUUCACAAAGCACAUACAUACAUAGAGAGCUUGGAGAGGGUCGUGAGUGCGCUUGGUUCUUCGUUUGUGACCUCAGGUGAGUUGUGUGUGAGUUUAGUUUCAUUCUUAAUGGAUUAUCACUGAAAAUGAGCGUAUGCCAUAAUCGAUUAUGUGGAAAAAAAAUAGUUCAUAAUCGAUUAUGUUCACAUAAUCGAUUAUCUGUAAAAAAAUUCCGUGAGAUAAUCGAUUAUGGUCGUUUUUGCACUGGAAGUAUAAUCGAUUAUGUGCUAUAAAGAUUUAAAUAAUCAAUUAUGUUCUAUUUUGCACUGGGAUGAUAAUCGAUUAUGGUUCCAAUUUUCAAGAUUUAUAUUUUAUGUUUUUUGAACUAAUUUUUCAAUGAUUUUUUUUUCAGGCACAGUUUGAUCAAUCUUAGACUUGCAUUAUGUUGUGGUUUUGUUAUGCUCUCUUGAGAUAUGUGUUUUUUUUUUAAAAUUGUGUUUGGAUGUUUAGUUUUAUUUUGAAUUUAAUUUGUUUAAAUUAUUUUAAAGUAGUUGUUAAUUUUAGAUGUGAAUGUUUAGGAAAAUUGAUUAUCUAAGAUUGUAUAUUGUUAAUUGUUAAUGUAAAAAUUUCAUGAAAUUUGAAUAUGUUAUUUUUGUGACAUGAAUUGAAUUGAAUUUAUAGAUUGAAAUUAGAGAUCAAUCUGUUAUUUUAAAAUAUUGUUAUUAAAAAAAUUAUAAAAAUUGUUGCAAUAAUUUAAAAACAGAAAAACCAAAUAUACAAAAGUUUUUUUUUUAACAUUUUACCAUGUUAAUAAAUAAAUUUAUGAAUGUAUAGAUAGUAUUUAUUUUUAAAACUUUGAAGCUGUUAAUAAAUAAUUUUUUUGAUUUAAAUUUACAGAAUAGACUAUUUUUUAGAAAUUAUUAUUUUUACAGAAUGUAAAUAUAAUUUUUUAAUUUUAUUUAAAGAUUACAUAAUAAAUUAGAAUUUUUAAUAAUAUGUGUACAUAGUUAAAUAAAUUGUUAAUGCUAAUAUGAAAAAAUUAAAACAAAUAUUGUAGUAAUUAAAAAGAACUGAAUAAGAUUACAUAAUAAAUUCGAUUUUCUAAUAAUAUGGGUAGAUAGUUAUAUUUUUUUAACAUUUAAUGCUUUAUUAAAAAAAUAUUUAUUUAUUUGAAAUGAUUAUUUUUAUAAAAUGAAAAUACAAAUUUUGAAUGUUAUAUUUAUAAUUUUUUUUCAUUUAAUGUUAUGAAAAUAUAUAUAAUUUAUUUCUCAUAAUUUACAUAAAUUGUUAAUAUUAUUAUUUAAAAAUUAAAUAAAAUAUUAUAGUAAUUUAAAAAAAAAACAGAAAAAGGUUACGUAAUAAAUUAAAUUUUUUACUAAUAUGUGUACAUAGUUAAUACAUUUAUUUAUUUGUAGUUAACAUUUUGAUGGCAAAUUUGAUAAUAACUGUUAACAGAAGUUUUUAUAGAAAUUAAUAAUGUUAUAGAAAGUUUUAUUGUUACAUACCGGAAAUGUAAUUAAAAAAAUUAAUAAUGUUAUACAAAUUUAAAAAUGAAAAUCAUUAUUAAAAUUAAUUUUAUAUAUAUUUGUAUAUAUAUAUAAUAUAACAUAAUUUAAAAAUUCAUAUAUAAUAUUAAAAUUAUGUAAAUAAAUUCACUUAUAAAAUAAAAUAAUUACAAUUAAAUUAAAUUAAAUUUAAAAUUAUAAUUCAUGAUUUCUUUCAAUUUUACAUUUUUUUUAUUUAUAAAUGAAACUUAAUUAUUUUAAUUAACUAAAAUAUGAAAAAGGAUUCAUCAUUAUUUAUUCUUCUUUUAUAUACAAUGGUAAAUUUGUAAUCUUACAAAUUUUACUAUUCAAAAUAAUUUAUAAUAUUCUUACAACUAUCUCAUCACUCACAAAUUUCAAUAAACUUUCCUCACACAUCUACUCUAACAUACCCCAAUCUAAACCACCUCAACUUUCUUCACACUUUCACUCCCCUUCACCCUCAACUUUCCACUCCCCCACACCCUCUAAUCCAAACAAAGCAUAAGUGUCUACAACGGUUUUUUACACUAGAUGGUUUGAUAUGACUUGUUAAUUAAAUAAUAGAAUUUAGACCGAAUGUCUUAUUAAUGAUUUUGUGAUUUGAAUGAUAUAAUUUAUCUAUAACACACACGAACACACACAUACACAUACACACCCACGCACGCAUGCACGCACCUCCAAAUAUUUGAAUACUUGUUGUAACUUAUAGGGAUGGAAACAUUUGUUAAACACACGGAGAUAUGAAAAUAAAUACUCGUUAUAAUAGAGUGUUAUGACUAAUGAAAACUCUUAAACAGAGGAACUGAAUGCAACUCAAAUUCUGGUGAAUCAUAAUAAAUUCUUGUAUACUUCUCUUUUGGUAAUUUGGUUAUUGUUCAAAAAUUUAUUGUUUAUUAUAUUCUUGUUGAAUAAUAUGCAUAAAUGAUCAUGCUAAAUGUUUUGAUAUAUUUUUAUUAGGAAAUCUAUUAAAUAAUUUUUUUUAUCAAUAAAUAAAUAAAAUAAAAUAAGACACUUCAAAAUUAUAUAAAAUUAUUGAACCAAAUUUACUUCAUGUAAGAAUUGUUCAUAUGUGAUUUAGUCAGACAUGUUCAGCUUUUUUUUUUUUUCUUGACUUCAGAUAAUUUAUUCCUAUGCUAUUUGUAACGCCGUGAAUCAUGCAUAUUAAUAUUGCUUCUUUUUGUUUUUUUGCCAGAGAAUUUAUUCCUAUGUUACAUUAAUCUUCAUUGUCAUCAUUUGUAGUAUUGUUCAAGGAUUACAUUUAUAUACUAUAAAAUCUGAAUACGUUUAUUUUUUUCAUCUUUCUUGGUAAAGCUUAUCUUUCCUCUUUCACAGAUAAUUGGUGAGUGAUGAAGAACCAUUGCAUAAUAAAUCAGGGAUAAGAAGAUAGUUAACAGGGGAGGGGUAAGUGAGGAUAAUAUCUAGUUAAAAAAAGCAUGCUUUUGUAAUUUGCUUAUCUAUGUUUCUUUUUGAGAAAAGUUUCUUUAAUAGUAUUAACAAUAAACAAUAAAAAAACAUACAUUUGACAUUAUUAAUAAUAAUAUUUUAAAUUAAAAGAUAAAAUAAAUAAAUUAUUAAUUAUUAAAGUAUGAAGUAUAUGUUUUUAUGUUGAAAGUGUUAUAUGUUGAAAGUGUUAUUAUAUGAACACCUUUCUUUCGCAUAGUAUGUAUUCUUUUAUCUGACGUGACAUCCAAUUGUUAACGGUAAUUCAACCAACCGUCCAACAAAUAUAUAGUAGACGAAGAAUAAUAAUGUAUUAGUUUACACCAGUUUAUUUUAUUUGAAAUAUUAUUGAUUUUGAUAUUUAAUAAUUUUGUCACAAUUCUAUUUUAAAACUAAUUUUUAACGAGUUAAAAGUUAAUACUGUUAAUUAUUCUAUGCAUUUAACUACUAGAUUUUUUGUAGAUGGGAUUAAUUUAGGAUAACAACUAACACUUUCCCAACAGUAUGAUCUGCCAGAUCCUUUUAAGCAACUUACAAAUUUAAGCAGUGUUUAAGAAAUAAUUUAUAUAUUAUUUCAUCUUUUAAAAUUAUAUUUGUUUUAGUAGAAAAUGAUGAAAAUUUUAAAUAAAGCAUUUUAUGUGUAUUUUUUUAUUGAUGAUUUAUAACUCUGUAUAAACUUAAAAAUUACUAAUAUAUUCUUUUAGGGAUAAUUAAUUAGCCGAUUUUGUAGGUUUGAGUAUUCAAAUUGUUUUUAUUGAGAUUUUAUUUAUGUUGUACUUAGGUUCAUCUACCACCUCGAUCCUAUUAUGAUAAGUUCUUCUUAAGGCAUCAUUCAAUAUCUGAAUUGAAGAGACUUUUACUAAUAUAAACUCUCUCAGUCUAGAAAAUUUUAAAGGAUAAUAAGAUUAAGACGUGAACUGUGUGUAAUUUACCAAUAUGGACAUGUCCAAAUAUAUAUGAUAAUGUAUACCAUACAUACGUUAUGAUACAUAUACCAAGUUUAUACUACAUGAUCACAAUCCCAAAAAGUAUAUAUUCAUUAUAUUUAAACAAAAUAAAAACAUUUACCUAUUUUUGAAUUAUUUUUUUUAUCAGCAAUGUAAAUUUUUUGAAUAAAUUUACCCCUACUACUGCAAAUAGGGGAGGACAAAAUAAUUUGAAGUACACUAAAAUGGUAUUGAAGUGGACUAAAUUAAUCCACAAAAUAUUUAUCCAUUUUAUAUAAAAAUUAAACUAAACAAUAAAUAGACCAGUUAAAAAAAAUUGUUCGUUUUAAUAGUUUAGUGCACUAACUAAAAGUGUCGUUUAUAAUUUAAUUUAAGAAUAAAAUAGUUAACCGUCACACAAAUUACACUAAUUAAAUUAUUAUAAUCAGAACUUUACAAAUAGUGUAAUUUAAAAAAUAAUAAUGAUUUUAUGUGUGUUAAUUAUGGUAUGGAAAAUGUUCGAGAGAGAAAAUAUUGGUAGUCAACAAAAUGAUACCUGUCAAAAAAUUGAGACAUGUUGCUUCAUGACUUAUGAGUUAAGAGAAUACUUUUUGUUUGUGUAAACCAAAAUAAAUGUUUUUAAAUAGUUUAUUUAAAUAUUUUUCAGAAAAUAAAUUAUUGUCAAAUAAUUAUUUAUUCAACUACCAUAAAAGAGAAUUAUAAUUCUAAAUUCGUUAGUGAAACGCAGAUUAUGACGUGUUUUAUGUACUUGCUUAGAAAGUGUAACGUUUAAACAAAUGUAUAUUAACCUGAUGCAGAUGCACGUAAAAUAACUCAAAGGAAAUAAAUAUAGUUUAUAGGAUAAUUCAGUUUUAAAUAGUUUAAAACAGUUCAAAAAUUCUAAAACCAGGUCAGAAUUAUUUAGAUAUACCAUUGAACAGUUUAAUUUGAUUCUAACAAAGCAUAUUUCCAGUUCAAUAAAUCUUGUUAUAAUUCAAUUUAUUUUUCCUACGUCACUAUAUUUCAUUCUCGUCCUACUCCGUUUUAGGGAUUUGAGCACAUUCUACCAAACACCACUAUAUAAUAUUAUAUAAUAUAUGUAAUGCUAUCAUGAAAUAAAAUGUUGUAAAUAAAAAUUAUGUUGGGUUCAUACUAAUUACUUAAUAGACAGAUCCACAUACAGAUACUUAGGCUUGGGCUUUGUUCGGCUGACUCAACUAUUGGGCUUCCUGCAACCCAAUCAAUUCUAAUCUGCAUCUAAUUAAGUUAUGAAAUUCCAGAAUUAUCCUUCAUUCUAGAAUUGGAAAUCCGAAAAUGAAAAAUAGACCCAGUAAAGAAAAUAUAUUCCAAAAUAAAAAUAAUACAUUCUGAAAAAAAAUUAUGGAAAAGAAAAUCUAAAAUUAUAGUAAACAAAAUUUGAGAAACAUAUUUUAAAAAUACUAUCCGGAAAAGCUUAAUUUAGAGAAGUAUUCUGAAACCCAAAUCCAGAAAUAUAUUUCUGGAAUAAUAAAUCCAAAAUAAAUAUAGGCCUGCACCCUCUCAUAUUUAAAAAUGAAAAAAUAUUUUGUCAUUUUACAUAAAUAAUAAAAUGCAUGUUCAAAUUUAUCACAUUUAUUGGGUGCAGAAAUCAAAAUUCUUUAUUUUGCAGUAAACUUUGUGUUCGGUGUGAAGAGAGUCUCGGACCUUCGUAUGUAAGUUGGACUUAAUUUGACAAAACUCAAUUUAGUGUUUAGGACAGUAUUGGAAUUUUUAUUUCUGUUGUGAUACUGAGCAUGACCUAAUUAUAGUAUUUUUUUCUUGUUAUUUUUGAAAGGAUUGACUAAAGUAGAAAAAAAAAGCUAAAAAGAUGUAAUUGUUUAUGCAUGGAUAUAGGUAGGUUGAAGAGAGAGAAAGUUGAGGCGUUAAAAGUAGAAAUGAGAACCUAAUUUACCUCCUAAUCGAACGUUAUCCCCUCUGAUGCAUGGGGCAUAGACUAAGUUGAGUUUGACGUCCCCGUGCAAAGCACCCACUUCUCUAACAAACAUUCUAACAACCUUCCCAGUUCCUGCAAUUCGCUUUCCUUGUCCUUCCCACCGCUCCUCAUAUUCUCAUGGAGGAGCGGUUGUCGCCUUCGCCGUCGUUUUCACAAGAAUUGCGUCGCCACAAAAAUGAUGAGACUACCAGACUCCAAUCAUCAGACACCGAUCCCAGCACCUUCGUUGUCCGAGUCCCCAAGGAUCAAGUGUACCGUUUCCCAAACCCCGAGAAUGCUCACCUGGCAGAGCUGCAUAAAAACUCUCCUCCUAAGAAGGCCAAAACGUCACGUUGUUGCUUGUGUUGCAUACUAUUAUCCAUUGUCUUCUUCUUCCUUCUCAUUCUUCUCGGAGGCCUUUUAGGUGGCCUUUUUUCCAUGUUCUUCUCGCCAAAGGACCCUAAGUUUUCCGUAGAACGCUUUAACGUCGCAGAGACCAAACCCAAAUACGACAUCACUUUAAAGGUCUACAACUCCAAUUCAGGUGUGGGCAUUUCUUAUAAAAGUAAUAGCCAUGUUACGCUCUCUCAAAAUGGAAAAGAGAUUGCUAAUGGAGACUACCCAUCCUUGAGUCAAGAUCCUCGUGAUACCACAUCGUUCGGGGUUACUUUAAAAGGAUCAACAACUGGUCUCGCUAACAAGGCGCUGAAGAAUACCAAAACAAAAGUGCCUCUCGCAUACUCCUUAGCCAUUAACUCUCGAGCACGAAUGAAAAUGGGGCUGUUGAGAAGCAGAACAAUCACAUUCCACGUUUCCUGCAACAUCAAGUUAGAUAAGUUGCCCAAAACCACUCAAAUAGUCUCUCAACAAUGUCAAACUAAACGACACUAGCUAGUUCCCACACCUGCGUAGAUCAUCCAGGUGUUUUCAUCGUCAACCCUAAUCUUUUCAUUUCUUUUUUACCCAACUCCAAUACGUUAGUCAUGGCCCCACUUUUAUGUCUAUAACUUCUAAAUACUUAGGGUCCCUAUAUUUGGACAACCCUUGCGGAGAUGGCCAAUAUACAACCAUCCAUGUGUCCCCUUGGGAGGAAAGGUAUUUGUGUGCAGGUUACGAGGCAUAGAAGGACAGCAGUUGUUGAUAAUAAUUGUGAAGGAAAUACUGGAAGAACAAAGGCACAAUCUUAUACUUGUAUUGCUGCAGAAUUAUUCCCAUGUGCAGGCUGUUCUAUGCAAGAAUGGAAGGCACUUUCUGGUUUUGAUGCCUAACUCUACCAAACUUUGGUUAUGAGGUUAUUGCAGAUGGAGGGCAAGAAAUAUAUAUUCUCUUCUGCAGGCAAUCCACACUUAUUAUUCUAGAUUAUAAGGAAUUGUAAGGGUUAUGGGUGCUGUAAACUAUGCAGAUUUUGCUGCAUAAUCUGCAAUGCAAAAUAGUGUUCUUCUGAAACUUAGUUUUUUUUUUUGCUGGUUUGUGAUGCUUUUGAAUUGUAAGUUAGGAGGUGUGGUUUUGACAAUUGUAUAAUUGUAUAAGGGUGAGACAACUGAAAUGUCUCUUUUAAUUUUAUUUAUUUAUUUUUGACAAAAAGAAAAAGUGUCAAAAAAUAUUAUAAAUAUUUUAAUUGAUUGCGGACCUACUUAAUUUGCUAAAUGUUUUUGAAUAUCUUUUAAAUUUUUGUUUGCUGUUUUCAUUUUAGUUUUUUUUUUCUUUUUCAGUUUUUCUGCAAUUGCUAAUUUUUCUUGUGCAGUGGAAGUUGAUUUUUUCUCCCAUGUGUCUGCUAUGUGGUUUUGAUAUCUCUGCGAUGUGGCUUUGGUUUUUCUGCCGUGUGACUUUGGUUUUCCAUUCGUUGUUGUCGUGGUUAUUAAAGACUCUGUCUUCUAUUUGCGGUGUGUGUGGUUGGUGGUGGUUUCUCUUUGUUAUGAUUUUAUGUGGUUGAAUGGUGUAGUGUUUGGGGUUUGUGGUAUUACAUUGGUGGUAAUUUCUGGAAUACUUUAAGCAGAAAUUCUUAAAGUGGUGGAUUUUUUUUUAAUAAAUGUAUGCAUUGUUUUUUAUUGAAUUAUUUUUAAAAGAUUGAUGUUCAUUAAUUUUUAUUUGAGGGAUGAAUAAUGUAAAGUUUGUCCUUGUUAUUUUAUCUUCUGGAUAGAGGUGCUUGUGACAUUGUUUGGUAACUCAAAAGAUCCUUAUUUUCUAAUUCUUUUGAAUUUAAUAUGUUUGGGGUCCUAAAAUGUAUACUAGUCGUGAGUGAAUUAAAAUUUAAAUUCUAAACAUAUUUAAUAUCUCAAACUACAAUAUUUACUCAAUGAAAUUACUUUAUACUUGUUAACUUAAAAAUUUGUACAAAUCCAUUUAAUGUGGAAGAUGGUGGAGGAUGUGGCACAUGAGAUUCUUAAUCUCAUCAUAUCUUAGAGAUCAAAAUAAUUAGUUACAAUAUAAACUAAAAUAGAGACCAUUUUAGAAACUUAAAAAAAAGUUGAUUUCUAAAUUAAUUUCUAUUAUUGUUAAAUAGUUUCUAAAUUGAUAUUUAAUUAGUAACUAAGGUUUUAACUACCAAUUAUUUAGUUUCUAAAUUUGGUAGCAAAAACCUUUGUUGCUAAUUAGAUACCAAUUUAAAAAUUAUUUAACAAUAAUAUAAAAUAAUAGAAACUAAUUUAGAAACCAAAUUUCUUUUUAGUUUCUAAAAUGGUCGCUAAUUUAGUUACUAUUUAGUUUCUACAAAUUGGUUUCUAUUUCAUGAUUUUCUUGUAGUGUAAGGUGAGGUAUAUGUGUACUUUUCUUUUGUUUUAUUUUGUCCCAUGAAAAAGGAAGAGAGGAAAAAGUUGAAUUAACAUAAGCAACCAAAUUUUAGGGUGAGGAUCAUGAAAUUAAUUUUUUUACAGUGAAAAACCAACUAGUCUUUAUCUAAGUAAUAAAAAAAAACAAAAAAAAACUAGUGGUCACUUAGAACCAACUUAAAGGGACUUCUUAAAAAAUGUUGCCUAUUCAAGUUUUAAAGACAACAUUUGAUAGAUAAUUAAUUAAUUUGACUAAAUCUCAUAUAUAAAAUUUUGUGACAAUUAAGUUAAAGUGCCAUAGCUAUGCAAUAAUAGGACUAAAGAUCUUAUUUUAUUACCAAGGAAAAAAAAUCUGAUUUUAGUACCAAGGAACAAAAGACACCUAACUAAACUUUCCUUCAAUUUAUGAGAAGUGAGAAAUUACAUUACUUAUAUCCAUUAAUUCAUUAAAGGUAUAACAAUGAGCAAUGCAUUUCAAAAAUAAGUCGCAAGCUAGUUGCCAUUUUUUAAUUGAGUUAAUGUCAAAUUUCAAAUUUUCUAUUAUUGUACUUUAGAAUAAAUCUUGUUUCACUUUAAUUUUUUCUGAUAUAGGUGUUCCUCUUCUUAUUUUUUAUUAAUCUAAUAAUUUUUCAAAAUAAAAACUUCAAAUAGAUUAGGCAUAUUUUCUACUACCAAUACUCCUAGUUGACACCACAUUUUUCUACUUCCCUUGACCUCUAAAAUUCAUAUGAAAAUGAAUUAUGUUUGAUUGAUCUUAGAUGAAUGAAGGGAUUUCGGAUAAAUUUGGGGCUUCCAUUCAUGAACAUUUGGUUAAUUGUUCUUAUGUUAUUAUGGAUCAUAAUUGUUUUUUUUUAAUAUUGAACUAAAUGUGUACAUAUUACUUUUUUUCAUUUGAGGAAGAAACAAAGUUUGUAGAGGCUUAAAAGAAUGGGAACUUGAUUCUUCUUUGUCGAUGCAUUUUCUCUGAUCAACUUACUCUUGUUCUUGUUUAUCGAAUUUUUGUCAAGGAAGAUGAUUGAGAGGCUCCAAGCUUUCUUUUUGAGUCUGCAGAGCCUAGCUACCAUGCUUCAACUAAUUUACCAUGAAUCUGGAAAUUUAACUGAGAAAAAUGUUGAUGAUCAUAUAACAGUUUCCAAAAAAAAUAUUGUUGGAAAUCUUGUCUACUAUGUUUUUUUGUUGCUCUUGCUUAUUUUGAUUAAUUGGUUAUUGCUUAUGUUCUAUGAUUAAUUAAUUGCGUAUUUCUCCUUUUUCACCCUGUUAUUGCUUUUGAUUUAAAUUUUAUAUUUUGUUUGAAGGCCCAAUAAGUAGAUUACUUAAUUGGUUGCAUCGUAAUAUGAUUUUCGUAAGAUAAAUUCCACAGUAGUUGUUUUAAAAUUAUCAACAAGUAUAUACCUUGAUAUCUUUUAUCAAAAUUUAUAAUAUAUAUUGUAUUUUUUUUUUCAGCUUGAGGGCAAUGAAGACAACAAUGACAAUAUUGUAAAAGAAUGAAGUUAUAUAUUUUAUGUACAAAGAAAAUAUCUUUAGACAUGAGAUAAUGUGAACUGUAAUUUUAAAUUUGAUGGCUUUAUCCUUACAUUUUUGAAGAUAAUAUUUGUUAUUAUGUCAUUGAAAUAUAUGUAAUAUGUGACUUACGGAUUCAAUUAAAUUUGUUUAUCAAUAUUUAUAUUGUAUAAAGUAUUUUCCUUUCAUAAAAUUAUGAUAUUUGUUCAUAUUUAAGUGAUGAAACAAUAGAGUAUUGUUCAAUUGGAAUCGAGUAUAGUUUAUGUUAAUGUGUUAUUGACUUUGGAUGAGAUAUAUCUAUCAGCUGAAUUGCAGCAACCGACUGUUUGGGCUUAUUGCAGUAUCAUGAAUAAAAAAUUAGAACUAGAACCUAAUAGGAUGUAAAUUUCACUACAACAAUACACUUCAAAUUAACCACUCUUACAAGUUAAAGAUAUCAAUAAGCUAAUCUCUGAGAGAAUAUCUCCACUUAAGUGAUUGUCCUUUUAUUCUAUAGGAUAGAAAAAACAUUAAAGGUUAAUUCAACAACCAAAUUCAAUCCAUUUGAGAGAGGUGAACUAACAAUUAGUGCAUCAAGACAAUAUUGUCAUUUUAAAGAAAACCCAAAUAAAACAUGUCACAUAUAUCAUUGAAUGAAUUCCACAUAUAAGGCUUCAAGGUUCAUAAUGAACCUUAAUCAUUACUAGAUAAAUUAAAUAAAUAAAAAAAUAGAAAAGAAAUAUAGUAUAACCAUUUUUUUUUUUUAGAAAUAGUUGGGAACAAGAGUUAUGUUUUUCAAGAAAAAAAAAUGAUUUCCAAAAACAAGAGAAAGAAGAAAGUACCCAUGUCAUAUGUCUAUUCACUCUACUUGUCCAAUUUUCCCCUCCAGCUAAACAGUUGCCCGUCAUCAUCGAAGUACAGGAGCUCAACCACACAAAAAAUUAACUUCUAAAAAGAAACAAAUGGUGCAAAAAGGACUUACAUUUGUUCCAACAAAAUAAAUUGCAGACCACAAACUAUGUAACGUGUCUAAAAUGAAACACUACGAACAAAAAUACUACCACAAAAAACAAUAACGCAAUCACGAUGACCACCAACAAAAUGUAUCACCAAAUCCCAAAACAAAACAACAACCCAAAAAAUAAACCUUAAAAGACGCUAGUAAACUUAUCAAUGUUUACACUUCGUUGUUUCGUUUGCUCCUUGAAUUUGUCUUCCGUUUGCGCUUGGUGAUUCUAUUCGCACUUCCCUUCACUUGCGCUGUAGAUUAAAGAAAGUGUUCGGUCAGUGUAAACCCAUACCCUCCCGCUUUCACCUUUUCACUCUUCUUCUACAAUGACAAAAGCACCAUUUACAAUUUCAAUUUUUUCAAAUUUUAAUUCUAUUAUUGUAAUAACGAAAAAACUCUUGGUCAUGUCUUACUGCCAUGUCAUCAUCGUAUACUGGUGCAACUCAUUCUUGGGUUGUUCAUGGGACAUUUUUCUAUUCUCUUUACAUAUAUUAAUUGCAUAUCUUUUCUAUAUAUGUUUUUUUUAUUAAAGUAGUUGUUAAUAGCUUUAACAUAUACAUGUUAUUUCAUAUGAAUAACUUCAAAACAAAAUUAUUAUUCAAUAAUAUUUUAUAUUUUUUUUUUAAAGUUAAACAUAUUAAGGAAAUACUAAUUAUCAAAUUAUAUGCAAUUAUUGUAUGCAAUAUUUGACGAUAUUGUACCCAAUUAUAUGCAAUUAAUUUAAUAAUUAUAGAAUCUCAUGAUUAAUAUCCUACCUAUAUAUUUUCUAUACAUGAAGUGAUGUAAUAUACACAUAAGAGAACAAGAAACAUCUCUACCUCUCUCCUUCUUACCGUUUUUAUCAUUUUCUUAUAUGGUAUCAGAGCACCGAGCUUGGUGCCCUGACAGCCUCUCCAUUUUUAUCUCCUAAAUAAAAAAUCAUGUCUGGCAAAGAAGGCACCAGUAACGAGUCCGAUAGAAACCUCGUACAACGCUUCAAUGCCGAAGUAAAGGUAUAUAUCAACAAAUUAACAUACUACAUAAAAUUUAUAUUGUUUAUUAAAGUUAUACGUAAAUGGAAAUUAUGCAUACAAAUAUAACUUGUACACUUUUUUCUAAUGUGUAAAAAUUAUACCCAUAUGAUAAAUUUCCCCAAUUUUAGCACUGAUAAUCCACUUCCGGUAUAAUAAUUUGGGAUCGUUCUUGUUAUAGUCAACUCGAGGUCGGUCGGCAUCUGGAUGAGCUUCUGGUGGUGGUCUCCCUUCAAGUGAUUUAACCUUCGAGAAACGAGAGAGGCUCCUCCUGCGAUGACACUCCGACGCUCAAGUCACUAAGAACAUAAAUAUAAUGAGUAUAAUACGAAAUAGGAGUUGAGAGUACUCCCUAUGUUGUUUAUUAUAUGAUGAUUAGAUCAUAUCUUAGAUCAUCAUCAUUUUUGUAGAGCGUAAUUAGAUAAAGUUCAGAUGUAGUCAUUUUGAGGUACAAUAUUACUGGUUCCUGCUAAAAUAUUUUAUUAAAUUUAAGAUAAUUAAAACUAAUCAACCAGUGUAUGUUCUUUAAGUGAAGACUGAGGUUAUUUUCCACUGAAACUAAUCCACAUUUGUGCUUUCAUUCUCUUUCACUUUCCUUUCUCCUACAGCAUACUUAUAAUAGAUCUACUUAUAAUAGAUCUCAUUUUAACGAUUUAGUUAUUCUGAUCCAUGAAAUUUGAAGAUUUGAUAUUAUUAAGUUUGUGUGGAUGAUAAUGGUGUUGAAAUCUUCAAUGAAUUUCUUAAAUGUUGUUAUAUAGUGCAUAGUUGUUGUUGCCUAGGGUGGCAUGGAUUGGAUUUUCCAAAAUCCAAUCUAGAUCCAAAUCCAAAUAAGGGGAUUGGAUUUCAAAUCCAUAUCCACUUUAACUAGAUCAAAUAUAUUUGGAUUUUUUAAAAAUCCAUUUAAAGUGGAUUGAAUCCAAAUUAAAUCCAUUUUGUUAAUUAUAUUAAAUCCACUUGUUCAAUUACAUUAAAUCCAUUUUGAUAUGGAUAAAGACUAACUUGGCUCGAACUGGGCCUAAGCCGACUCAACCUGAACACAGACCAACUCAGCUCUACAUCGGCCCCGACCCAGACGACUCGACAUCGGUCCGGGCCCGGACGACUCGACAUUGGUCCGGGCCUGGACGACUCGACAUCGGCUUGGGCCCAGACAACUCAACAGAAUCCUCGACCCGGACGACUCGGCAUCGGCCCGGGCCCGAACGACUGUACAUCGGCUCGGCCCGAACGACUCGACAUCAGCCUAGGCCCGAACAACUCGACAUCAGCCUCGGCCGAACGACUCGACAUCAGUCCGGGCCCCCUCGACUCGACAUCGGCCCGGGCCCACUCGACUCGACAUUGGCCCGAGUCCGGUCGGCUCGACAACGGCCCGGGCCCGAUCGACUCGACAAAGGCCCGGACCCGGUCGACUCGACAAUGGCACGGGCUCGCUCGACUCGACAUCUGACCUAGCCCAGUUUGCUUGACAUCGGCCCGGGCCCGCUCGCCUCGACAUAGGCCCAGGCCCGCUCAACUCGAAAUCGGCUCGGGCCGGCUCAACUCGACAAUGGCACGGGCUCGCUCGACUCGACAUCUGACCGAGCUCAGUUUGCUCGACAUCGGCCCAGGCCUAGUCGUCUCGACAUCUGCUCAGGCCCACUCGCCUCGAAAUCGGUCUAGUCUCGCUCGCCUCGAAAUCGGCCUGGGCCCGCUCGACUUGACAUCGACCCGGGCCCAGUUGACUCGACAUCGGCCCGGGUCCGGUCAGCUUGAAAUCGGCCCGGGCCCGCUUGACUCGACAUCUACCCGGGCCCAGUUUGCUUGACAUCGGCCCAGGCCAGGUCAGCUCGACAUCGGCCCGGGCCCGGUCGGCUCGACAUCUGCUCGGGCCCGCUCACCUCUACAUCGGUCUGGUCCCGAUCGUCUCGACAUCGACCAUACCCGCUCAUUUCGACAUCGAUUUGGAUUCGCUCGGCUCGACAUCGGCCUGGGCCUGAAUGACUCAAAAUCGACCAGAGCCCGCACGACUAGACAUCGGCCCGGGCUCGCACGACUCAACAUUGGCCCAAGCUCGAAUGACUAGAUAUCGGCCCUGGCCCCCUCUGCUCGACAUCGGCUUGAACCCGCUUGGCUCGACAUCAGUCCGGGCCCGCUCGGCUCGACAUCGGCUUGGACUCGCUUGGCUCGACAUCAAUCCGGGCCCGCUCGGCUUGACAUCGGUCUGGGCCCAUUCAGCUCGACGUGGACUUGGGUCAACUUUGCUCAACCUGCGCCUGAAUUGUCUUGGCUCAACCUGGAUCGGGCCAAGUCAAAAUCCAACCCAAAAUACAAAUUGGAUAAUCCAAAAAUGUAUUCAAUCCAUAUCUAAUCCAUAUCCAAUUAAAUGGAUUGGAUUUAAAAUCCUAAAAUAUGGAUUUGGUUUUGAAAUAAAUCCAUUUAAAUGGAUCAAAACUAAUAUGGAUUUGGAUAAUUAUGGAUUGGAUUUUGUAAUUUGGAUUUUUUGUCCACCCUUAUUGGCUAUGAGUCGGCAUGUAAGUUAGGAUAUGCCAGAUGGGGCCUCAAACUAGUAUUGGAUGAACUAGUUGGUCUAAUGAUAAUGGGCCUUAAGUGUAUGUCUAGGAGAGGGAUGCUUCUUCCUGCACCCCUUCAAUUAUGUGUAAUAACUAAAUUAUCCCUAGAGUUUUGAAAAAACUUGAAGGCAUUGCUUUUUUUUUUUUUAUCAGCAAACUUGAAGGAAUUGCUUAGUGCAUUGUUUUGGGUUGGUUUGCUAGAUUGAGGAUUCCGUAAUUCAACUUUUGUGCAUUAAUCACGUGAAUCAGAAGGUCUAAUACUUCUCCUUCUCCAUUACUUCAAUCCCAUUGUGACCAUUUCCUAAGUUAAUAUGUUAUGAUUGGCUACUGAUUUGGACCCUUGUAGUUCUGGAUUUCAUUAUGAGCCUUGGCGUGACACUCGGACAUCUUGUGCCACCUGUGGUAUUGGUUGGCCUCAUGCAAAUCUACCGCUACAAGAAAAUAAUGAAAUAGAAAUCAAUUUGUAGAAAUCAAAAUAAUUAGUUGCAAUAGUAACUAAAUUAGAGAUCAUUUUAAAAACUAAAAAAAAAAUUAAUUUCUAAAUUAGUUUCUAUUAUUGUUAAAUAGUUUCUAAAUUGGUAUCUAAUUAGCAACCAAGAUUUUUUUACCAAAUUUAUAAACUAAAUAAUUGGUAGUUAAAACCUUAAUUGCUAAUUAGAUACCAAUUUAGAAACUAUUUAACAAUAAUAGAAAAUAACAUAAACUAGUUUAGAAACCAAUUUUUGUUUAGUUUCUAAAAUAGUCUCUAUUUUAGUUCCUAUUAUAACUAAUUAUUUUGAUCUCUAAAAAUUGAUUUAUAUUUCAUGAUUUUCUUGUAGUGCACGUUGCACUUCUCAACUAGACAAUACAGCAUGGCAAACGAAUUACCAUCUUAUCAUAAAUUUCAAUAAAUUAUUAAAAACUAUAAUUAAACAUAAAAAAGUUUUAAAAAAUCAUUCUAACUUUACCAAUCCCUAAAUUAAAAAAUACAUUAUAGAUACACUAAUCUGUAAAUUAAAAACAAUAUUUUGGAUUUACCAAUCUAUAAGUCAAAAAAUUAUUCCAAAUCUACCAAUUUAUAAGUCAAAAAAUACAUUCUAGAUCUACCAAUUUAUAAGUCAAAAAAUUCAUUCUAGAUCUAUCAAUUCAUAAGUUAAAAAAAUGAUUUCAGAUUCACUAAUCCAUAGACGUUAUGGAACCAAAUUUUCAGAAACCUUUAAAUCCCAUGAUGGUGUUUUUUCAAAUAAAAAUAACAAUGGCUAGUUUUAGUAUUUUAAAAAUAUAGGAGUGCAGAAAGAAAAAUGUAGAGGUGCAAGAAAAAAACAAACACCCGUAGGAGAGAGGACCUAGUUGGAGUAAUGAAAAUGGGCCUUAUGUAUAAGGGGGCUCUUCAUUGUAUAUGUGAAAAGAUCAAAAUAGCCCUCCCAUAUAUUUAUAUUAAACCUACAUUUUCUUUUUCUCCUAUCUCAUCGUCUUCCAUCUCCGUUGCAGUCCCUUACAGCACCCCUUCGAUUUUUCCUUCCUUCAUCUCUUCAUGAGUGGGAGACCCUUGUCGAAAAUGCAAGGGCCACUACUAUCGACGACUAUGUUGCACUGUCGUACCCGUUGAAGAGGUAAGUCUUAUGUAUUUUUUUUCUUGUUGAUUAUAUGUUAUCUCUAAUUUUCAAUUUUGAAAAUACAUUAUGCAAUGGAUAGUCCAGGAUAUAUUUAUGAAUUUAAAAAAUUAUUUUGUUUGUGAUUAUUAUUGGCAGAGAUAUGAUUAGGAUAGAGGUGAAUCACCAUCUCAAGCACAAACUAGUAAAGAUCAUAUCAGCCUUUGUUAAGAGGUGACACCAUGAUAUCAAAAAUUUUCAUUUCUUUGAUGGUGAGAUGACCAUCACUUUGGAUGAUGUGUUAGAAUUGUUACAUCUAAUAAUUGUGGGGUAGUUUAAUUCGUAUGUGACAUUAGAUUUCACAUCAACAUCAUUAUUGUUCGUUGAAAUGCAUCGGGGGAGCUCGAUGAUGUUGCAGAAAAGUUAAGGUAGUGUCGUGGUGGAUUGAGUUACACGAGUAGUGCAUUAUACACCACAUGGGAUUUUCCACACUGCUUUUGAUAGAUAAAACAAUUAGGUCAUUAUUACAAGUACAUAAUACACAUUAUUUGAAGAAAUUUAGAUUUAUUAUUAGUUCACUACAAGAAACAUAUGUUUGUGUGGGUCAAGCGUGGAUGUCAUUUGUGUCGGCCAAAACCAUGCAACUCUGAUACAAAAUCUUUUUUCCCUGACCUUUUGACGCUGGACCUUUUGAUGCAUGUGGGACGCACAAAGAGAAAGUGAAAAUAAUAAUAAUAAUAAUCUUGUGUCGACAAGACCAAUUCAUAAUUUGAGUCGUACGACGGGCUGAAAAACAUAUAUUUAAAUAUUUUUAUUACAUGUAUAGAUUUAUUUAUUUUAAAUAUAAUAAAUUUUUAAUAUUGUAAUAAAUAUUUUAGUUUCAAAUACUUUAUUUUGGAGUAAAAUUUAAAAUAAAUUUAAAUUUUGAUACAAGUUAAUUAAAUUAAAUUUAUUUAAAGAAAUUAUCAUAAAAAUAUUAGAAAAAACUGAAAAAUGUAGAAAAAUAAUGAUUGAGUAAAUAAAAAAGGCAUAUUUAAAUUUUGUAAAUGUUAUAUAAAAUAUAAAAUAUACAUAAAUUUAGGAAUAUAAAUUUGACAUGAAGUAAUUAAUGUAAAAUUUAGUGAAUUUAUUUAAAAAUAAAGAAGUAAUAUUAUCACAAAAUAUGGAAGUAAACUUAAGAAAAGAAAGAGUGAGGAUAAAACUUUUGAUUGGUCACUUAAAUAAAUUUUAAUCUCAUAAUAUCUCUAUAAUGGAUGAAGGAAAGAUUUAUUUUGAACUUAGAAUCGUCCUUGGAGACACUACGUGAGAAAACAUAUGUGAGUAAAUUGUCGUCAGUGGGAACACUACUCGAGAAACAAAUAUUAAUGUCGUCUAAACUUAUGCCAAAUAUAAUAAAAUAUUAAUUUGCAUUCACUUUGUAUCCCCAUUUUGGACGCAAUAUCACUCUGCAACUUAUUUUUUGAUUGCAUCUACUUUGUGUCUCCAUUUUAGACGCUAACUCAUUAAUAUUAUUUUAAUAAUUUUUACUUACAUCCACUUUGUGUCUCCAUUCUAGACUCAAUUUUAUUCUAUUACUUAAUUUUUUUAUUACAUCUAUUUUGACAUUUAUUUUGUUAUCCAACUUGAGUAGACUUCACAUUUACUAGUGAUUUCUUUUUUAUGGUCCUCACUUUUUGUUGGCAGCUAAAAUAAAUUUUAUUUUAGUGUCUAGGUCACUAGCUAAUUCAAUUCAUACGAGAAUAUGAGAACACUUUUCAGUUGAAUUUCAUAAAUAAAAGUAAACAUUCUAAAUUUUUAAAAAAAUAUUGAAUAUAAAGAUUGAAAAAGUAAUAUAUAUAUAUAUAAAUAUAAUGAUUUCAAUGGAGUUUUCUCAAUUUUUUUAUAGAUUGCCACGAGUUUACUUCACUUAAAGUACCUUUCUUUUUGUUUAAAGAUAUAGGUAUAUAACUUUCAAAAUAGAAAAGUGAUUUUUUUAACAAAUAUCAAAGAUUAAAUUUACUAAGGGUAUAUUUAAACCUAAGCUUUUCUAAAUUCUUUACUGUAGAUUUCACUUAGCAAACUUUUUCCAAAUUUGUUACUUGUUUUUUCUAUUCGUUAAGUGAAAUAAAUUCUUUCAACAAAUUUACUCUAGUAUUUCGUCUAAGUUUCUCCACCUAAAAUUUUAUUAAGCUAAAUUAAUUUGCUUAGCAAAUUUUGGACAGAAAAUAUAUUUAUUUUAAUUCUUUAUCUUCGUUGGUAAAAAUAAAUUCCUUAUAUAUAUAUAUAUAUAUAUAUAUAUAUAUCUAUCUUGAAUCCAAGUUUCUUCAAUGAUUUUUUAUAAACAGAAUUAUUAAAUUAAUGCACCAAACUACUUAUUUUAACAAAAUAUCUAUUUUUAGUAAAUUGUUUACAAAACUUAAAAUGACACGUUGAAAUCUAACAUUGUUUUCUUAUUUGAGUUAUUUUGCCUUUAUACGUUGAAGUUGUUGACGUCGGAUUAAUCGGUCAAAAAACAUAGGAAAGUUUACACACAUGUAAUUUUAUGAUUACUAAUCCUAAGAAUCUUAAUUGAAUUAAAAUAUUUUCCUUAUAAAAUUCUACAUUACAGAAAAGACGAAGAGAAGAAUAUUAUAAUAUUUAGGUUUUUUAUUUCAACAUGUUAUUUAAAAAUUAAGCCAUUUGUAUUUAAAUAUAAUUUUUUGCGUUUUUUAUGUAAAUUAUUGACUAUGUACCAUUCUAAUUUAACAAAUUUCGUGACAUUGUAAUUAAGUAAUCUUGAUGGAUGUGACAUUAUUUACAUGGAGUGCCAUUAGUCACAUCAUAUUUUUGUGUCAUAAACUGGGAGCCAAAACACAAACCAUUGAUUUGGAAUUUGCACACACAAAAGAGUAUUCUUUCAUAACAAGAUAUUUGAAUUUAAAUAUAAUUACAUAUAUGAAAACCACUCAAGUCUCAAGUCACUUUGAAGACUCUCUAUUUGCCAGAGUGGAGGAAUAUGAGAAGAGACAAAACUAAAAUUUAAAUUGAAGAAAUAUUGAGAAGGAUUUUUUUUUUUUUAAAAAUAUCUCACUUCCUUUUUUUUCUCUUCAAUUAAAUAAAAAUAUAUCAUCAUCUUUAUUUUUUUUCUUCUCCGAACAUUGGUCCUAGACUCUUGUUCUUACUCUUUUUUUUUUUUUUUUUUUUUAUCAAUUAAAUAAAAAUAUAUCAUCAUCUAUAUUUUUUUUCUUUUCCGAACAUUGGUCCCAGGCUCUUGUUCUUACGUUUUUUUUACCUUUUUUAUCGAGGAUAUUUAAGAUGGGUGUCCAAAUUAGAUUAAUGAAUUGAUUUUUGGGAAGGAUUGUCGAACUUAUAAUUAUAUAUUGAAUAGUAAUUUAUUUGCAGAAGACUUUUACGCUUUAAGUUAGUAAGAAUUUAUAAGAUAAUUAAGUACAAGUGAAUGAGAAAAUAAUUCAUAUCCAUAGUAAUAAGAAUAUUCACUAAUAUCAUAUUUAUAGCCUUAUAUAAUAUCUAGAUAACUGAUUCUUUUAUCAAAUGUGUAGUUGAGUUCUAUAAAAACGAGUCAAUUAUUUUUUAGUACUAAUAGGAUACAUAAUAACUACAAUAACUACACGUGUUUAAUAUCUGCGGUUAUGAAUAGUUAAUAGAUGAUCGGUCCUCAGUAGUAAAGUAUUUUUCAUGUUUAAAUAAGAGAUGAAGCAGAAAAAUAAAUUUCCAAAGUAAGGAAAAUAAAAUUAAGUUGUAAACAUAGUGUUAUUAUUGUGUCAGGAGUUAGGAUAACAGUACCUACCGGUUGAACAACUGAAUUUUUUAUUUUUUUUGUCUUUUUUUUUUAUUUUUUUUGUUGAGAUUUUGAUAUGAGGACACUUCCAAAUGUUAUCUUAUGUUGAAAUAAUUAUUUAAUUCGGUGAAAUAAAUAUUGUAAUAAUGAUAUAUAUUAGUUUAUUUAUCAUAUGUGAUACUGAUAGACCUAAAUUAAAACGUGCAUUACAAAUAAUGUUCACAUUUUUUAUACCAUUUAACUAUGAUUAAUAUACACUUAGAUUUGUAUGGUUCGAUCAGUAUCACAUACGAAGAGACAUUUGAUCUUUGACGGUACACAUAGAUUUUUUAACUCCAACAACAUAAUAUAGAUAAAGUGAAAAACUUGGUCUCUCUAGUUUCUUCAGCCCACAAGCUAGAAAAGGAGAAACCGAAGGGUUAUGAGAUGAACUACUCAUGAAAAGUUGCAGCUUCUGGGGAAGGAAAGAUAAAAUGCCAGGGCAUAUAAGCAUUAGUUUUGUUAGGCAUUGCACCAAAGUGAUGACUCGUUAUGGUUACAUCAAUCCCUUUGAGGAGCUGAUAGAUGUAGAAAAGCUAUGCUAUAAAGCUUUGUUAAGUACUUGUUUUUUAAUGCAUACAUUUCUUUAUGGCUAAUCACUUUUUUCUUCCAAUCAACCCUGAAUGAAAGGGUCACACACCAGAACUAAUCCUUUUAUGCAAACUAAAAUAGCCAUUAUUAAUUUCAAAUUGUUGUUAACCAACAACUUACCAUUAAUCGACAUCGUACGAUGUUUCUCAUAUCUUUGAGCAUUGCAUACACACGCCAACAACAACUUAUAUAUAAUCAAAUCAUGCCCUACGCCCCAAGCAGACAUGUCUAUCACCCUGAACAUCCAUUAAUGGUAAAAUAAAAGCAUUGCAGAGAACCACAUGACUGCCAGCUACCUAGUUAAUUGUUCAAACGAAGUAACUUGACUCAUACUUUAUUAAGCAAAAAUCCUAGUUGCUUAGGGUGUGACAGUUUUUGUGGUAGGAAAUGGAAAAGUUUUAUGUAUCCAGAUUUACAAAUUUGUAAUCUAGUAAUUACACUUUCUUUCUGUAUUCCAGGUGUGGUUUAUUGCUAGUAUAGUAAAGGUUAUAACUCGUGACAUAAAAGUAAGUGAAAAAAAUUGUAAAGUAUAAAAUAGUUUUAUAUCUCUUCCUACUAGGAAGAUGAUACCUAUAAAACUAUUGAAGUCUUCUUCUACUUCCUUCGGUCGGUCAGGUUGCUGGGUGAUGAACUGAGAUUCUUCUCGUCCUCCUGCUUCUCUUUUGACACUCGGUCUCGGAUGAACGGAUGGUGGGGUACCUGCGAAGGCACUCCGACGCUCAAGUCAGUAAAGCGGAUGAUGGUGUUUUGGUAGGCGAACAAUAAUAAAUGACAUACCUUUUCCUUGGGAUGCGUGCCAUUUAUAUUAUUCUAAUGGGCCUACCUUGUUGGGCCCGUUUAUCGGAGUGGAUACUGCUUAGGAUUUUAUUACCUAAUUCUUAAUGACGGAUUAACUUCACUGACCUUGGUUUGAGCAUUAACGGUAAUAUGGGUUGGCCGUCGGACAGGAUUCCAUGGUCUCGGUCGUCUCGGCCAAGUCUCUAAGGUCUUGGCCAGGUUUUCCUGGUCUCGAUCGGGUAGACCGUCGGCCUCGUCCUCUCGGCCAAGUCUCUUAGGUCUCGGCCAAGGUUCCCUGGUCUCGGUCAUGUAGAUCAGGUCUCGGGCAACCAUGUGGGUCUCGAUCAGGAAGACCAGGAGUCGGUCUCGCCCCAUAUCGUUAUCCAAUCAAUGCAUAUCAUGAGUGUGUUGAUUUUUAUAAUAAUUAUUUAAAAAAGUAUAUUAAUAUUAAUUUGUGGUUUGAUAAAAGUAUAUGAUAUACAAUUAUCAUUCAACUCAAUAUUUAAAUCGGAAGAUAUGAUCCAUAAUAGGAAAUGAAUACUUAUGAGGCGGGUAUAUAUUUUUAGCACUCUCGAAUAGUGAAAAACACGAAUGAAAGGUGUUGGACUUGAAAGUAAUGAAAGUGUGAUGAGGUGUUGAGAUGGAUGUGUUGGGGAGUGCCCGUUUUAUACCAAUAAUUGGAACUUCUAAGACUUAGUUUAUUUGAGUUUAAGGCAGCAUGAUGAAGCUAAAUCUAGUGGCAACCUAUCUUUACACGUAUGAGAAUGAAGCCAUAUGGGUUCUGAGGCUUGGAAGCAUGUUGGUGUCCCCAUUAAGCAUCCCAAUAUCUUCUGAAAAUCAACCACUUUGAGUGGAUUCCAACUCCUCCUCAACCAUUUAUAAGAUUCACAAAGUAGUGGGUUUCCCUUUCACACACCUAACCCUUUCAAAAUAACCCAUUAAACUAAAUAUCAGAUCUCUUCCAUUUAAUAAAAUAUUACUAUUUUUAGAUUCCAUUUUGUGGAUAUUUGUUUCAGAGCUCUCAUAAAUCUGGGUGCCCAAUGGUUUAGUACCAUCUCUUUUUGAGCAAUUAAAGGUUCUAUUUCGAUUCAAUAUCCCAAUUAAACAUCUUCCAAUUGUUAAUACUAAGAGAUGUUGGGAGUUAGAGUCAAUAAUAUCAAUCCUCUGCCGUUAUAAGUGCUUCUCUUAAUUAAUUUAUUUUCUCAGAUAUCUUCACUUUAUAGCUUUAGGAACUGUUUUAAAUAUAUAAGAUUACAAUUAUAAAAAUAUUCUCCACACUCAGAGUUCCUGCCUCCCUGUUAUGGUGGCAACUCCUAGCUCAAACUCUCAACUCAAUCUCAUUAUAUUUAAUUAAUUAAGAAUUCAAUAUAUUUUUCUCCAUAUAUUUUUAUUAUAAAUUUUUUUUUUCUAUUUUAAACUUUAAAUCUUCUAAAUAUUUAUAGUAACAAAAUUAAGAUUGUCAAUUUUUUUACAUAAUAAUUUUCAGUGUGAACUAGUAUAUUAAAAUAUUUUGUACUGAUUUAUUACGGUCGUUAUAAUAUUAUAAUAUGGUUUAUUCUAAAAUUCGUUUAUUAUAUCGAUUUUUUAUUUUUUAAAAAUUCAUUCUAAUAAUAUUUUUUACGUCAAAAUUUUGGAUUAGAUACAAAACUCAAUUUUACAUAAAUUUUACGUUAUAAGUUAUAGAAGAUGGUUAGACCCAUUAAUAAUCUGUUGUGACUAUGUUACUUUAUAACUUUUGUCUACAAAAGGAUAAUAGAUGGAGGAACAGGAAGGAGCUGUUUAUUAGUGAGAAUCUGAGAGCAUUAUUGUAAUGUAGUAUAUAUCUCCAUGAGUUUUAAUUCCCUGUGAUUGGUAACUACGUGACUAUGUUCGCAGCACUUGGACCAUGUGAUGGAAUAGGAUGGAUAGUUGGAGCAUGUGAUGGAAUAGGAUUGAUGGUUGACAAUAAUUGAAGUGUCUUCAAGGGCUUUAUGAUUCUGGAUGGAUGUAGACUGGUUAAUCCUUUGACAUGUUGCUUGUCUUAUUUGCUAGUUUAGUGAUUUUAUGCAUAAUUCAUCAGGACACAAAAUAGUAGGAAAGCCAAGUACAAUCAUGGAUAAUGAUCGAUAACAAAAAGAGGAGCCAUCACAAUGGGUACGGUUAUGAUCAUAUAAUUUUUCAAAUAUUUAACCACAUCAUGACUCCACCCUCUAGCCUCUACUGCCAUGUCUACGUUUUGUGCGCCUCUAACAUGCGUCUCACCUCGUCAUUGCCCAAGUUGCCUCGUCCUACCACAUCAUCAUGUUGUUACCCCCCACAUUCCCCUCCUUGUGUAUUCCUGUGCACAUUUUCCUUUGGAGUUUACAUAGUAUUUUCUCAUUUUAUAGUUGCUUUUUUUAUAAUCUUUUUAAAAAUCGUAGAGUAAGUGAAUUUCAUUUAAUAAAUUUUAUUACAUUGAAUUUGCAUAAUGUUAUUACAUUGAAUUUGCAUAAUGUUAUGUAUUCUAAUAUCAAAUUUUGAUAUUUUAAUACUUAUUCUGGAUAUAGCAUAUUGAGUGGUAGAUUAAGUGAAAGAUCAAUAAAACUUAUUUAGAUACAUCUUAAGGUAUUUAUAGUAAAUAUAUUCAUAACUUUUGUAUUGUCAUUUAUUGAUAUAAUAAUGUUUAUUUUGAGUUGUAGUACAAUAAGCAAAUUCGAUGUAUGAGUGUGUCUAAUAUGUGAUGUAGUAUAUGACGACCAUUGUUCGAGUUGAUAUUAAUAAAGACUUAUAUGCUAUAACCCACCAAUAACACUCUUAAAUUGGAUUAUUAAUUAUAGACUUAUGUUAAUUUAAUUUAAAAUAUUUUACUUUCUCAAAAUAUACAACUGUUAGAUUCAUAAGUAAUUAAAUAUGUCACAAUGAUAUGAAUCCAAAUAGAAAUGGUAGCAAAAUUGGGAAUUUAGGGUUACAUGACGGAAUAAAUUCAAAACAGUAACAAUAGAAAUAUGGAUAAAGGAAGGCGCCACAAACAAAGUUUGAUAAGCCUAAGGAUGAUCGUCACAAGAAAUGGUGAAUUCUUGAUAAGAUCGCAAGAUGCAGGGAAAAACCCUAGCAGAUAAAUACUCCCUCUUGCCAAAAUAUUUGUCCUUCUUUCUGAUUUCCAAAAGAGUAUAAAUAUAAAUUGAGUUAUGUGUCUUGACUCAUUUGUAAGUAAGUAAAAUAAAAAUACAAUCCCUAAAUUUCAAGAAGUGAUCAUUUGUUUCAGGGAUUAGGUUGAUACCUUGUAAUUGGUUAUGAGUUCAAAUCCUAACUCUAAAUAAAAUAAUAAGUAUUGCAAGUCUUGUCUCGUGUAAUCAAUUUAGUUUUUUUAGACUGAAUAUGCUUAAGUUUUUAUGGAAUAUUUUGUUGCUUUAAAACUUUGUUUUAAUUCAUAAAUUAUAUUUUAUAUACAUUUGUACAUGUGAAUUACAGUUAGAUUCGUUAUAUAUGUUUGAGAUGGAAUCCACUAUUUGCAGGUUCAAAUUUUAUGAAAAAAAAGUUUUUUUUUUUAAAAAAGCAACACAUAUGAUGAAGGUAUGGAGCAAACCGUCAUCGUAUUAACACUUUUAAUAACGAUUUAUAAGAAUUAUGUUGCGUUUACAUAAUUUUAAAGACAACUUCGUUGUCAUUUUCUCAAUUUGUUUAUGAUAGAUAAGAGUCAACUUCUUAUUAUUAAUUUUUCUUACGAUAACGAUUUAUUACAAAAUCGUCUUUAAAACUCUAUUCUACUACAUUGACAUUUUUAUUAAAAUAUUCUAAAACUAAUUUUAAAAAGCUAUUUUAGACGUUAUGAAAAGUCUAAUGUACUUUAAUGAUAGAUAAAAAAAUAUAUUUAUUUUAUUUUAUUAAUAAUUAAUUAUUUCUUCUUGUUCUUAAAACAGGAUAAUUAGAAAAAUGUUUAUUUACUGAUUACUGUUUUCGACAACAUUUCAAUUACUGUUAGAAUUUAGAAUUUAUACAGACACUUUAAAUGCCAUAAAUUUCCCUUUGUUGCAACAUCAACUGCAAAAAUUAAAUUAAUUAGAAGGUCGAUAAGAAACAACUUUACAGAAUUAAUACACAACUAUGAAUUAUUUUAAUAAACGUAUUUCUUUAUUAUUUAAUUUAUUAAAAGGCAUAAAUUAGAUGUAAUUACAUGGUUCCUUUUAAAAAAUUACGAAAAUACAUUAAAAAAUAAUUUAAAUAGAAGAAAUACAUUAUUCCGUAAAAGAGUUUUAGUAAGUAAUAAAAAUAGUUUUGGGGAAGUACAUUAUUCUGCAUUUUAACUUAUGCAACGUUCCAAACUAUGUUAAUGUUACUUGGAUUUGGAUUGCAGUUAUUGGAGACAUCUGGAGACAUAAGGAGAAUUACAUCUUUAAAGGAGCAGUGAUUAAUCAUUUAGAGAUUUUUUUCUUGGUUCUUGGUUAACUUCCAAAUGUAAUUAUACUUGUUUUUUUUAUUUUGAUUGGUGUCUUUAUCUGAGAACUUGCUUGUUUAUUAUAAGAAGAACUGUUAGUUUGAGUAGGUGGUAUUGUGAUGUUUCUUAUAAUAGUCUUUAGUGAGUUCUGAGGUAUUUUUUUUAUUUGUAGUUGUAUGUAUAAGGAUUGAAUCACCCCUAAAAUGAUUUUUAUUAAUUUAUUAUUUUUUGUUGAUAACAAAAAUGUAAUAAAAAUAGUUUUAAGAAUAUAAUUAUUUACAAAAAUGAGACUAAAUGAUAAAACCAUUAAAUCAAGUUUUUAUUUUAAAAUUUUAGCUAAGACGUUUAGAAAAUAUCAUCCGACAAACAAAAUUUAUCUAUUCCAUACCUGCCUUUUGAAUUUAAACACUUCUAACAGUUACUGCAUGGUGAUGGAAAAAGACCCAAACCAGGGUUAAGGUUUUCUGUGUAGAUCAUAUACACCGUGAUUUAUUUAUUGACACAGUGUGCCUGAAUUAUAUUUGUCUGAGUUGGAUUUUAUAUAUAUAUAUAUAUAUAUAUGCUUGUUUACAAUACUACCCCUCCCGAUUAUAAGUACGUACUUGUGGAAAGUAAAUAAGAGAAGAAUGGAUAAAACACAACAAAACCUUCACUCCUAUUUCUUUACCAUUCUUUUACCCACCACCGCUCAUUUUUUUUAAAUUUCUUAUCUACAAAACAUUUCUACUUUAUUUUUAUAAUAUUUUAUUUUAAUAAAUAUUAAAAUAAAAUAAAUAUAAUAAAUAAUAAAAAUAUUGAUAAAAUAUGUAAAAGAAGAAAAUAAAAAUAUUUUUUUAUAUUUUUUUUCUAGUUUGUACUUACCUGUUAUAAAGUCAGAAACACCUUCAAAGUAAUUGUACAUAUCCGAUAAUUAGACUUUAAUUACAUCAAUGACAAUUAUAAACGGCUUAUUCAAAUAAUUUACUACUGACUAUUUAUGAAUAUAAUGCAAGAUCUAUAAAUACAAACUCUCAUAAAUAUAAUAGAUCGUAUUCAAUACUUGUACACUCAUAUAUUUUGCAUAUAUACUACUGUAAUUGCGCUCUAAUUACUUAAACAUCCGAAACGCACAUACUUGUAAAAUAAUACAAAGAUUUUCAUCAAAACAUAAUUAUUUUUUAAAAUAGUAAAACACAAACUUUUACUUCUUCAUAUCCCUCCCCUUGUUUAAUUUUUUUAAGAAAAAGAGAAAGAAAAUUUUAAUUUUUUUAUUUAUUUAUUCUAUUUUUGAAAAUAUUAGUUUCAUAUUAUUAUUAGUAUCUAUGAUAUAUAAUUUUUUCUUUUAAUGUUUCUUAUUCAAAUUUUUUAUCUAUUAAUAAUGUUUAAAAUAUAAUAAUUUAAAUAUAGUUAUAUUUUUUUAAGUUCUUAUAUUCUAAUUAAUUAAAGUUUUUUUUUCUAAAAAUAUUUUUGUAUGCAAAUUAUUUUUAGGAAAAAAAUAAAAUCUUAAUUGCUAUAAUUUUUUAUAAGUACUUUUAACUCUAACUUAUUUAUCAUAAGUUUUUCUUUUAACAAUCACGUUUCUCAUAAUUUAAUUUUGAUUCAAUUAUUGAAGAGUUCAAAAAUUAGUACAGUAAAGAACCAAAUGAAAAUUAAUUAAACUGAGUACGAAUUAAUGUACAAAUUGAUUUAAUAUUAUUUAUUAUGUAUACUUUAAAACUAAAUAAAACUCAUAAUAUGUACAUACACAUUAAACAAAAACAUUAUAUUGCCUAAUUGGUUAGAAAUCAUAGAUGUUUUAAUAAAUACUUAUAAUAAUAAUAAAAAAUAAUGUUAUAUAAAUGUUUUUACUUUGAGUCUCUAAAGGCAAAACAAAAUAAAAUAUGAAAAGAGAUAUGACUGACUAUGGUUUAGAUGAUUUGGAACCAUGUGAAUAAUAUUAUAUUUAAAAGUAUAAUAAGGUUGAUGUUGAAGAAUUAUUCUACAUGGCACAACUUUUGACUGGAUAUAGAUGAUCCAUAAAACUUCUAGAACUAUAUUCUCUUACUCAACUCUUAAAAUUUAUAAUGUAUAUGAUUAUAUAAUGUCAUUAAUGUAUUGAGUAUGUGUAGGUGCUAUCAUAUACUUGUGUUGUAUGUGAUUAUUAUUGCAGAUGGAAUAAAGUAACCAUGUGCAGCAUAAACUUAUGUUGGUGGGAGGAAAACUUGUAAAUUAAAUGCAAGAUAUUAUGAUAUUGUGUUUGAUAGUUUGUUUUUUUAAGUUAGUAUGUGUUGUAUGAGUUCAAAUUGUGGGAGAGAAACACUUUUGUUCUCGAACUGGUUUGGGGACAAGGAGAACUAUCAACUUCGGAUGAUACGCGGUCGGUCUUGACGUGUUCGGCUCUCCUUCAAGCUUCUUCGUCGAAUGGUUCCUCGGAUGUGUGGGGUACCUGUAGAUGACACUCAAACGCUCAAGUCAGUAGGGUAUCGUAUUCGACUGUCAGAAUACUGUAGUUAAUGACGUACCUUUUUCCUUGGAAUGCGUGAUAUUUAUAUUACCUUGAUGGGCCCUUGCUGUUGGGCCGAAUUAGGGGGUUACUUAGUGACUAGGGUUGAAUUAGGUCAUCCCUUAACCAUGAGUUAACCUUUGCUAAUCGGGUCAAUUUUUGACUUGAGCAUCCUAUGCUGGUCGGCCACGUACGCCACGUGGUCGACCUUGUAACUUAAGGUGGGAUCUGGGCGUAUGGGUUGACCGGGUCAAGGGGACCGGUCAGUCGGCCCAAUACAACUUUAAAAUUGAAGAAAGAGGUUUGUACUAUUUUCUUAUCUUUGUAAGUUGAGGUAUUUGGGAUAGUCAAAUUUUUGUUGUAACUGAAACUAAUGCAGAAUUUUAAUAGAUCUUAUUUUGUACACAAUUAAAACAUCCCUUAAAUAUUCUAUUUUUAAUGUUAUCAUUAUUUGUGGAUAAAAAAAUACUUACAAAAAGUGAUUUACAAAUAUUUUAUUAAAAUUAAAAAAAUUAUCACUAUUUUAAAACCAUCUUAAACUAGACUUUAAAAAGUAACGAAGGUGAGAAGUAGUAUUUUCCUUAAUGGGACAUUAGUUAAAAUUUUGAGAAAAAAGUAUGGACCCAAUAACUUUUAUUGUCGAAGUAAGUGUCAGACACCAAUAUCAAGAUUUCAUAAAUGGUUUUUGUAACUUUAGUUUUCUUUUAAUUGGAUGCCAAAUGGACUAAGCGGUAGUUCCCGGCAACAAUGCUACCCAUAGUUUAAGAUGUUUAUAGGAAGUUUAUGAGUAACCCUUAUCCAUAAACUUAUAUAUGUAUGCCACAGUCCAGGUCAAAAUAUAAACUCAAUGAAGAAUCAAUAUGCUAUUAAAAUAAACCUUUUAUAUAGCUAUUUUAGACAUUUUGUAUCAGUUAUAAAUUCAAUACACAUCACUAAUAUAAAAAAUGGGAAGUUUUUUUUAUAUCAAUUAAAAAUCAAUAUAAAAAAUUUGAUAUAUAACAUCCAUUCUAAAACAUUCGAUGUUAUAUAUCACUUAGAAGACCCAAAGCAUAAAAAAAAUGUCAUUAUAAAUCUUUUUUCGACAUGAAUUAUUUCUAAGUAUAUCAACAUCAAAUGUAAAGGGUAAUUUAAAAGUAAUUCCAACUAUAACUACUAAUUAAAACUAAGUUAAACAUAAUUAGUAAUUAAAAAUGAAUUAACUGUAUAUUGAAACUAAACUAACUAUUGCACAUAAUUCAAAGAUUAAUUCUUCACAAAAUGCUAACUUCUAUUAUUUAAAAGAUAUAUUGCCCACUUUAAGGUCAUGUGUCUAGCCCGAUUGUUGAUCAUUUAUGAUGGUUGGUUGACCCUUAUAACUGAUGUAAAGAUAUAGCAUACAUUGGGGAUCUCAAUAACUUAGCUUUAACUACCCAAUUAGAGUCGAAUCAUAACGAUGGCAGAAGGUUAAGGGUUUGAUCCAUAUAUAACACAAUACAAAAUAUGAUAUAUAAUACACACAGAAAAAUGAUACACUUAUUCUUUACCAUCUUCAAUGCUCUAAAUCGGAGGUCAUACAUCCUCUUGUCUAGAACACCCACUAAUAAUGAAUUUAUUUAAUUAUCUUUAUAUCCAAAUGACUAAUAAUGAGUAAAAUAUUGCAAAAUAUUUAAUGGAUAUUAGUUUUUUAUAAUAACCACAACAAUCUUUUAUUUUUCCAAACAAAAAAAUUGAGUGUUAUAUUAUCCAUUCUAAGAAAUCUACAAUAAUCAAAGGGUUAUGGUCCACAUAUAAGCCACAAUAAACUUUUUUUAUUAGUUACAUUUGUAUUAAUAUAUAAAUUGAAUCAAGUUAAUUAAUUGAAAUUAGUUAGCACGAUUAUAAUAAGUUUAAUGACGAACUAAAUAUUUUAAGACAAACUUAACAUAAGUGAACCGAAAUUUAUCAUGAUGAUAUUAUUAAAAAAUUGUGUAAAUUAACUUUAUUAAGUGAUUCAUAUAAAAUAGAUUUUGGACUUAUAAAACGUUAAUGUGAGAAGUUAUUUGUUAAAUAAUAACAUAAUAAUAAAAGUUUGUUGAAAGUUGUUAUGAUAGCAAGAAUUAACAAGAAAACAAGUCAAAGAGUUUGUUGGUUAAAAUGUAAAAAUAGGGAUUGAGUUUCAACUUUCUCACUCUUUUGUAUUUUGAUUAGCAUGACAAUAUUGUGCCAUUUGAUUGAUAUUGGUGUCGGUAUAAAAAUCAUUUAUAUCGAUUCGUCGCAUAUAAAAUUAGUAAGAUGCUUCCUAAAUAUCAAUUAUUCACGUAUUUAUAAAAACAACUUAUCUUUUAAGAUUAGAUGUUGAUAGCAAUUAACAUUUCAAGUCUAUUCCUAACACUCAAAUAUGCUAAGUAUUAUUGUUUAGGUCAUAACCCUAAAAAUACUUUCAAGUCAAAUUUAAGAUUAUAGAUCAAGAAUUAGAAGCAAAACAAUAAUACCAAUAAUCAAUCAAGAACAAAAUAUUAUGUUAAGAUAUCACCUAAAUGCAUAAGAGUUUGAACAUAUUACUCUCAAUCCCAAAGGGUAGAAUUAGUCACACAUCUUCUAACACCUUCUAUUCUCCCAAUUGGGUUACAAGUCAUUCAAUGGUGUUUUCCUCUCAAUCUUCCACCCUAAGGUCGAGCCUCAAGCCCCCUAUUUAGCCUAAUUUUCUAGGAUUAGGUGACUUCAGUGUGUCGCGCUAAUGGGCUUGUUGAUUAAAACAUGAAAUGGCCCAAUAGUUCUGGUCCUUUCUCGCUCAAGCGAGAUAUAUCUUGCUUGGGUCAGAUGCUCUGAUGAUGAUUUGAGCUUUUUGUGCUUUUGUGCGUUGUGGGGCCUUCCAGCUUUCUCCUUUUAGCUUAUAUUAUUCCUCUUUAGCCCAAUCAUUUCCAUUCUUUCCUAAAAACCUGAAAUUAACACCAAAUUUGGAAAUAAAAUGUUCUUAUUCAAAUAAAGAUCAUAAAAUAUGUAAAAAGGUAAAAAUUCAUAAAUUAGAGAUUAUUUUAUAUAUAUUUUAGCAAUUCAUACUCAUAAGUGCCUUUAUUUUAAUAUGAAAUAUUACUGAAAUUAGGCACUUAUCACACUCCUUAGUGGUGUGCACAUUGUUCUUGUGAUACCGACACCUAGGAGUCUGGUCAGCGUUCUCGGGGCUCGCAGCCCUUCUCGACGGUGGGAUUAGAUUGAAACUUAAGGCCUCAUCUAGAAUCCUCCCACUUUCGACACUCAAAGGGGUGUACUUGUAAAUCGGUGUCCCCGAUUGUCCCUAUGCCUAUCUGCUCGACCAACAGUAGGUCGGCUUAGACGCUCGUUCUCCUUUUCCUUCCCCUUAUCCCCACCUGCCUCAGCCCUGACCUGAUUCAUGAACUCCCUAAACUCUUCCAACUGCAUGAACUUAGCAGCUUUCUACCUAAGCUCAUCUAGGUUCACAGUCGACCUCUUACAUAAGCUAUCGGCAAACGACCCUGGUCGUAGGGCGACCAUGUGAUGCAUGCCCACGUUCGGACUCAGAUUUCGAAUGUUCAGGGACACCUUACCAAACCUUUCCAUGAAUAACCUCAAAUAUUCGCCCUUCUCCUGGCGAAUGUUGACCAGGGCGAACUGUGUCCCGAACUUGGACACCAACGUUUCAAAACAGUCGAUAGAGUUUGGAGGAAGUCUCGCGAACUAGCUCAAGGCUCCUCCCUUCAGUGAGGUGGGGAACACUCGACACAGGAACACGUUAUCUGAGGUGUAUAGGCUUAUGUGUAUAGAUUCCCCCUCUACCCACUUCUUCUUCAUCUCUUCAUUCUCUUUUCGGAGAGCAAGAAUCUCCUUUUCACUCUUUCGUUGCAUCUCCUCAUUCUUUCUAUUCAUCUCGACCAUCUCUUUUUGUAGAGACGUCAAAAGUAUCAUCUGCUCAGCCUCAUAUAUCCUCUCUCUCACCAUACUUCUAGUUAACACCAUUUGUUCUUCCACUCCUCCUCUCCUUGAACUCUGGACUCGAAUGAUACCUACAAAAGACACUCUGACGCUCAAGACAUACUUUAGCACUCGACACUUAGUAUUUAGUAUAAGAUGAUUGCAUCCUAGAUCCUUUGGGAUCUGUGCUUAUUUAUAUAAUUAUCGUGGGCUUUUUGUCGUUAAUGGGUCUAAUAAAAACAUAUUAACAAAUGUUGGGUCAUUAAUCAGUUUCGUUGUUGACCAUGUCGGUCGGUCUGGAUCAGGUGCCGAAUAGAAGUCUUGGUCGUGCGAACCCUACCGGUACAGUAAUAAUCAAACAAUUAAGAAUAAAUUACUCAUUUACAUUCACUCUUAAUGUUUGUAUUAUAUACUUUGUGGAUAAAUCUUUAAAAUGACUUUAUGCUCUGUUUAUGAGAAGUCAACUCUUUAAAACCACAAUGGACAUCAAAGAAAAAUUUCAAUUUCAAAAUAAAUUGUUCCUUUAUACAUUCCAGAUAUUAGGAGUUUCAUAUUUUUUAAAGUUACCAAACAAAGAUUUUACUCUAACUUUUUCUUUUCUUUAAGUUUAGUUUCAAAUUUUAUCACAAUAUUUGCUUCUUUACUCAAUUAUUAUUUUUCUAUUUUUUUAAUUAUUUCUUAACUUUUUCAAAUAUUUUCUUUAAAUAUUUUUAAUAUUAAACACUUUAGUCAACUAAUUAAAUUUAAUUUAAUUAACUUAUAUUAAAAUUUAAAUUUCACUCCAAAAUAAAUUAUUCAAAACUAAAAUAUUUAAAAUAAUAUUAUAAAUUCAAUAAAUUUUAAAUAAAUAAAUCUAUACAGCAUAAUAUAAAAAAAUUAAAAAGUUACAUCUGUCGACGCAUAUUUUUUGUGCUGAACAUAUAUCGUCGGUCUUGACCAACGCACAUUCCAAAUUAAUUAUGCCGCCCCAUACGUCGGUCUAGCCGACACAAUUAAUUCAUGUUCACUCUUAGUCAACGCAAAUUUUAGACAACUAAUUCACCGUUUUCUUGUAGUAUUUAAUCACAUUUUUAACGAGUUGUAAUCUUUAAUUAUAACCCUAAUUAUGUUUCACCGUUUUCUUGUAGUAUCUAAUCACAUUUCUAAUAUGAAUUAUAAUAUUUAAUUACAGUCCCUCACUAUGUAAUCUUACUUUUGAAAAUUAAUUUGAAUAAAACUAUAAUAAUAAUUUUAAUUAAGAUUAACACAAUUAUACAACAAAUGUUGAAUCUAAUUGAAACACAAUACAAUUCAAUUAAUACUAAAAUAGAUACACAACUCACUGAUAUAUAGAAGGUGUUUUUGCUAUUACAGCAGCACUAUCUCAUUUUACAAACUGUUUUCUAAGUGACGUAGUAAUCAUGUUGUAGAAAACAUUUUUAGCACUCGUGAUAUAAUCAUAAACUUUUAAAGAUCCAAUUCUAUACUAUCCUUCUUGUUUUCCUUUUAGAAGAAAACUUUAUUUUUAAAAACACUAAUACUUUUAACAUUAUCGCUUAAAAUUUUUACUAUUUAAAAACGUGAUAUAGCAGCAAGUUAAAAAUAGCUUUACUGCAAUCACGUUAUGAAAUACUUUCUAAGUUUCAAAAUUAUUACAGUAUUAUUAUUUAGUAUUUUAAAAAUUAAUUUAUAAUAUCAUUUUCAAUGAAAUAUAUUUUUAAUUUAUAUUCUAAAUAAGUUAUGACAAUAUUUAUAUUUAUAACUUAACAUGUUUACCGAGAAAUUAAUUUUAUUUUGAUAAAAUUAAUAAUAUAAAAUAUUGUUUAAGUGUAGUUAUUGGGGGAGCAUAGAUGGUACUGCAUUUAAUCUAUAUUGCGGAUUUUUAUCAUGAUGGGGUUAUUUUUAUUUUUUUUUAUCAAAAUGGGGUCCGUUUAAAAAAAAUUACAAAUUUAGGCAAGUCGUGCCAAUUUGACACGACUUCAUAUGCACAAAUCGUUUCAAUUUGACACGACUCUUCCAUGUCAUACUAAAGUCGUGUCAACUUGACACGACUUUUGCCCUGUCAUACUGAAGUUGUGCCAACUUGGCACGACUUCUGCCACGUCAUAAUUUUUUUUUAAAAUUUUAUUGUUUAUAUAUUGGGUAGUAAGUUAUGUAAUACUGAGACGAUUUGUUCAUAUGAAGUCGUGCCAAAUUGGCACAACUUGCCUAAAUUUGUAUUUUUUUUAAACAGACCCCAUUUUGGUAAAAAAAAAUAAAAAAAUAACUCCAUCAUGGUCAAAACCUCCUAUAUUGCAUAUACAAUUACAAGAUGAACUUAAUAUGCGGUCUCUUUUAAUUGGAUUGAUUUGUCUUUUGUCUGCAAAUGUACCAAGUAUUUAGUGAUUUAGUUGAUAAUUAAAUUUAGUAUAAAGAAAUGAUUAAUAAUUGUUAAUAAGAUUCUUUUUUUUUCAUUUAAUUUUUUAUUAUUUACAAAAUUCAAAAUAAUGGGAGAAGUGACAAGAUGGAAAAUAAAUUGUAAAUAAAAUUUAAGAUUUACAAAAAUACGUAUAUGUGUCUUUAAUGUGGGAAAGGUACUUUAUUAAAGAAAUAAAUAGGGUAAUGUUAUGGUUGCAUAUUCACAUAGGCUUAUAAAGCAUUGGUGGAACACUUUUGGUAUGCAAGCAUUAUUACCACAUUAAAAUUUCUAAACCAACUAAUUUUGUAUUUGGGAAUGUCUAAAUCAGCUUUUGGUGUUGGAGAUUGCAGUCAUCUUUUUUCAGUAUAUAUUGGCCACAUAUACGAUAAGUACAAUUCAUUUCAUAGCAACAGUUGCAACUGCGGCAUAAAACAUCUGCCUUUCAAUAUCCGCAUGCGCAUGCAAUGCGAUCUUUUUGUUCGGACUUUGUCCUCAAAAAUUCAUAAUUUUAGAAAAUAGAAUAAUCCUAUUUCCAUUUUCAACAAUAAAGUCAUACAAUUCCAUCCACCCCUUCACCCUUCUAAGCCUUCUAAAGUGGUGUCAAUUCUUUAACUCAUCAUCCACAAUCUACAACUCUAUACACUUCACACUACUCGAUCUUUUCCAUUCCACCAAUCGCCCCAAGAAUUGCUCAACCUGGCUUUACGUGGACAACUGAAGGAACAAAUCAAGGACGUUGAUGCGGCACAAUCAAAGGCGGUUUCUGUGUUUUGGAUUGGCAUGGCUGAGGUAAACAAAUUCAAUAUUAAACUUCCAAAUGUUAAAUAAGAAUCUGUUCCCUCUCCCUCCCUUACCUCACAAAAAGGUUCAGCUUUGUCAAUAAACACUGGAGAAAUUUCUUUGCCUACAAAAGCUAUUUCAAACGUGAGAUUUGAUUUCUCUAGAAAAUGUAUCCCACUUACAAGUGUCAAAUAAGUACAUUAUUUUUUACAAAUUUGAUUUUCAGCGUCAGGUAUUGGGUUUAAAUGUUCAGGAUACAAAAUAGUUGCUCCGUGAAGCCAUGCAACAUUAUGGUAUACCCUGGCUUCAAAAGUUUAAUAUAUUUGAUAAUGCCUUGCCUAUUUGAACUUUCAUUUUCCAUCAGAGCGUGCNNNNNNNNNNNNNNNNNNNNNNNNNNNNNNNNNNNNNNNNNNNNNNNNNNNNNNNNNNNNNNNNNNNNNNNNNNNNNNNNNNNNNNNNNNNNNNNNNNNNAACUCUAGAAACAAGUAUCCCAAUUCCUUGACCCCUACUACGCAAAACCUGAUAAGAAUAUUAUACGCAUAAUGUUAACAAGUUGAUCAGUUAACAAACACAUGCAGGCGAAAAAUGAAAUAUGCUUUUAACUAUAACUAACUAAAAAACCAGUUGACAACAUUUAUUACCUUAAAAGCAUCCUCAUCAGUUCGAUCAUCUCCAAUAUAGAUUGGAAAUACAUCAUUCGAAUUCUCGUAUCCUACAAAUACGCAAACCAUAUUAUAUUGAGUCAGAACAAACAUGUGAGGUGAGGUAUGCAUGAAGUAAUAUAUGUAUGUAUAUAUAUACACUGACCUAAUGAUUCUAACAAAAAUUCAAGAGCCUUGCCCUUGUCCCAUUUGAUGGUUGGACGAAUCUCUAGCACUUUUCUUCCUUGGGUUAGCUUAAGGUGUGGGUAGUCAUUGAGCACCAAUCUAACUUUGUCCGCCAAGGAUGCCCAACUCUAAAGAAAAAGAAAAAGAAGAGGGGGGUAAAAAUGGUUAGAUAAAAUGAGGUUACCCAAAUGUCUUUUGGCGUGUGCGUGUGGGUUUGGUAAUUCUAUUGAUUCACAAUUGCAUAGUAAGUUGACCGGUACCUUUUCGUCAACACAACGAAAGUGAACGGACAAGCAAAACUUAUUGUUCUCGACCUUAGCCCCUGGGACAGACUUUGUUCUUUCUAACAAGAUCUUGUACACCUGAAAUUUAUUUUUUAUCAGUUACUAUCUUACACGUCAAUUAGGGGCAAAUACAGGAUUGCAUUUCAAACUAAAACCAAACCUCAUCGAUCAUGGGCAGGAAUUGACUCGCGGGUUGGAACAGUACACCUUUAUUGUUACCCUAACAAAGAAACAAAUUUCAACGUUAAGCAGAUAAGCAGAAAGAUAGAAUCUUCAACACACUUAUAAGUUUCAGAAACUCUCUCUCACUUGCUUUCCACUUCGGCUUUUUGUUGGCCCCUUGAUGUCCAUGCCAUGGCUCCCGGCAUAGUAAAGUUCUCCCAGUUUUACAAAGUUAUAGACCUGACCAAAAAAUCAGAAAGAAAGAACCAUAUUAAUUAUGAUUAUAAUUAAUAAAUAAUCAAUUAUAACUUAUAAGUCAUUUUUAUAUUUAUUUUGCUUUAAAGAAAAUGUACCUUGUCCCUGCACCUCCCGGUCACGAUUGCUGUGGGAAAAUGUCUUGCGAUUCCCUUAAGCGUCGCUCUCAUCUAAUAUGAAAAAACUAAGACGCGAAUUAAUCACCCACAUAAGGUCUAGUGUAUGUACCCGAAUAUGAAUGAGACAAGAGGGAACAAAAGAAAAACCUUUCUGCUCAUGAAAGCUUUAUCCGGAUCUGUGACUAUAGGGGAGAGAGUUCCAUCGUAGUCAAGAAAAACUACAAUCUGUUUGCCUUUGGAAUUAUAUGUUAUUUGCUCAAAGGUAUUCAGAGCUGAAGGGUGAUAAAGCUGCAAACAGUUGCGAAAUAGAAGCAGAGUCAGGUGAGCAGCACAACCACUUAUAAUCAUAAACCACAUGUUCAUAUCAUCAUAUCUUGUGCUUACAAUCCAAGAUCUUUUUUCUUGGCUUUCUGAUUUGCCACGAGUUGGGGAAGAGGCUCUCAUUGAAUCAAUCCAAGCACCAACUUUAGCUCCUUCCAACCUUUUCACAAGAUUCUUAUGGGGCAGGCCCCAAAACCCGCUAAGCACAGCCAUGGAUUGUGGCACGGUUGCACUUGGUAAGACGGUUGAGUUUGAAAUGGACGCUGUAACGGCAAUCAACGUGUUAAUAACCUCAUGAAUCACCACAUUUUAGUUGGUCAUCAUGUCCUCCAAAGUUCAAACCCUUUUGAUAGCUUAAUAGCCAGAAACUUGUGGAUAGAGAAGUUGGAAAUGCAAAAGGAAAAUAGGAAGCAGAAUAAGGGAAAUAGAGGGAGGGGUGUGGAGGAGGAGUGCAAAAGCAGAGAAGAGAAGAGAAGGUGAUUAUGGUACUUGGCUUGUUAUUCUUCGGUAUAAGGGGCUUUUAUAGAAUGAAAAAAGUUACGGGGGUAAAAAUCACAAGGGAUUUCACUAGUUGGCUUUGCAUAGCCAAGUCACGAACCAGCCAGGUGUGUCUGGUCAAUUUAUAAACUUAGGCUUCACGGCACAAACUGACGAAACAACCACUUCUCUCUCCCCCUGCUUCUUGUACUUUUCAGCAACCAUUACUAAAUAUGCAAAAUGGAGGGGCCACCAUGAUCCCACAGCUACCUUCCGUUUUAAUUUCUUUUUCUGCUAUAAAAAAGUGCAUAUAAUAAUUUGGAACCUUCACUGAAAGAUUAGUGUAGUUUCCUUACAUUUACCACUUAUCUGCAUUGCAUUAUUCUAUCCAUCUCUUUAUUGUUGUCAGAAAAGAUUCUUCGGUGAAUAUGAGGUUUGCAUACAUAGUUUUACUUACUCUAGUCAAUAAUCAAUAAUCCAAAUAGGUUGUUUGCGUCCCCAAUCAUCGAACAAAAUAAUGGAAUAGUGGUACCGAAAAUUUUAAAUUAAUUUACUAAAUAAAAAUCAAGGUCUAUUGAAUGUGGAGAACAUAAAUGGGAUUUUGCUAUUUCUGCACAGUGCAAAGCAAGACCUUGCAAAGUUGGACUCUCGGUUACACUCCUUAGGAAGUGGGGAAGGACAACAUAAUUUCCCCCACCUUAUAAUUUUUAGUGUCUUCAGCUUCAUGCAGGUUCAGAAAAAGAAAAUAAACUCUUAAAUGAGGGCAUAGUUGCGUUCAUAAUUGUAUUUUAUUUUACACUUUGCAAGAGUGUUAAUUAUGAGUGAAAGUAUAAAUUCAGCUAGAUCAACAACACAAUCAUGUAAUCUUAAAAAGAAGAUCUUAUCUUCUAGUAUCAAGUUGAUUCUAUAAAUUUAUAAUGAUUAUAAUUUAGUUAACUUAUAUAUAUGAUAGACCUCAUUUCUUAUGUUACCCUGAUUUAAGAUAUAUCCUAUCUCUUAUCAUCUUGUUUCUUAUCAACCAAUUAUCUGCACACUCUAAUCCUAUUCAAUACACUCUCAAAUCAUAUUUUAGGAAUCCAACUAUUUACUGACUGAAUUAGAUUUUGUUGAUAAAAAAUAUACUUAUCUAAUUGUUACUGCUUAGUUUAGAUUGAGAUAUGCACUAUUUCUUUAUCGUCUUGUCUUUUAGUAUUAGUUUAGUAAGAUAAAUCCAAUCUUUUAUUGAUCAGUCAGUUGGACACAGAAUGUGUAAAUAUACUCUACAAUGACAAUGAAAUGCAUAUGAUAAUUCACUAUAAACAUAAAAUCUAUUCACAAAAAUUGAGAGAGAGACGAACGUUAAAAGAACAGUAUUCAUAAUGCAUAAAUAUUUUCCUCGAGCAAUCAUUAGCGAAUCUUUUCAAUUUCACAAUUUUAGAAAAUACAAGAACAUAGUCAUCAUCCUUGAUUAGUUAUCCACUACCUAUCUUGCAACAAAGCAGUGAACUUGUUGGUGUCGUUUUUUACAACUAAUUGUGUAUUUAUAAAAACUGAUAUCCACGGCUAUUCGAAAAAAAUAAAAAAGAAAAUCAUUUUGAUAAAAACAUAAAUACAAAUAAACUUUAUCCUUUUCAAAUAUAAGUAUAAAAAAGCAAAGAAGAAGUAAAUUACCUCAUGAAAUAAAAAAAAAAAAGAUUCUCUCUUCUUCCACAACCUCAUGUUUUUUUUUAUCAGCCCACAACCUCAUGUUGAUUACUUUUAGUUUUAAAGAGAUUAUAUGGAAAUUUGGGGUGCAAUUUGGUUAAUGGUGCAAUUUGGGUUGGAGUUGUGAGUGGUAUUUGGAAUCAUAGGAAUUGUGUGUCCUUUAAUAGGGGGUGGUAGAUGCGCUCGAAGUAUUCGCCUUGGUACAGGUAAAGGUUUGGUCGUGGAUUUAUGCAAAGUCUCAUUGUGCUUCCUUCGGGUACUCUAAUUGGGUUUUGAACCCAGUGGAUUGUAUGAGGAUGAUAAUUUAAUGUUUUCCUAUAGUUAGUUUGGUUGUUCCUUAGAUAUUCAGGUAGGUGUUUCGUGGUAGGAGUAUGGUAAGGUGUUUUGCUCUUUAUGUAUAAGGGUUGAACCACCCCUGAAGUGGUUCCCAUUUAUUUAUUUUUUAUUGCCGAUAAAAGAAAAUAUGGGAAAAAAGAAUUCUAACAUAUGAGGUAUGAAGCAAAUCUAUGAUAGAUGAAGCACUUAAUCCCCUUGUAUAGUUUCACAGAAACUUAAACAAGCAGCACCUACCAACCUUGUUUAAGCAUACACUUGAAAAGCAGGGGCAUAAUUGGUAAGAACUUUUUCGAAUCAUACAUACCUAAAAUAUCAAGCAUUACUACUAGGACCUAAUUUAAGGGCUCUAUGUCUAUGACUUCUUAUAUUUAGAUAUUAACACAUACAUUAUUUAUACCAUUUUAUAGGUUUUGUGACAGUCAUGGACUGAAGUCUAACGCUGUGGAUUUUAGUUAAUCUUUAGUAUGGGUCUUGGAAUUAUUUUUUUUAAAACUUAUCACUUUUAUUGAUUUAUAUCUGAGAUUGAAAUAUUGUGAUUGAAUCCAAUAUUAUAAAAGUGGACUUUAAGUCUAACUUAACCCCAUAAAAUCGGCUCAAUGAUGUGAGGUUUGCACCCACUUAUAUACAAUGAAUUGUCCCCAUCUCUAGUCGAUGUGGGAUCUCCAUCACUCAAUAAUAGAGUAAAGUUAGGUUAAUACUGAUUUUUGUAAAUAAUAAAAAAAUUGUUUACUUUGAGAUUGAGGACAACGAUCAUGAAAAUUGACAGUAUGAUGGUAAUUAAUUUAGAAACAUAACUCAAUUUAGGAUCAGGUGUAAAGAGAAGAAGGANNNNNNNNNNNNNNNNNNNNNNNNNNNNNNNNNNNNNNNNNNNNNNNNNNNNNNNNNNNNNNNNNNNNNNNNNNNNNNNNNNNNNNNNNNNNNNNNNNNNNNNNNNNNNNNNNNNNNNNNNNNNNNNNNNNNNNNNNNNNNNNNNNNNNNNNNNNNNNNNNNNNNNNNNNNNNNNNNNNNNNNNNNNNNNNNNNNNNNNNNNNNNNNNNNNNNNNNNNNNNNNNNNNNNNNNNNNNNNNNNNNNNNNNNNNNNNNNNNNNNUUUCUAAUUUAGUUACUAUAACAACUAAUUUUUUUUCUCUCUAAAAUUUAUUACUAUUUCAUGUUUUUCUUGUAGUGUAAAUUUAAGAUUUAGUGAUAUUUUUUGUUAUCACAAAGAACUGAAUUCAUAUAAUAUGUAGUGUUUUUUUUUUAUCAGCAUGUAGUGUUACUCUUUUUAUAUAUAGAUUUAACGAUAGUAAUUAUUUUGUUUUUUUCCCUUAACUAUAUUUUUACCAAUCUCUAACAGUUGAUUAAAGUUCCGUUUGUAACAAGAGGAGAAAAGUAAAAAAAAAAUAUCAAUGAAAGGAAAGUUGGAAAAAUAAGAAAAAAAUAAAAUGAAAUCACAAAACACAAUACUUUUUUAUUCUUUCAAAUUUUUCUUUUGAUGAUUUGAGGAGAUUUGUGAAGAAAGUGGAUUUUUUUAAAAUUAAUUUUAUAUAAAUUAAUUCUAUAUAAAUUGAUUAUAUAUAAAAAUUAUGUUUUAAUAUAAAUAUAUAUAUAUAUAUAAUUUUUAUUUUAUAAUAAAAUGAAUAAUUAAAAAGUAAUGUAAAAUUUAAUUAUUAAUAUGUAUUUUUAUCAUUAUUUAUUAAUUUUUAAUUUUUAAUUUAAAAUUUAUUUUAAUUUUAAUUUUACCUUUUAAAGUUUUUAUAUUAAAUGAUUUUAAAUUAUUUUACAUUUAUUAUAUUUAUCAAAUCACUAACAAACUUUCACAUCAUUCAUUAACUUUAAUCGAAACAACUUCACUUUCAUAUUAAAUCACUCUAAAUUCAUUAUCUCGAAUUUUUUUCCAAUCACACCCUAAACAUAUAGAAUAAGUGAAUGUACUGAGCUACAAGCUACUUUGAUCAUAUGCAUAUUGUAUUUUAUUAUUAUUAUUCAGUAUAUUCCAAUAAUUGAUUUUUUUUAAUAAAUGUUACAAUCCUACGUAAACCAAUUUCCUAUAUAAUUGAUGAGAAAUGCUAUUUUUCAAGCAUCGUCCAAAUAAUUUGUUAGUCGAAUUAGUUGUUUAUUAAGUUAUUAGAAGAUUUAAUUGAGAGAUUGAAUGAGUUUAAUAUUUCCCAACGCUGCUAUUUUUUUUUAUUUCUUAUGAUAUAUUUAAACAAUUUUUUCACAGGUAUUUUUUGAGAGAAAAGUAAUAAAAAAAUGUUUUUUCUUCUAUAAGUUAAAAUUAGUCUAUGUUGAAGUUAAAAAAUAAAAUUUUAAAAAAAUAAUUACAAAUUAAUUUAAAUAAAUUUUAGAAUAAAAAUCUAUUUAUUAAUAAGUGGAUUUUAAGUCAAUAUCAAUAUUAACUGAAUCUGUGGUUUGAUAAACUUAAUAAAUUCACACUAUAAUAAAUUUUAAAUAAUUUUAAUAUUAUAUUAAAAAAAAUAUUUUAAAUCUAACUAAAUUUUAGAAAACUGAUUUAUAAAAUACACUUUGCCGUUUGCACUUAUGUGAAAUGUGUUAAUAUGUAGUUCAUAUGAGAUUUCCAAUACCAUUGAAAUUAAAUUAUAUUUUUUAAAAUAUUAUUGAAUAACUUUUAAAUAAUGUGAGAUUCACUUUCUUUUGAGUUGAUGAACGUAACAUUUAUUGAAUAGUAAAAGGUUAAUUAAGAAAAUGUGUGAAAAGUGUGCUAUUAAUCUUUUUAUUUGUUUCCAUGUCCACAAAUUCGUGGCGUACGUACAGUCAACCGGUGGCCUUGGAGAUUCUUCCAAACAAAUUUCCAUUUCAAAUCGGGACUAGAUUAAUUAAAAAUUAUGGUUUUAAUAUUCUUAUUUUUUCCAUUCAUAAUUAUUAUCUCAUGUACAUAUGAUUAGUUUUUUUAAAAAAAGAAAAUGUUAAUAAUAUUAGUGUUACAUUUAUAAUUUAUAAUAAAAAAACUUUUAUUUAAUUUCUCAAUGAUUUGUAGGUAAUAGCUGUCAAUAAAACUGGUAUGAAUGCUAUUAUGCUUUGUUAUUCAUAUCCCUCGUUCUAUAACUUCUUUCUACGUGUUUCCAAUUGCAUAAAGCGAAGGGGGAACAUAAUAGGUUAGCAUUGAACAUGAAAACAAAAUUUAAGUGGACCAAACUGCGAUAACUGCUUUGGACUUUGGAGGUCCUUUUUGAAAAAUAUUUGUCGUUGUUAUUAAAGAAUAGGAAAAAGGUCAAAUAAUCUGACCAAGCAAAGUUUCAAUGUUGCUUCCAAUGGAAACCAAAGAGCGAAAAUUUAACAGCAAAAGGUCCCAAAACGACGAAGGAAUUUUGGCAACUAGGAUGCCUUUGUCUAUACGUGACUACUUUUCUUAUGUGUAAAUGUUCUCCUCUUCUCCCUCCAACUUUUCUAACAUUUUUUCAUACAAUUAAUAAACUUAAAUAAUACUUUUCUAAUUUGUUUAUAUAUAUUUAUCUCUAUCACAUCAAUCAUUUUAUCUUUUAUACUUUCUUUUUUCUAUAUCCUUUUAUGAACAACUUUGUUAACUAAAACUUUAUAUCAAUACAACUUGUUUUUCUUUUCUGUACAUGGAUUUUCGAGGAAAAUAAAAUAAAAAAAUUAAGGAGAAAAUGAUGGGGAUGAUGUUUGAUUGAAACGUGUGGGAUUUGUAAAAGGAUAGAUAGCUGUGAUGUGACCACGUGUAUCCAUCGUGUCCACUCUCUACAAUACAAUUGGGCCACUUUCAGUUGGCUGUUUCCAUUGGGUGGGAACUAGUUUUGAGGAUCUUUUACUUUUACCUUAACACUCUGUUUUGCGUCUGUGGUGUGUAAUUUUGUCUUUUUUCUUGGUUAUGAGAUGGUCUAUUUAAGUUAUGUAAUGAGUUCUUUAUAUCAAUAACAAAUUAUUUUAUGUUACAUUUUAUAAUUUUUUUUAAAUAUCUUCUCAACAAAUUUAAGCAUUUGAAAUAUAUCAGUAUUAUAAUUACUAUUUGAAGUGAAGGAAUAAUUUUAAGAUUGAGUUAGAUAUUGUCAAAUCACAUCUUAUUGUUUUGUUAUUUUAAUAUAUAAAAUAAGAAGAGAAUAUAUCUUAACUUUUUUUAUAUAUUUUUUUAGUGUAUGUGCAUGUGUGUAUAUGAGAAUUCUUUAUUUUUUUAGCUGAAAUAUAUUAGUUACUUUUAUUUAAAAGUUAGAGAAAAGGGUCUACCAGUUCUUAUGUGAUAGUAAAAUUCUUUCAUGGAUAUCACCAGGUCAUUUAUCUUUUUUUAUAUCUCAAUCAACUCCAUAUUUAAAAGAUUCUUAAUCAACUCUUAACAUUGAAAAUUUUGGCAUUACAAUGUUUUAAGAAGAUAUAUGGAAUCUUAGAAAAUGGUCAGCAGUGUUUUUUUUAAUCUAUGAUUUCUUCUUUAAAGUUCAAUUAAACAAAACUAUUUAGAAGUUGUAUGAUUUUCUAAAUCUAAACAAAUUGUAAUUAUACUUACGUUCAUAUACAUAUGAUUUCAUCACAUGAUAUGUAUCAUGAACACAUUUUACUUUUUUAAAAGCUAAUAUUAAUUUUUUUGCACAAAUUAAAAAUAAAGAAUUGGGGAAACUAUAUAAAAGAGUUUUUACAAAUUAGUGAAUGCAUAACCUGUUUUAAACUUAUGAAAUAAGUAUAAGGGAGGUGAAAAUCUAGGAGAAAAGGAACAGGAGAAAUCUUGGAAGAUAUCUAUGCUUAAUGAAUCAUUGCUUAGUAAAACAAAUCUAGAUUUACAUGGUUAAAGGAAGGGUGAUUGCAAUAAUAAAUUUUACCAUGCAACGAUCAAUUGGAAAAGGAAGAAAAACUUGGUCAGAGGAAUAAUGUUGAUUCAUGGAAACUAUAGGUGGUGAAACAGAAUUUUCCAAAAGACCAGAAGUUUCACAUGGAGAGAGUUCUGCACAAACUUAAGAUAACUUGAGAAAGAGAAAUGUAUUUCACUCAGAAUCUGAAUUGUUAUGCCCAGCCCAUUCUAUCAAGCGGAAUAAAAACAUGCAAAUAAUGUCCUAAAUCAUUCUUUCACACUGUGUGGGGUAAUUGCUACAUACAGAUGGAUAAAUAUGAGUGCAAUUUUAUCAUCUUUUUUUGUCAGCAAGUGCAAUUUUACCUUGUAAUUUGAAUUUAUAUCAUUGUAAUUUUAAUUUAGAUUAUUGCUAACAUAAUGAAUUUAAAUAAACUAAAUGGAAAUUACAAUGAGAAUGUACAUUAUGUAACUCAGUAUGUCAAGUUCCGCUGAUCUUGGAAUAAUGUUGGGUCCUUGCAAUUUCAUUAUGCAUAUAUAGUGAGAAUGUAACCCAAGCUUGUGCAAAAAAUAUAAGAUAUUGCCCUUUGGUUGUUUGCAAGGUAUGAUGCAUUAAAGUAUAUCUUAUAAUUAGUCGUUGGUAUUAAACUUUACAAUUGUAUAUAUUGUUUUAGUUUUUGAAGUAAGUUCACUCAGUUAUCUAAUAUUUAUAUGAUUGUGUGUAAAUAGGUUAUAUUCACCUUCUUUAUGGUGAUAAUUUUCCUCUAUAUUAUAUACAUAAUGGAUUGGUAUUUUUUUUACCAAAGUUUAGAGGUUUUUUAACCUUGUAUAUAAGAGUUAGAAUAUUUCUCAAAUAUUUAUUAUAGUCUCUUGUGUCUUCCUCAAUUUAAGACGAAAGAGAAAUGGUAGGUAGUAGUACUUGAUUAGAAUUGCAUUAACAAGAUCCAAUGUUUCUUGGAUUCCAAUAUAAAUAUAUGUCUUACCUCUGAGUCAGUUUUUGAAUACAACUUUUUCUCCCUUCUUGGCUGCCAACCUAGCACAGGAAGAGUGGCAUCCGUAGGCCAUAGUGUCUUUAGAUUUUUGUAUAGUAGAUGCUAUAAUGCAUGAACCUCUUUGGGUCAAAGGUAGAAUCCAAUGCGUUUCAAAAUGUCCUUUGUCACAUAGGUUCCUUGCUAUUGGGAUCAUGAUAUUCGAAUAUGUUUGGCAACUUUAUAUAAUUUUUUUUAAAGAGAAAACAAAUACUUUUUUUUCUGUAAAUUAAAAAUAAUUUACUUAUAAACUUAAAAUAAAACAAGAAUUUAGGAAAAAAUAUAUGAAAUAUUUUUUAUAAAAUAAUUAAUACAUAUCUUAAUUUAAACUUAUAAUCAAAUUUAUUUUACUUUUUCUUUUCUUUUUAUAGUUUUUUUUUUCUAUUUUUCUCCCUCCAUCACUCUUUUCCUUUAGACAAAUAAUAACAUGUGUCCUUAAGAAGAAAAAAAAGGUAGAAGUUAUUUAAUACAAAAACACCCAUCAUAUUAAAAAGACAAAUGGAAAGCAUUUUUUUUAAGAGAGUAAAGAAGAAGAAAAUUAAAAUAAUACUAAUAUAUGAUAAUAAUGAAAAUCGUAAUAACCAUUAUACCAAAUCAUUAAAAAUAUAUUAAGUAGUUGUUGGUAUAAUAGAAAUUGUAUUAUUGUAAAAGAGAUUUUUAAUUUAAAUUAAUUUUAAUUUAAGUUUUUGUGUGAAAAGAGAAGAAACCUUUCGGUCAUUCAAAAAUUUGAGCGGAAGUUAAUUAUUUAUAAAAUCAAUAAAUAUUUUAUAUUAAUAAAGAUAAUACAUAAUAAUAUAUCAAUAUAAUAUAAUUGAAGAACCUACAAAUAAAUAUUUUAAUAUUUCAAGUGUUUAUAUAUUACAAUUUUUUAUUUUAUUUUCUUCAAUAGUUCUUGGAGUUCUAAUAUUGAGUAAGCAAUAUCUCAAGUUCUUAUUAUCUUGAGUGAGUAAUAUAAUAUGUAGAGUAGAGAUCAUCUUAUUCUGCUUUAACCCUUGUGAAAAGUGACACAAACUUUUUAAAGAAUUCUCAUAUAUUGAGUUUGUAAUCGUUCUUUCUUUAUUUAUAUGGCGCAAUCAAAUUAGAUUUAAAAUUUAAAAUUUUUUAGUUCAUAGUUUAAAGAGAAUAAUUCUUACUUAUCUAUAAUAUGUUUUAGAUUAGUUCGCAGUCAAGAAAAAAUUUAUGAAAAAUUGUUAGUGAUUGGAUUAAGUAACUUAAUUUAAUAUUUUAUUAUAGAUUAAGUCGAAGUAAUAGUAAAACAUAUCCUCUCAGUUUUAAUCAUUUUUAAUAAAUUAUAUUUAUAAACACGAUAUAUAUUAAAAAAAUAUUAUUAAAUAACAAUUAAAUUUAAAUAAAAAAAUAAUUAAUCACUAUAUAAAUUAACUUAGAUAUUAUUUUUUAUUUUGAUUUUGUUGUAGUGGUAAUGAAAGUGUAUUGGUAUUCAUUACUUUUACUUAUUUUUUAAAAUUUUGAAAAUUUAGAAAUUGCAUAUGCUAUUUAAAUUUUAAAGGUAAUAGAAGAAGUAAUGUAAACACUUCAGGGAAGUGAUAACUUUUAGAUUUGGAUCCACUCUUAGUUUUGCUUCCUGAUCCUCUUUCUUGGCUAUGCCCUUUCGCCAUAAGCAAUGCUCGCGCAACUUACGUUUGAAGUUGAUAGAUCCGUCAAUUUUUUUGACUCCAAAUUUUGAUAAUCACAUUUCGAAUUAAAGAUUUUUUAUACCACUUGUUAGAAAAUGAGAGGAAAGUACAUUCCAAAUGUAUUAACAAAAUAGAUAUAUUAGUGAAAAUAAAUGAUUGUUAAAGAACGACUAAAUAAUUUAUCUUUAUUAAAUAAUAAUUAAUAGAAGAGAUUUAGGGAAGAUUCUCUUCUACUGCAAUAUUAGAAUUAGAGAGCACUAAAUAAUAUAUAUAAAACAGUAGAAUUAGAGAGCACUAAAAGCAUAUCCAAAAUCCAUAACCCUCAUGAAAACUUUCUCUCACUAAUAAAACACUGAAAAAAACCACUUGCUUUCUUUAGAUGUUUUUUACACAUUGUUGUUCAUGAAAUAAACAUAACAAAUAUAUAAGAUAUCAUGGAUUCAUUUCUACCAGACACGCACAUGAACACAGACUGCUUCUAGCAAUUACAUAGAAAAUUCCUUGUUCGAAUUUUGACCAAUUAUAAGCCACAUUAAACAGUAUAGCAUAAACAUGUUUUGUUUUGAUUAGCAUAAGGGAAAUUUUGUUAAAGGGAUAUGCAAUUUGCAAGUAUGGCUCCAUUGUAGUGAAUUACAUCCACCAUUCAGAAAGCCUCUUCAAUCUCUCAUUCUCAAAGAUAAUUUAUCCCAAAUUAGAAACCCCACUGUGGGAGCACACAUCAGAUAUAUGGUAAUCAACUGAAAAAACUGCCAGCCACCAUUUGGAUAACCCAUCGAGGGAGGCCAAAUAUUCAUAACAUGAUUUUUUUAAUUUAUUUUUUAUUUUAUUGCAUCAUAUACAUGAGUAUAAUUUUUGUUCAGAUGCAAAAAUCUUGUAAAGCACAUAUUUUAAUAUUUAUUUAUUUAUUAAUAGAAAUACUAUUAAAAUAAAAUUAUUUUAUUUUUAUGACUUAAAAUAUUAUUUAAUAUAUAGAUCUUAAACUUUUUAGUAUGAUGAAAUAGAAAGGUAUUAUUAUUAUUGUUAACAAAUGAGUGGUCCCGUUAAAAAAAAGAAGAAGAAAAGCCAGUUGCAGCAGGCCAAGGGUCCACACAUAGUUGCCUUUCUGUGAUGUGACUUGCCAGCCACAAUGGCAAGGCAAUGAUUCAUCUUGGACCCACAAAUCAAGGCUUAGUGCUAAGCCCACUUAUGCCCACCAUGCCCACAUCUUUUCUGAGUGCAACGAGCUUUAUAAAUCAUUCAGUAAUCCAAAACAAAUAUACACUUAAAUUCUCUAAUCCCACCACCCUCUUACCUCUUCAUUUCUAAUCUGCAUUUCCGGAUAUCCACUCUCCCUCUUUAGUUUUUUUUUUAGAUUUUCAUUGCUUUCAGUUUUGUAUAUCCUAUGAUCUUCAAUGGGUCAUUGGAAAUUUUGGAAUGUAAUUCACUUGUCAAAGUUGGAAUGAUGCUAUUAGAGCAAGUUGGGGUGCUUUUUAAACCCCUUGCAUCAAUUCUCUUUUCAGUUUUAAGUCACAAAAAUCUAAAAGGCUACAGGUUUUAAUGCCUCCUCGCAUUUUUCAUCACAUAUCUCCUACUUGAAUAUGCAAAGAUUAGGUCCCCAAAAUCUUAUAGGGCACGCAUAGCAGAUUUAAUACCUCAAUGAGUGGCACCAAUAAGGUUGUGAUAGGAGAUUUGGAGUUGGAUCAAAAGAGAGUACUUGAUGCGUAUAAUCAUCACUUUUUUUCUAUUAGUAUAAAGUAAAUCGACCCACUACAUAAAUAUAAGAUUACUCCCUUCUUUUUUUAUUUUUUUUAUAUCAAAGAAUCUAGUUAAAUGUACUUAGUGAAACGAAUAAGAACAUUCUACGAACAAAUUAUUAUCAUAAAUGUAAUUUAUACACUGAUAAUGAGUAAAAAGGAUUGUUCCUUGAAUCUUUGUCAUUAUCUUAACGAAGUUUCCUUCCAUUGCUUGUGUUUUAUUAUUAGUGCAUGGAGCACUAGCUAGAAUGGUCCAAACUGUAAUUGAUUGCUCUACAAUGCUACCCCAUCUAAAACACAUUACAUCUAAUAAUUUAACGCUACUUUAUUUUACAAUUGCACAAUUUUUAGUUCUUGUAUAUUUUUAGAUAUAAGGGUGGGUCUGGACCAUUGAAUCUGACUAUUCAUUUGCAUCAAUGCCUUCCUCUGCACAUCAAUCACACAUCAGUAACAGGUGUUCUUCCUUAAAAAUAAAUUGUAUUUGGCCUAACUGCUAAUGAAAUGUACUAUUUUUAUAAGUAAUGUUCAUAAGAAAUCAUCUCAACUUUAAUAAAUAAAUAGAAGUUGAAUGAAGUGAACUCACAAAUUAUGUCUCCACACUAAAUAAGCAAAUAAGUGAAGUGAAUCUGGUAUAGGUUUUAAUUACUAAUCUUAUUUAUGUAAUUCGGAUUGCAAGAGAGAAAACAAAACCAAAACUUAAAUUAGGAACAAAUUUAGUGUCUGUUUUCUUGAAAAGGCAGUGCAGUUUAAAUGACCCUUUAUAGAACAUGAGAGAAACGACCCUUCUAGCUAACGAACAUCCAUAGUAAAUAGGAGACGUAGUGUAUAAAGUUUUUAUGCUCUCAACCCAUUACUAAUUGCCAUCUGGGUUGCUCAUAUAUUUUAUUAUAAUAACUUAAUAAUACGGCUAUACUAAGUUAAAAUUACGUAUCAUAUUUUUAUUUAAUCUAAAUUGUGUUGUUGUUUAUCACUCAAUUUCUGCUUCUCAUUUUUCUUAUCACAUCCAUAUCUUUUUUUUCUCUCCUCUUUUCUUACAGCUAAAUAUUGAUACACCUCCCAAAAAAGAGUACACAACCACUGUUUUUAAUUAUUUUAAGGGUUUUAUAUUUUUUUUAAUGGUGUGUUUGUUUUUCUCAAUAUUUCACUUCAAAGAGAUAAUUAAUUAUAUUUAUUUUAGUAUUUAUGUUUAUUAUAAUAAAAUAAUUAAAUUAAAGCAGAAAUAUUUAAAUAAUGUAUUAAACAAAUUAAAUUAUUUUAAGAUAAUUUUAAAUUAUUUUUAAAUUUUAUUUUACAAAUUUUAUUUUAAAUAUAUUAAUAUGAAAAAAAAUUAUACUAUAUUAAUCAAAUCACCUACAAUUUUUCUAUUAAAAUCUAAAAUCCUUUUCAUAAUCCAAACAAUCUCAUUUUUUAUACACUUUUUUCUUAAAUCAAUUAUUUUUCAUUUUCUUACCUCCAAACAAAGUAUAAAUAAUUUUAUUGAAAAGUUAAAAUAAUAUUAUCACACUGUUUAAAAGAGAAUAAGAGAAUGUUCUUCUUAUUAUUCUCAACUUCAACAUUAAAUUUUGAUUUGGCAAAAUUUGAAGGUCAAUUAUAGUUUUAAAUUUUUAAGCAUUUUUAUCUAAAUAUAAUAAAGAUUUUAUUCGUUACAAUUGUUACCAUGAGUUUUAAAAUUUUAAAUAUCAUUUUCCAUACCAACGUUCUAAUCUCGUAUCUUUCAUUUAAUUUACAUAUUUUUAUUAUAUUAUUGGUAACAUAGAAUUUUCUGACUUUAUCAAUAAUUAAUAUUUCUUCAUGUAAUGUUAUUAAUUAUUGCCAAUAUUAUUAUUUAUUGUGUACAUAUGCUUGCUAUUAUAUAUAUAUCUUUAUCAAUGUAUUAAAUUUAAAUUUGAAUUCCUUUAUUUUGACUUGAUUUGUAUUCCUUAUCGAGCCAACACUUGUAUUAUGACAUUCAUUGAUGUCACACUUAAUUAGUUAAAAAUUGAUAUUAUGUGUGAGUGGCUAAAGAACUUGGUGGGUGUAAUUGGGUUAUAUACAUGUGCAGAAAUGAAAGUUAUAAAGGGAUGUAGAGUACCAAAAAUAAUAACACAGAAAGGGCAGUGUUACAGCGACCGAAGCAGCUUAUGGAAAAAGGAAAAGGAGAUAAUAAGGGGACGUGCAUUGCUGCCAUAGAAUCUGAGUCAAAAUGCGCAUCUAGCUAUCAUGUAUGCCGAGGAACUCUGAGACACAGAAUAAACAAGAAAAAAAAUGUGGCAUUUUGGAUGAUCGUGGUUACUUCAACUAAGUUGUCAAGAACAAGAAUCCUUCUUCCCUCUGCAUGCCCUGUUGCAGAAUUUGAAACCCAACCCCACACCAAAAUAUAAACUAAUAACCUCCCCUCAUUGCUUUCCCUCUAACAUUUUUCAAUUUUAUCUCCUUUAAUAAUCCACUAAAUAUUGUGGUUCUAACUAACAUCUCCUUAUUCAUCGUACAAACACCCACGUUGGACCAGACUGGGCCUUUCUUAACAGCCUACCAUUCCUACUUACUCCUCACCACGUGCUUCUAUGCAACGAUAUUACAAGUACAAAGAAUCUAACGUUUAAUAUUUUCUCAGAUAAUAAGCAAGUUUUGGGACUUCUUGUUGUAUAAGAGUUAUACUUAAUUUUAUUUAUUUAUUGUUGAACACUUGCUUUUUUUAAGAUAAGAAAAUUAUUAAAUAUAAUUUAAUUUUAAAUAUUAAAAUAAUUAGUUAGUAUUUGAUUAAAUUAGAAACUAUUUUAUAAACUAAAAAAAUCGUUAGUAUUUAAAUUAAUUUUUAUUAUUAAUAAAAGUUUAUAAAAUAUUUUUUAAAUUAGUAUAUAAUUAUUAACUACAAAGAUUUUAACUACUUACUACCUUAUUUAUAGAUUAGUCUCUAUUAGUUUUUAGAGACUAAUUUAAAAUCUAAGAUAUUAAUAAAUAAUUAAAUAUGAAUUUAAAAAUUAUUUUUAACUUUUUUAUUAAUAAUAAAAAUUACUUUAUAUAUAAACAAUUUUUUAGUCUUUAAAUUAUUAUCUAAUUUAAUUAAUACAGUGAUUAAUUAUUUUUAAUUUAUAAAUUUAAUUUUUAUUUAAUAAUUUUUUUAUAGUAUUUAUUUAGUAAAGAAAAACUGUUCUUUAGAGUUUUACCCACCCUUCAUACACAUAUGAUGGAGAAGAAGGAAAAGUAAAAUCAGCAACAACCACUAUGAAAUAUAAAUUAAUUUUUAGAGAUCAAAAUAAUUAGUUGUAAUAGUAAUUAAAUUAGAGACCAUUUUGAAAACUAAAACAAAAAUUGGUUUCUAAAUUAAUUUCUAUUAUUGUUAAAUAGUUUCUAAAUUGGUAUCUAAUUAUCAACCAAGGUUUUAGAGACUAAAUUUAGAAACUAAAUAAUUGGUAGUUAAAAUCUUGGUUGCUAAUUAGAUACUAAUUUAAAAAUUAUUUAACAAUAAUAUAAAGUAAUUUAGAAACCAAUUUUUGUUUUAGUUUCUAAAAUGAUAUCUAAUUUAGUUAUUAUUGUAACUAAUUAUUUUGAUUUCUAAAAAUUAGUUUUUAUUUAAUUAUUUUAGUUUUUAAAAAUUAAUUUAUAUUUAAUGAUUUUCUUGUAGUAACCUGGUUAAUUUGUCAAUCACCCAAUGCACUCCAUAAAUUAGAUAUGUACAAGAAUAAAGAAUUACCUCCAAGAAAAAAGAAACUAAAUCUUUGAAAAUUUUCAUUUCAGGUGGAGGCUGUUUCAUUUGAUCGUGCGUCUACUUGUAAUUACAUGUUUACGUGAUCUGAUUCACAUUAUUAUUAUUGGCAUUAUCAUGUACGGCGAAAAUAAUUAGAAAGAGGAAAAUGAAGAAGAAAGGACAAAAAUUGAAUAGAGGAAUGAAGUGAAAGAAUGAAAAGCAAUGAUAUUGUGUUACGUACAUCCACAUUAAAUCAUUAGUCACAACUCAAAAACCAUUAUUCCAAAUAAGAAGAUACUUGCUUCCGGAUUACUAUCUGUCUUUAAGUGCCUGGGUAAUUAGCCAAGUGCGAUCAUGCAAAAAAUAAAAUUAAAUACCACGUAUCGCUGCUUCGUAUACCCUAAGAAUCGUAUGUACAUAAUAAUAAGAUAUUCUAAGUACGAUGAGUUACUUAACAAAUAUUCUAACCUACCUACCUUAGUUAAUUGUUAUCAUUUAAAAUAUGGACUCAUACUUCAAAUUCUAACUUACUUUGACUAACUAUACUUCAAAUUCUAACUUACUUUAACUAAGUCUUAUCACUAAUGAUUUAUUCACUCAUAAAUAAGAUUCUAAUUAUCUAUCAUUCAAAAUUAAUUAAAAAUCUCAAGAACAAUUUAAUCAAUCCUAACCCAAGUAAGCAGGACUAAAUAAUUUUUAAAUUAAUAUAAUAAAAUGAGACAAAAAUUAGUGAUGCAAACUUUAAUCUUUUAAAAAAAUAUACACUACAAGAAAAACGUGAAUUAUAUACGGAUCAAAAUCCGUAUGUAAAUAAAUAUUACAUACGUAUUUAUAUCGUAUGUAAACCAAGUUUCUUCCGUGAUCAAAGAAACUUUAAUCACUACAUCAGACAACUUUAGUAUUAUUAUGAUUUUUAUUAUACUUAUUAUUAUUAAUAAUAUUAUUAAUAUGAAUAAUAUGAAUAUAAUUUAUAUUAUUAUUAAUAAUAAUAAAAUUUAUAUCAUUAUUAUUAUUAAUAAAAUUUAUAUUAUUAUUAUCAAUAAUAAUAAUAAGUAUAAAUUAUAUUAAUAAUAAUAAGUAUAAUGAAAAUCAUAAUGUGACCAAAGAAUUUGUCUGGUCUAGUGGUUAAUGCUUCUUUCGUCACUGAAAAGACUUGGUUUCGAGUCUUGCCCUUGAUAUUAAUAAGGGACUUGGGUUCGAGUCCUAUACAUUGUCUUGUAGUGUGGAACAUGAAAAGACAAAAUUGUGUAAUUUCAUUUAUAAAUCCUCUAUAUUAGCUUAAUAGGUACUCAUAUAUCCUAUUUCAAUUAAAAUUUAAUGUCAUAAUAAUAUUACUAAACCAUAAUUAUUUCAUUUCUCACUUAAAUAGAUAAUUAAAUAAAUGUAACAUCGGAUUUGUGGUGUUUCCUUUAGUUGCCUUUGUUGGUUUUUAGUUGACAGCUUUUGAAGAGUUAUGGAGUCUCUCUCUUUUGUAAGGAGUUUUUUUUAAAAGGAUUGGAUUACCCUUAAAGUGGUUCAUAUUUAUUUAUUUAUUUAUUCUUACUGAUAAAAAAAACACCAUUUAGAUGUAAGAGCCCUAUAAUGACUAGUCCAUAAGAGCUCUAACCAAGCCAUUUAGACAAAAGAGCCUACAACAAUCAAUCAAUUAGAACUCUAAUUGUACCAUUGAGAUGUAAGAGUCCUACAACAACUAGUUAAUAAGAGCUCUAACCGAACCAUAUAGAUGUAAGAGCCUUAUAACAACCCGUCAUUAAGAACUCUGACUAAGCCAUUUAAAUGCAAGAACCCCCACAAUGGCCAAACAAUAAAAAUAAAUGUAACAAACUAACCUUUUUUUUUGUAAAGACAGUGUGUUAUUUGAUAAGGGGACAAAUAAUGCGUGAAAAGAUCAUAGUCUUAUGUUAGUUAAUAAAAAAGGAAUUAACAUGGAUAAAUCUAGAAAAACAAUUUUUUUUUUGCUAAAAGAAUGAAUUAGGUGUAAGAAAACUAUUAAUCCAUGCAAAUAAGAAGAUAUGUUCAAAGGUACGAUCAUACUAAAAAGUACUUGGUAAAUUUAAAGACGAAAAUAAAAAUAUAGUGCAAUACAAAUUGUUAAGCAUGUUCAUCCAUAAUCUUUCAAUGUUUAACAAUUGUAACGAUACCUAGGAUUCUAACUUACUUUAAGCAAGUCUUAGUGCUUAAGAUUAAGGACUUGUGUAGGGAUCGGUAGGAUUCUUGACUACCUUAAGCAAAUUUUAUCGUUGAACAUUGAGAGAUUGUGUAAUGAUAGGUAGGAUUUCAAUUUAUCAUAGUAACUCUUAUCGUUCAAGACUAAAGGAUUGUGUAGUAAUAAGUAGGAUUUUGACAAUCUACCGCUCAAGAUUAAUUAGAAAUAAUAAGAUACAAAUAUAUAUUAAUAAAUAAAUUGAAAUAUGUUUAUCUUGUAUAAAUAUAGAAAGAUUUUAUCAAAGUCGUGCUGAAAUAAAUACAUAAUAUAGAUAAUAUAGAACAAAUAUGAAGGAUAAUGUAAUCAAUUUUAUCAAAACCAAAUUAUUAUUAAAUUAAGGUAAUAAAAUAAGAUACAAAUAAGGAAUCUGAACAUUAAUUAAGAAAAUAAUUACAACCCAAGAAAAUAAUUAACUAUAUAUACACAUUUAUAAUGAUCUUACAUAUGUUACCUUAUUAUUUAUGCAUCAAGCUUAAAAAUGUUAGGCAUUAGAAGGUGUAUUAGUAAAAAACUUAAGUCUCAAAUUAAUAAAAGUUAAGGUUAAAAUGAUAGUUAGAAAAAAUCUCUUACCAAGAGGAAUGAGGUUUAACAUCAAUAAAAAUGAGUUAUUAUAAUAUGGGUUUAAUUAGUCUUAAAUUAGAAUGUAUGUGGUUAUAAGCUUGCUAACCAAGACUUUAUUCAUAGACAAUAUUUUGAUUGGUAUAGUAGACUCCCAUCUAAUUUUUCUUAGAAUUCUUUAUUAAUAGGUAUAAAUUACCUAUGUGCCGCUUUUGUUAAUAUAUGUGUUUUGGUUUAUUCUUCCCAUAUUUUCUUAUAUUUCCUUUCUUUUUUCUUUUAAUAAUAUUUUUUUCAUAUGGUGACAGAUGAUUGUUGUUAUUUGAGAUGUCAACAUAGCUGAGAUGUAAGAUUACAUAGUGAUACCUAACAUGAGAACUUAAAAAAAAAAUGGGAAACUUUAUUGAUUUUUUGUGAACAUAAAAUUUUCUACAUCAAUUUUAAUAAAAAUUUAUGUGAAUAAGUAAUUUUCUACUAAUUCAAAAUUAAAAUUUAUGUAAAAUAUUGAUUAUCUUUUAGUCAAAGUAACAUAAACAUGUUUGAGAAAACUUCUUCCUAAAUAAGUAUUUAAGAAAAUAAAAUAAAAUAAAUUGCAAUUAAAAAUAAAAUAAGUUUAUACAUAAAUUAAAGCUAAAAAAUAACUUAUACAAAGCAGUUCGUAAAUAAUAUAAUUUAAUUUACAGAAAAAAGAUUUUUUUUUUCUAUUUUUCUCUUUUACCUAAACCCUAAAAAUUUAUAGAAAAUUUGUUUAAAUUAAAAAAAACAUUAUGUUGAAUUUUAAAAUUGGUUGUUAAAUAAUUCAAUCUAAUUUUUUUAUAAGGUAUCUCGUUUUAAUAUAAGAGUCAUACAUCAUGAAUCUUAAAUAGUAAUGGAGUAUGUUUGUUAAGAUUUUCCUUUCAGCAAGUUAAUGCAAUACUUUUAACAAAUGAAUCAUAAUUUGUGUUUAACUUGGAGUGAAAAUUUACAAGGAUUUGCAUUUCAACAUGAUUUAUUCAAAAGUUUAACUUAUAAUACUAAGUUCAAAAAUAAACAUGGUUAAAACAAAAAUUAUAAUGAUGACAGCUAGUAUUGAGAUUAAAAUUCACAUAUUUUUUUUUCUAAUUUAUGUACUCUUCCAAUUAUAUAUAUAUAUAUAUAUAUAUAUAUUCAACUACUCAAUUUUGUUGAAAGUACAAUAAGCAUUCUAAAUCAAUUAUUGAUUUCAGAAUGGCUAAAGAUUUAGUUAUAACAUUUAAUUCCUCAAACCAUCAUAAUAAAAUUUGUUUUAACUUCAUAACAUGAUUCAAAUAACAAAUUCAAAUAUAUCCCUAACGUUCAAAGACAUUAGAUGAUGCAAUUCAAUUUUAGAGUUAAGAUAAGAAAAUCAUUGAAUAGAAACUUUUUUUUAAAAUAAAAGUUUUUAUGUUAGGCAUCAUUAUGCAACUUGACAUCUCAGUUACGAUGUCACGUCAAGUAACAACAAUCAUUUGUCAAUACAUGAGAAAAAAUAUUAUUAAAAAAAUUACCAAAAUAUGGGUGACUAGACCAAAACCCAUAUGCUAAAAAAAUGAUACAUAGGCAAACUAUAUUUAUUCAUAAAUAUUCAUAAAGAAUUCUAAGAAUAGACUAGAUGGUAGCCUAUUAUACCAAUGAAAAUGUUCUCUAUGAAUAAAUCCUAAAUUAACCAACUUAUCAGCACACACAUUUUCUUCACGGAAAAAUAUGAGUAACCCUAAACCUGAUUUUCUCACAGUAAUUAAGAUGAAUAUUUCAUCCAUUACGAAGCAUCCAAGGAACAUUGGUCCUAACAGUAAACGCAUUACAAACCAAAGCAGAAUCACAUUUCAAUCAAACAUUAGUAAGCUCCAUCUUUUGAGUUUCCUCCAUAGCAUGGAUAACCUAUAAAACUCAGUAACCAGAGCAGUAUGAACUUCAAGAAAUCUAGAGAAAGUUCCAAUAAAUUCCCAUACAUUAAUUUUAGAAACCAAAUAAUUAGUUACUAUAUUGACUAAAUUAGAGACUAAAAAAAAAUUAGUUUCUAAAUUAGUUUCUAUUAUUGAUAAAUAAUUUCUACAUUGGUAUCUAAUUAGCUACCAAAGUUUUUGCUACCAAAUUUAGAAUCUAAAUAAUUGGUAGUUAAAACAUUGGUAACUAAUUAGAUACCAAUUUAUAAAUCAUAACAAUAAUAGAAACUAAUUUAGAAACCAAUUUUUUUUUAGUCUCUAAAAUGGUCUUUAAUUUAGUCACUAUAGCAACUAUUAUUUUUGGUAUCUAAAAUUGAUUUUUAUUUCAUGAUUUACUUGUAUUGUUGGUUUCUACUUAGUGAUUUUUUCUUGUUGUGUAGAGGAUGAGUGGUUAACAAAAAUACAGAAACUUAUAUAUAUCUAAAGGAUUACAGAGAGUUUGAAGAUGUUACAUUCAAUCCCAAUACAACAUAAAUUAGCCCCCCAUACACUACAAAAAAAUUAUUAAAUAAAAAUAAUUUUAGAGACCAAAAUAAUUAGUCACUAUAUUAACUAAAUUAGAGAUCAUUUUAUAAAGUAAAAAAAUAUUAGUAUCUAAAGUAGUUUCUAUUAUUAAUUAAAAUUUACAAAAUAGUUUCUAAAUUGAUAUCUAACUAUUAGCUACCAAGAUUUUAGCUACUAAUUACUUCGGUUCUAAAUUAGUCUUUUUUAAAGUCUCUUUUAGUCUUUUAAAAUCUAAUUUAGAAUCUAAAUUAUUAGUAGUUAAUUUAGAUAUCAAUUUAAAAACUAUUUUAUAAUAUUUUUUUAAUAAGAACCACUUUAGAUAGUACUGAUUUUUUAGUCUCUAAAUUUGUAUCUAAUUAGUUAAUAUAGUGACUAAUUAUUAAAAAAAUAAUAUAUAUAUAUAUAUAUAUAUAUAUAUAUAUUAAAGUACUAAGNNNNNNNNNNNNNNNNNNNNNNNNNNNNNNNNNNNNNNNNNNNNNNNNNNNNNNNNNNNNNNNNNNNNNNNNNNNNNNNNNNNNNNNNNNNNNNNNNNNNAAACCAUUUUAAAGGACUUGAAUAAUGCGAAAAUUCUAAUGCUAAGAACUAUUUCCUAUAUUAUGGAUAAAUAGUUUUGGUAAUAAAAAUAAUAAGACUAUUUGUAGUAACAGUAUAAAUUAAACUAAGUAAUACUUAUAUGAAUGGAAAGAAGUUAAAUUAUUAGUACAUGUAUUUUCUUCAGGUGUGGUGGUCUUUUUGAAAAUUUACACGAGUAUGUGCAUCAACUACGUAAACAUUACAUGGGUUGAAAAGCGUGGAGUGUUUCGGUGGCGGAAAAAGCAGUAGGGGCUCUUAAUUUGGAUAGUGUUUAUUGGCAUUUGGAUGGUUUUCCCUUCUACUCUUCCAUGAUUAGGUGCCAACAUUUGUAGGUUCUAGUUCUUCUCCGCAACCUACGUGUCUCUGUUUUCAUCCUUUUGGCCGCAAUACAGCUAAAAUAAUCUACCACAAACUCGAAUGCUUUUCCUACCAUAACUGUCCUUCCUUCCCAUGAGAGUGACACGCACAGUUGUCAUAAUUGCAAGCUGGCAUUUUAAAACUCUUCCAUUUUGUUUUGCCCCAUCCAUUAUCCUUUAACUAGUAAGUUAGGUUCUUUUCAGGUUUCAAAGCUGUUCUGCUUCAGAUAUAUAUAAAAUCUGACAGACCAUCAUCAUCUUCACAGUUAAGGUUUUAAAUUAUCUUUUACUAAAUGAUUUGUUUAGUUGACAUUCUAUUUCUACACUCCAAAGCAUUGUUCUGUCCUUUAAACCACAGUUUGCAGUCAAUCACAUUGCACCCACAAUGUUAUACUUUUGAAACAAUAUUGAGAUCAUAAUUUCAUUCCCGAAAAAUAGCCAAAGAAAAGAUCAUUGGUAAGUUUUGAACAGGGCUGGGCUUCCAAGUUUAGCAGGACAACAAACCAUGAUAUGAUUUGUGAAUGAGUGAAUCUUUUAUCUAUCGGUGAUAGGUUAAGUCACAGUGACUAAUCAUUACUCAAAAGUGUUGCUAGCCACUCGCACAGUGGCACCAAUGUAGCCCACAAAGAGCAAUAGUAGUACAAAUAAUUUGUUAAAAAGUCUAGCGGCUGCUGAAGUAUAUCUUCGAAAGAGUUAGCACGAAGGCACGAACCAAAACAAUAAAUCAUAAAAAAAAAAGCUAAAGUAAAGGGACGGGGGAAGAACCUAACAGCUAGAAAAAGCUGAUAAUUUAUGCUACAUUUCAUUUAUAUUGUCGGUCACUAGGCUUUUGGCGUGAAAAGUUGGACAAUGACCUCUGGAACUUAGUCACCAAGAACACAACAAGUCCUUUGUAAUAUCGACUGGCCUCAACCAUGCAUCCUUCAAGUGCACUGCCGGAGACUAAUACAUCAGUAAUCCCACAAAAACACCUUCUCAUCAACUUUUUAUGAAGAUUUUGUUUUCUCAACUCUUAAGUCUUUCAAGAGUCCAAAGUUGUUUUCUCUAACAAAACCAAAGUAGCAAAAAAAGUUAAUCUAAUGAACAUCACACCUACUAUCUCAAUCAAUCAACUUAUUGGUUUUGUAUGUAUUGUCCAUCAACAAUACAAUACUAAAUGUAUUUAAUAACGGUUUUUUUGAUCAUGAUGGGAUUAUUUUUUUUUGUUUUUACCAAAAUGGGGUCCGUUUAAAAAAAAAUUACAAAUUUAGGCAAGUCGUGCCAAUUCGGUACGACUUCAUAUGCAGAAGUCGUCCCAAUUAGGCACGACUUCUGCCAUGUCAUACUAAAGUCGUGCCAACUUGGCACGACUUCUGCCCUAUUAUACUGAAGUCGUGCCAACUUGACACGACUUCUGCCCCGUCAUACAGAAGUCGUGCCAAUUUGGCACGACUUCUGCCACGUCAUAGUUGUCCACACAGACGAGCUUAAUAAUAAAAUUCAAUUCAAGUUUGAUUAUUAAUUUUCCUCAUUUUCUUUAUCUAUGUAUUUAUUCAUUCAUAACACUCUUAGAACAUUUUUUUUCUUUAUCUAUGUAUUUAUUCAUUCAAUUCAAACAUGAUCCAUACACAAUUAUCCAAUUUUUUGUUCCUUAAAACUAACACUCUUAGAAAAAUUAUGUAUCAAAUUAAUUUUUAACAUUACAUAACUUACUACCCAAUAUAUAAACAAUAAAAUUAAAAAAAAUUAUGACAUGGCAGAAGUCGUGCGUCGUGUCAAGUUGGCACGACUUCAGUAUGAUAGGGCAAAAGUCGUGUCAAGUUGGCACGACUUCAAUAUGACAGGGCAGAAAUCGUGUCAAGUUGGCACGACUUCAGUAUGACAGGGCAGAAGUCGUGCCAACUUGGCACGACUUUAGUAUGACAUGGCAGAAGUCGUGCCUAAUUGGGACGACUUCUGCAUAUGAAGUCGUGUCGAAUUGACACGACUUGCCUAAAUUUGUAAUUUUUUUUUAAACGAUCCCAUUUUGGUAAAAACCAAAAAAAAUAACCCCAUCAUGGUCAAAAAACCUUUAAUAACACUAUAUUUGUUCAUUUGCUUGUUUUUCUCUUUCUUACAAACUUGUUGGAAAUCCUCCUUAAUUAAUAAUUAAUGGGAAAUCAUGACCAAUGAAUUUUGGUAAUUGAUUCAUUGAGUAAUAAUACAUAUUCCAAAGUCUUGAAAUUAUAUCUCUCUUGAAUACUAUAAAGUUCAACCUAGAAAGUUGAAGAUAGUAUUUUGAAGGUAUCUUAAAAAUGUAAUGAGUAUUAAUUAUCCAUUAUCUUUUUAUGAAGGAAGAGAAAAUCAAACAAAGGAAAAGAAUAACAUAGAGAGUAAAUCAGAUAAUAGAUAUCCAUCACAAUGUGAGAUUCAAAAUUAUAGUGAGAUGCUAGAGAGACUUUAUAUUUCAUCCUUGUUAGGUGAAAUUAAGUGUUAUCUUCACAGGGGAAAAAUAAAUAUUUUAAUCUUACUUUCAGAGUAGAGACAUUUUCUAUUCCGUGACUUUUACUUCUCAAGUUGAGGAGGUUUUUCCAUGUCAUUAUUCUAUUUUUCUCUAUUUAUUUUUGUUUGUUUAUUGCUUUUGCAAGUGUCCAUUUUGUAUCUACACCAAGGAAGAAAAAUCUGUUCUGAUUUUCCCAAUAGGGAUGUGUUUAAAAAACAUUUGUAACAACAUGUGAAUCCCAUUACACAGCUCUAGUGAAUAUAAUUGUCAUGUUUUAACAACAUCAAUUGUUAUAUUUUUGUUCUAGAUCCUCUCUAUGAUAUCUUAUAUGUAUGUAUAUCUGACAUUUGAGAGCUGCUUUAUUGUUUGUGACAUUCUCUUCAUUGUUCUCUUUCAAAUUAACUAAUUUGUUUGUUGGUUUUACUAAACUUUUAAUCAUGUCAACAAACAUGGAAUGUUCAUUUUGAUUUUAAUAUACCAACAUAAGGGUGACAAAGUAAUGUAUCAGUCAAGUCAUGAUUAUGACUCUCACAUAUUACCUUCAACACUCAACCUUCUUCGUUGUGAACUAGUUUGCCUUACAAUUAAAAUGACAAUUACAUUUUCCUGCACCAGUUAUAGUGAGUUCCAAUUCAAAUAUAGUUUGUAUUUUCUAUGCUUACUCUCUUUCACAACCUAACAACACAUAUGUCUUCAUUUUUUUUGUCCAUUUGUGUUGUCAAACUUCAAAAUGACAAUUAUAAAAUCAAGUCUACACUCAUUGAAGUAAGUCAUCUCAUGUACAAAAUAUUCACAAAUACGUUAGUACAUGUCACAUCUUUUACACAAAUGGAUGAAAUUAUACUUGCAUCAUCUACUGUGAAAGGACGAACCUAAUCUCCACCAACUAAUUGAUCUUCAAUUGCCACAAACUUCAUUAUAUCCAAUCAUCCCUGUUAGAUAAUUCAUAUGCUCCAUUAGAUAUAUUUAACAAUUACUACUAAAGUUAUUUGUAUAGUAAUUACAAAACAAUGUAAUACCAAUAAUUUUUAUAGUUUCUAAAAUAGUAUCUAAUUUAAUCAAUAUAUUAAAUAAUUAUUUUUUAUCUCUAAAAUUGAAUUUUAUUUAAUAAUUUUUUUAUAGUGAAUCUAACAAACACUCCAACGUCACACUCAAUGCCGUAAUGUAUUUAUUUUCAAAAAGAUAAAUAUAAAAAAUUUAGAUGCACUUGGGUACAAGUUGAAAACAUGGAAAUUUUUAGAAAUUGCCCAUACUUUCUCGUAGCCUUUAAUAGUUUUUGUUUAUAUUUAUAUAUUUCAAAAUAAAAGCCACUAAAAUUAUGUUAGUAUUUAGUGUCAAUAGAAGAAAAUCAUGAAAUAGAAACUAAUUUUAAAAAAAAAAUAAUUAGUUGUUAUAAUGACUAAAUUAGAGACCAUUUUAUAAACUAAAAAAAUUGAUUUUUAAAUUAAUAUUACUAUUAAAUAGUUUCUAAAUUGAUAUAUAAUUUUAAUUACCAAUUAUUUAGAUUCCAAAUUUGAUAGUAAAAAUCUUGGUUGCUAAUUAGAUACCAAUUUAGAAACCAUUUAACAAUAAUUUAAUUACUAUAGCAACUAAUUAUUUUUUUUUCUAAAAUUGGUUUCUAUAUUUCAUGAUUUUCUUGUAAUGUAUGGUAAUGAGUUUAAAUAAUUUAUACAAUUCACACUUCAAAAGUUAUUAUAUUCGGGGAGAAAAAUAUUUUUACUUAUAAUAAUUAUAUACAAUUUAAUAAUUGCAUUUUUUUAUAUAAACAUGCUAUUUAAAAUACCAUUUAAAUAUUUUUAUUGACGAAUUUUCACGAUUUCAUGAAAAUUAAAAGGCAUUCUUCUGUAAUAUCGCUCCAAGUUUAUACUUCAAUAUUACCCAAUCUGGUGAUUUUCUUUGGGUAUGGAGAUUGACUUAACAAUUCCUUUUCGAAUUGUAAGCCCAAUGGCCCGUAAGCUUAUGCUUCUGUCUAGUUUUGCAUUCACUGGUGCACAAAUUCUUCAUGCACCUUACAAAUUGUCACAUGCAUCCAAUGCAUCUAGAAAUAUCCAAAAUUGUACUUCAUCUUAGAAUUAAAAAAAAAUACAUUUUGAAAAAAUAAAUCCAAAAUAGAACUUUGAGUUUUGAAAGUUAAAUUUCAAAAUAAAAUUAGAAAAUCAAAAUUUUGUUCCAGAAAUAAAAAAUAAAAAACAAAAUUUAAAAAUAUAUUUCAAAACAAAAAUUCAGAAAUAAAAAAGUGUUCCAGAAAUUCAAAUUCAAAAAUAUAUUUCAGAAAAAAAAAUUUGAAAUAUAUAUUUUGAUACGUACCCUUUUUAUUUAAAAAUAUUUUUAUCAUUUCACAAAAAAAUUAAUACAAAUUCAAAUUUCGUCGGAUGAAAAAAGUAAUUGUCGAAUAAAUUAUAUUGAGUUCACUACUCCACUACAAGAAAAUUAUGAAAUAGAAACCAAUUUUAGAUACCAAAAUAAUUAGUUGUAAUAGUAAUUAAAUUAGAGACUAUUUUAAAAACUAAAAAAAUUGGUUUUUAAAUUAAUUUUUAUUAUUGUUAAAUAGUUUCUAAAUUGGUAACUAAUUAGCAACCAAAGUUUUCGCUACCAAAUUUAGAAACUAAAUAAUUGGUAGUUAAAACCUUAGUUGCUAAUUAGAUACCAAUUUAGAAACUAUUUAACAAUAAUAGAAACUAAUUUAAAAACCAAUUUUUUUUGUAGUUUUAAAAUGGUCUCUAAUUGAGUUACUAUUGCAACUAAUUAUUUUGGUCUUUAAAAAUUGGUUUCUAUUUCAUAAUUUUCUUGUAGUGCUCUAACACGUUUUAAAUAAAAUUUCCCUUAAAAAAUAUGACCCCAAAAUGCCAUAAAUAUUAAACGAUCCAAUAUUUUAUUUAUUAGAACUAUGCCACAACUGAGUCCAGAUUUAUUUGGUUAUUGUGGAACCAUUGUUGUGCAUGGUUGGGCGUGCUGAGCGUAUUUCACAUCGUUCCAUUGUUAAAUUUUUUCCAGUUUAUGUUGAGCAACGCGUUUGAUUCUGUGAAUGAGGUUUGAGGUGUUAUUUGGAUCGCAAUAGUCAACGAGAUUUGAAAGCAUAGAAACAUGGUUAUUUUUAACGGGGGAGUAGUGGAUGUUCUGGAAGAUUUUACUUUGGUUCAAUUAAAGGCUUGGUCAUGGAUUACAUCCAAGUCACAGUUUGCGAAUUUUUCCUUUUUUGAUUGGUGCAUAAAUCCGUUGGUUUGUAUGAGGAUGAUCUUAUGACGUAUUCAUUCAAGCUGUUUGACUGUUUUCUCUAAGAUGUCUUCCUCUGGGUUAGCUAGGAGAGUUCUGUUUUGACAAACUUUGGAGUAAGUCUUGUGCUGAAGAUUAUGGAUGAGUUCUUGUAUAAGAGUUGAAUCACCCCUAAACUGAUUCAUAUUUAUUUUUUAUAAAAAAAAAACUAUACCACAACAAUACAUAAUGAGAUUAUCACAAUUUAUAUACAUAAUUCAUGUUUUUAUUUUUUCCUUUGUCAUAUUUUAAAAUUAACAUCUUGAAUCUCAAAAUUAUCAUUCUAUUUACAAAGAAGAAUAAAAAUAGUAGAGAAAAAUUACCACUCCACUCAAAUCUAUACAUUACUACAUAUAUCAAAUAUAAUAUAAUAUAUAAUAUAUAAUUAAAAUUAAUAUAAAUAUUAAAUUUUAAUUCAUUAUAAUAAUAUAUAAGUGUAAUCGAGCCUGUGUUUAUGCUAGUUUUUAUAAUAUCUUUAUAUAUAUUUCUUCUCUUUUUUUAUUGUAUAAUGUAUCUUAUUUAUAUCUUUCUUCAUCUAUCUUACUCGAAAAAAACUGUGAAAUAAUUUUUUUUAAUCAAUUUUUUAGAUCGUGAUAUAUUUUUAAAGAAGAUAUUUUUUAAAUCUUAUUAAAUUAUAAUAUAUAUAUAUAUAUAUAUAUAUAUAAAGUGGGGUGUAAACUUUAUUUAUUUAUGAUGUUUUUGUGAAGUUAAGUUUUAAGAUAUAUUUUAAGAUGGUGUAAGAAUUUAUUAGAGUAUAAAAGUUUAUUACAUAUAAAUUAUUUAUCAAACCCUUCUUUAUUUCUAUAUUUGAUAUUGUAGUAGGAGAAGAUGUGUUGAAAAUUUUAUAUUAUCUAAAAAUAUGAUAAAGUUUUAAAGAAUUUUUUUCAUGAAUUAUGUAAUUUUGGUAAGCUUCAAAUACUUGUGUAAUAUGAUACUUGUUUUGAAUAAUUGUUUAUUCCUAUCUCACCUUAUAAAUAUAAAAAGAAAUACAACGAAAAAAAUCAAAUUUUGCAAUCAAUUAUGCCUAAUUCACAUACACACCAAAAAGGUUUAUAGUACUCGUACUUAUAAACACUCCCUACUAAAAAAAAACUAUUAAAAUUAUUAUAUUUAAGUUAUAUACUACUUUAAAAACUAAAAAAUUAUUGAUAUCUAAAUUAGUUUCUAUUUAAUAAAUAAUUUUUAAAUUGAUAUGUAGCUAACUACCAAGAUUUUAACAACAAAAAUUAUAUAAAUUCUAAAAUUUUUAGCUAAAACCUUAAAAAUUAAUUAAAUAUCAAUUUAAAAACUAUUUAUCAAUAAUAAAAAUUAAUUUAAAUAGUAAUAAUUUUUAUAAUCUCUAACCUAAUAUAAAAUUUAAUUAAUAUAACAAUUAAUUUUUUUAUCUAAAUUUUAUUUCUAUUUAAGAAUUUUUGUAAUAAGUCUUCCACCAGAACAACUUUUAUUAACCAUCUGAGACUAUAAAUCGUCCAAAUACGAUAAGAACGUCCCAUCUCUUAGAAUUCGUGUUAAUUUUUUUUUUAGUUCUUUACCUAGUUAAAAUGAAAUCUAAUAAUACUUGAAUUCUUAGUAAAUAGUCAUAUAUGGACUCAAGCAUUUGUUUUAUCUCCUCAUCCUUAGAAAUAUUUCCAAAAAUCGAUUGUCUAUUCAAAUAUGAAUAAUCUCUUCAACUACUUUUAGAGAUUAUAUUAUUAAUCAUGUGAGGCAUAAUUGUUAUUGAUGUGAUUUGGAUUACCUACCCAUAUGUCAUACAUUAAAUAAGAUAACAUAUAAUUUAAAUUACAGAUAUAUUAAUUCACAAUACAAAACUCUUUCCUGUUGUUAUAUUUUAGCUUGCACUUAGCUUAUUGAUUAAAUAAACUAAUGCUCUAAUUUGUUUUGAGUAAAGAAUAUGAUACAAAGUUUAUUUUGAUUUCAAGAUUUAUAUAAAAUUACUAUAUUAGUUAAUUCACACAAACUUAAAUAUUUUACAUUUUGUUUUCAUAAAAUGAUAUACUUUUGUAAAAGAUUAUAAUAUUUUUCUCUUGCAUAAAUACUAUAAACUAUUCUUUAUCAACUUAAAGAAAAUUCCUGGAUCUAUCACUGUUUACAAAGAAAUUGCAUAUGUUACGAAACUAAAAGAAAAUGAUUGAAAACAUUUUUUUUUUGGUGAUGUAUACAUCUUUUCCAAAUUAUUUUUUAAAUUGAAGAGUCCUUUUUCUUAUUCUCAUUGUAUAUAUCCACCGAACCUGAAGUGAUUGAAAUAUGGUUUUCAGCUUCGAGAGCAUUAAUAUGGCCGAAUACGAAGCAUCUUGCUUUCCGUAAAGAGAUGUUAUAAUAAGUAAAUUAAUGCAUCAUGGGCCUAGUUACUCAAACUGUUUCAAAUUUAUAAUUAUAGGGCUACCCAACAAAAACUAUAAUUGCUGCACCACACUUCUCAUCCAAGAUAUCAUCUUGUUUUAAGAUACUUCUUUUCAAACUUUAUUUAAAAAUUAUAAAAGAAAAUUAUCGCCUAAAAUGCACUUAAUCGCAUGAUAUCAUCACGAAUUAUCAAUUACAACUUUUGCGCGCGUAUUUUCCAUUGCAACAUAUAAAGAAGUAAUAUGUAACUCGGUCUUCACAUGAAAAUCUAAAUCCAAUUAAACUAAUGUCUUAUUUAAGUAUGUAUUUUUUAUUUUUCUUUAAACUCGAUCUUUACAUGAAAUACUUUUUUUUAUCAGCAAAUAAUAAAUAAAAUAAAAUGAGACACCCUUAUACAAAAUUCCAAAACAGAUUUUCUAGAACCCUACAAACUAAGGAUCCAACAAAUAUUGUACUACCUAUCAAGCUAAAAUCUCAUAGGUAAAUAAACCCAACAAAUACAGUUAUAUCACCCCACCAGAGAGGUCACACCCUCAAACAAGAGCAUACAUCCAACAACUAAACAAGGUCUUUGCCAUCAAGUUGGAGGACCUUACCCAAGAGACAAACUCAACAAACCAAUACAAUACACACCAUUCAACAACUAAGUCAUAACUAUGAACCGACUAAGUUGUACCAAAAACCCAAUUGCUAACAAUGACAGACCGAUCCUUAUAAGAAAGAAACAUAAGCCAAAAAGCUUUUGCCACAUUCAAACACCGUAAAAAAUCCAGCACCAAACCAAAAAGCAUACAGCAAAAACACUUUCUUUACUGCAGCACAGAACAAAGUCAUCAAUCUGACCCCGUCAAAAAGGAAUUACCAAGACACCUGCACAUCCACGCAAUACCUUUCGUUAGUAUGUAUCUGCGUUGUUAGAAGAUACUAAGAAAUAAUAUAUUAAAGUAGAAAAUUGAAAUCUAACUCAACUUCAGAAAAUCAUUAAAUAUAAAUUAAUUUUAGAGAUUAAAAAUAAGUCAUCAUUAUAUUGAUUACAUUAUUUACUAUUUUAGAGACUAAAAAAUUAUUCGUAUCUAAAGUGGUUUCUAUUAUUAAUAAAAAUUUAUAAAAUGGUUUAUUGGUCCGUAUCUAAAUUGGUUACCAAAAUUUUAGGUACUAAUAUUUUAGAUUAUAAAUUAGUCUCUAAAAGAAUAGAACCUUAGUAGCUAAUGAUUAUAUACCAAUUUAAAAACUACAUUAUAAAUUUUUAUUAAUAAUGGAAAUUAGUGUGAAAUGGGUCUGAGUAGUUUUAAGACUUUUACAAAUAGGAAUAAAAUCGAUAAGGAAACAAUCUUAAAUAAUAAUAAAUAUUCAAUAUAGCAAUCACAUUAUUUUCUUCUCAUAUUAUUAUAAUAACUGAAAUAAAUAAAUUUGGCCUUAAAAUUGGAAUUAACAUUUAAUUUUGAAAAGGACUGAAAACAAGACUGGAUACAUAAGAGUAGGGAGGACAAGUAAAGCAUACAAAUGACACAUAUAAUAAAAAAAGGAAGAACAACUCGGCUGAAAAUCACUAUUUCUGGCUAAACUGAAUUAUCUAGUUGGAAGACAUCCUUCUUAAUUAGAAAUUUUGGCGCAUAUCAUGGAUAGGUAAAUCAAUCAUGCAUCAUUUUUAUCAUAUGUGCAGUUGAUUGAUAUUUGUAGUACCAUAUUGCUUUUGUGAAAGUAGUAGGAAAGGAAACAUAUCGUUUAGAAUCCUUAGACGGUGACCGUAUACCAAAAACAUGAAAUUUGACUAAUCUUUGUUUUCGUUUUAGUUUAUUAUAAACUCUUUUAUUUUUUGUGUUCACUAUUUUCUUUUUUAUUUUUUUUAUGUGUUUUACCUUUUAAUAGCAAUCCCUCUCCUAUUUUAAAGUAUUAUGCAAUUGGGGUGGUUUACAAACACAAAUUUUCCAAACCAACCAUUUCUUUUUUAAUUUGUGGAGUAGUAGGAAGAAAAACAUAUUGUUUGGACUCACCAAACGCUAAUCGUAUACCAAGAACAAGAAAUUGGAUUAAUCUUCAUUUCAAUUUUAUCUUAUUAUUAUGCACUUUUUUAUUUUUUGUGUUUCAAUGUUUAUUUUCUAUUUUAUUAUAUGGUUUUACUUUUUUUUAAUAGCAAUCACUCUUGUUUUAAAGUAUUAUUCAAUUGGGUGGGGGUGAUUCACAAACAAAUUUUCUCCAAACCAACCAACAAAAUUUAAUUAAUUUAAAUUUCCUUAAAUUAGCAUAUUUAUGAUUCACCCAAAUUUUUUAAUUCAUUUGAAUUCAAUUUUUGUUAAAUUAGAAUGUUUAUGUUUCUAUCUUAAGAUAGGUUUAUCUACAUUCAUUUUAAAUUUUGUCCAAAAUUUCAAUAAAGGUAGUUUACGUUUAUUUCACAGAAUAUAUUCAAAUAAAUGUUAUAUAUGUUUAGACUGUAAACUUUAAAAAUAUACAACUCUCACUUAAAAUGUGUAUUUUACAUAAUAUAUUUUAAUAUAAAUGUUAUAGAUAAAAUAUAAUAUAAUGCUACAGAAAAUUUAUUUAAAUUGUAUUAUUAAAAUACAAAGGUUUGAAAAAAUAUAUAUUUCAAGAGAACAUUACAUUAAGUUGGCUUAUGUAUGAGGUUAGGAGUUGUAGUGUCAUGGGCCGAAUCCGAUAUUUUGUAUAAAUAGAUCGCCUACUGAUAUUCAUUUUAAAGACAUUAAUGUCAUAUCAACCCAAAUAAAGGGAUCUCAGAUAAUCAGCUUAAAUAGGAUACACCAUUUAUUACUGAAUUAAGCCAAUAAUAAGACCAUAUACAAGGAGAAGGGGGGAGAGCACUACCCUAUAUAAGGGGAAGAAAACAACUCACAUAACACACAACACAAGAAGUAACUUUCAAUUCAUAUUUUACACUAUACUCGUUAUAUUUUAUGCUCUUACGAACUUGAGCGUGUAUCUUUUGCAGGUGGAGCCCCCUAUUUCCUUAGAGUCCAUGAAGCUUGCAAAGAUACGAUCAGUGUGACUAUCUCGAAAUUUAACCAACCUUAACUGAAUGUUUUAGGUUUGUGAUCGUCAAUACUCUUGUCUGGAACAUUUUCAUAUAUAAUCUAAUUUCAUCUUAAUAUAUAUCAAGUCUAAUUGUUUUCAAGUUUGAAUCAAACAAAUACUCCUUAAUGUUAGAGGGUGAGUUGGUAAGUUUUGUAAGUUGGACAUGUUGUUAUUUUGUUUUACAAGUUGAGCAUGUUUAUACAAAAUGAAUAAAGUUUGUUAUAUUGUUAGAAUUUAGUACACAAUCAGGAAAUGUAGAAUAUAUGCCAAGAACCAUGUCUAAGUCUUAACUUGACAUGGUGCUGAAACCAAACUCGGUCUAGUUCAUUAAAGAUCACGUAUAGGUUUUAACUUGAGGUGAAGAAAAACUAUGUACAGUCUUAACUUGAUAUGGUGUUGAGUUAUUACUCAGUCCAGUUUAUUGAAGGCCAUGUACAAGUCUUAACUUUACGUGAAAAAUAAUUAUGUACAAGUCUUAACUUGAUGUGGUGUCGAGCUAUUACUCGGUCUAGUUUAUUGAAGGCUGCAGUCCAAUUUAUUGAAAGCCACAUAUAGGUCUUACCUUGAGUGAAGAAAAACCAUAUACAAGUCUUAACUUGAUGUGGUGUUGAAUAUUACUCGGUUCAGUUUAUUGAAGGCCAUGUAUAAGUCUUAACUUGCACAUGAAGAAAAACUAUGUACAAGUCUUAACUUGAGGGUGUCGAGCUAUCGCUUGGUUCAGUUUAUUUAAGGCCAUAAAUAGGUCUUAACUUGAUGUGAAGAAAAACCAUGUACAAAUCUUAAGUGAUGUGGUGUUGAGCUAUCACUUGGUCCAGUUUAUUGAAUGUCACGUACAUGUCUUAACUUGACGUGAAGAAAAUUCAUGUACAAGUCUUAACAUGAUGUCGUGUCAAGCUAUCACUCGGUUCAAUUUAUUGAAGGUCGUGUACAAGUCUUAACUUGAAGUGAAGAAAAAACAUGUACAAGUCUUAAGUGAUGUGGUGCCGAUCGAGUUAUUACACUGUCCAAUUUAUUGAAGGUCACGUACAUGUCUUAAAUUGACGUGAAAAAAUAAUAAUGUACGAGUCUUAACUUGAGAUGGUGUCGAGUUAUAACUCAAUCCACAUACAAGUCGUAAUUUGACGUGAAGAAAAAUCAUGUACAAGUCUUAAUUUGACAUGAUGUCGAGUCAUAGUUCGGUCCAAUUUAUUGAAGGUCACGUAUAAGUUUUAACUUGACACGAAGAAAGACCAUAUACAAAUCAUAAUUUGACAUGGUGUCGAGCCCAAACUCGAUCCAUUAUUACUAACAAAAUUCUAAUUAGUUAGCCUCUAAGGCCUCGUUCUGUGGUUGGGGGCUUGUGAUGUCAUGGAUGGUUCUGAUUAGUUAGCCUCUAAUCUCUGGGCCUGAGGUUGAGGGGCUAGUGGUAUCAUUGGUCAGAUCCGAGUAGUUUUUAGACUCUUACGAAUAAAAAUAAAGUCGGUAUGAAAAUAAUCUUAAAAAAUAAUAAUAAUAAACAAUAUAACAAUCCUAUUUUUUAUAUAUUAUUAUAAUUACUGAAAUAACAGAAUUUGACCUUAAAAGAAGAAUUAACAUUUAAUAUAGAAAAAGAUUAAAAACAAAACUAAAUAUAUGAUAAAAAAAAAGGAGAACAACUCGACUAAAAAGUAACUCUGCCUAAACUGAAUAAUUUAAUUGGAAGACAUCCUUCUUUGUUAGAACAAUUUUUAUAUUAUAAUUUAAUUAAAUGAAAUUCCGUUGAGAUAAUGAAAGUUCACAUCAAACACACAUCACAAAUACAUCAAUUAUAGUAUGUUCUACUAACAAGUGAGAUAAUAGACACAACUUAAAGUCUACUAAUAGUCUCUUAGAAGAAUAAAAUGUAACUCUAUUUUAACCCGAAAGGUAAGAGGAUUUGAAAUCCACUGCAAGCUUGUAUACUUACAAAGUGAAUUAAAUCCACAUGUCUCAAUAUCAAUUGGAUUAUUAAAUCUUAUAAUGCAAGUUGGUUGCCAACUAGCUAUUCUUCGGUUUCAUGUAAGAAGUUGAGCUGUCUCUCUUCUGAAAAGCCAAAACUACAGUGCCGAAGAUGCAAACGUUUUAACACGCUUUCUUUUACUUUCUGUUUUCCACACUCUUAUUUGACGUGAUGUGGUCAGAAAAUGACUUCUUCAACCUCAUGCACACCUAUCUAUUGUAAGUCUCUUCUAAAUUGAAUGAACUAAAAGCAGUUAUAUAUUACUUCCAAAGUAGCACUUUGUCUGAUUUCUUUUAGCUUCAAACUUACUUUAAAACUAAAAUUAAAAAUAAAGAAUUUCAAGUUAAAGUUUAGGUUCUGAUAUUUGAAAUAAAGCAAUUUUUUUUGGGUAGAAGUCAAUAUUGAAAUUAGUUUUUAAGAACUCUUUUUAUUUCAAAGUUCUAUGGGAUAACAAAUAUUUUUUUUAAAAUUGUUUGACACAAAAGACAGAUACAUGUGUCUAACCCUUUUAACCAUGACUUUAUAUACCAUAUGCCCCCUACCAGAAACUUAAUUAUUUCAUAUUGCUUUCCAUGCAGCAAGUAAUUAACUGUUUCAAUUUGUCAUAUAUACGACAAAAUUGCAUACACAGAAAAACAUCUGUUGAGUUAAGGAGCAACACUGUGAUGAUGUAUUAUAUUGGCUAUGGUCUUUCGAUAUAGUCGCUGAUUUUUUCCCACACCAAUUGAUUGCAAAUUGUCACUAAAUCUUGGCUACCUUUAUCUCUCUUUGAUCUUUCUGGGAUAUUUUGAAAUUCUCCGAAAUUUGAAUUUAUUUAACAGAUUUCGCUAGUAAAAGUAAGUCUGUAAGUAAAGUUUAUUGUCAAACACGCAUGGGCAAUUAACUUUUCAAAAUUGAAAAGAUAAUUGAAAAGAUAAUUGAAAAGAUAAUUGAAAUAUGUUAGUUUGAGAGUGAAGCACGUGUAUGAGUCGAGGAAGUUACCUUACAAUCACCUUUUCUAAGCGUUAUUUGGCUUUGUUUAUAUGGCUGUAACAUGGAAUAUAUGUAAAUAGAAGUCUGGAAGAUCUCAAUAUGAUGAUGACAACUAUGAAUUAAAUGAUAAAGAUGAAGAAGAGUAUUAUAUGAUUCGUCCUGGUAAAGCAUAAAAUUAUAAUCCUAGUGCUACCUGCAUAAUGACUGGAGGGGACCAUUUUUCCCAUGCUCUCAAGUGCAUUACCGUCUUCAUUAUGAUAUCCUCACUUUAAUUAGUCCCCGUUUCACACCUUCAUAACUUUAGUUCGGCUGCAAUUUAACAUUCUCCCCGAUUCAGGAAAACAAAAGGAGUGAGAAAGAACAAAGGUACUUCAAAAUUUCCUUCAACCUAGGCCUAAGGAAAUUCCUGCUUGCAGCUGUCAAAUCAUAUUCAUACACUUACCAUCACUAUAUAUAUAUUUCUUUAAAUUUUACACUCAGUUCACGCCAACAUUUUUGGUUUCUUUAGAUAUAUUCACUUUUUAAAGACAAAAAGCACGAGACAAUUAGACAAGAAAGAUAAAGAAAAGGGUAAAAAAAUCUUAUGUGCACUAUUUUUAAUUAUGUUAUUGAAAUAAAAUGACUAAUAAUUUUACUGAUAACUACUUUUUUUUUAUAAAAAAAAUUAAUGACUCGUCUUUAAUAAAGUUUAUUACUAUUUGCAUAGAUUGAGCUACGCAUGAGUAUUCCAGUUGAAUAAUUUAUGGGCAUAAAAACGUUGGGACGUAUUUGUGUUAAAUAAUGGAAAGAAAAUAAUGUAAUGUAUGUAGUAGUGUAGCUAGUUGAUGUGGGAGCAUUGAAAUGUGGGUGUUGCGAAUGGUUGGAGUAGGAGAAAAUGGUUUGUUUGUUGUGUUGGGAUGGCAUGAUGAGUUGAAUUGAAUGAUGGUGCAGCAGCAGUUUGGUUUGGGAAGCAAUUAAGUGGAAGAUGAGUUGAAACUGAUCCCGAAGCAAUGCAAUGAUCUCUAUUCAUUCUGUUGAAAGAAGGACCCUUUUGCUUUCUUUAAAUAUUCUCACAGAAAGUUGUGGGUUCGAAAGGAGGGGUGGUUAGGAAGUUGAGGUGGAGAUGGAGUAGAGAGCAUGUGUAUUAGCAAGAGGGCAUGCAGGAGUGAACUCAACUAUCUGGCAUGGGCUCACAAGUUAUGGCCAUGAUUGGAUCAUGAAGCAAGCCUCGUGGGCUUUGCCUUUCCGUUUAACCUUUCUCUUUUUUAAAUACUUCCCUAACCAAGGAAGCACCAGUUUUUAUUUAUGUAUUUUAAAUAACCCCCCCGUGACCCGAAUUCAAAGAGUGGGGAGGGGGGGGACCAAAAGGCAGCGCAUUUAGAAUGAAUUGAACAAACCCAUGGAUAAAAGAGAAGGAACACCUAGAUAAAGGCUAAAGCAUAACUGCAUAAGCUGUCAUUGCUUCCCUCCUUUCUUUUAAAAGCCCCUCACACAUUCAUAUUUCCUACUUCUACUACUAUCACUACUCUACUCUUCCUAACCACCCUCAACAUCUAAGAUCAUUGCAACAUACACGUUAACCCAAAACAAAUUACAACCACAACAAAUAUGAUCAAAGGAAGGGAAGGCAAAGCAUUAGCACAAGCACCGCCCUCUGCUGAUCUCUUAGUUUGUUUCCCAUCUCGGGCUCAUCUUACUCUAAUGCCUAAGCCCAUUUGCAGCCCGGCCCGACCCUCCGAGCCCACCAAACGCCACCACAACAGCCACCACCACCACCGUAAGAAAUCCUUCUCCAGAGGCGGCGGCGGAGGCCAAGCCAGUCCUUUAUUAUGGGCCAAAACCAAGUCAAUGGGCUCUGAAAUCACGGAACCAACCUCCCCCAAAGUGACGUGCGCCGGUCAGAUCAAGGUCCGGCCCAAAACGACCGCGUGCAGGAGCUGGCAAUCGGUGAUGGAAGAGAUAGAGAAGAUCCACACCGACAAAAAACAGAGGAAGCGUCUCGGCUGGGCCGAGAGCCUCGGUUUCAAGAAGGAGAUAAUGCAGUUCUUGACUUGUUUGCGAAGCAUAAGGUUCGACUUCAGAUGCUUCGGCUCCUUCCCCGGAACUGACAUCGCCACCGAAGAAGAAGACGACGACGAGGAGGAAGAAGUCGAAGAGGAAGAGGAAAACCACGUGGGCGUGGGAGAGAACGAGAAUGAAGCAUCGAGAACUGUUUUCUCGAAAUGGUUCAUGGUGUUGCAAGAGAACCAAAACAAGCGGAGAGAAGAGACAGAGGAGAGAGGAAAUGACGAGGAAAGUGUGUCGGUGUCGGUUCCUCCUUCGAACGCAUUAUUGCUGAUGCGUUGUAGGUCUGCUCCGGCGAAAAGUUGGGUAAGAGAGAGGGAAGGUGGUGAAGAAGAGGAGAAUGUGGAGAGAGAAAAAGGAAAAGAAAAAGAUGAGGUGGCGGUAAAGAAGGGACAGAGUUUAAAGUCGUUGAUGGAGGAAGAGAAGAGAAAGACGGAGAAGGUGGUGGUGAUGCGAUACGACUCUGAUUUUUACGGCAUUUCUUCUGAUGUUGCCAAAGAGACGUGGAUUGUUGGCGGCCUCAGAGAUCUCAUGUCAAGGAGUCGAAGUUCCAAAAGAUAAGAUAUGAAUAUCAUCAUCUUCAUUCACGGUUACAGCUAUUUUUCCAAUAAUUUUUCUUUUACAACUUUGUGAGACUUCUCUUCAUCCUUUGGUGUGAAAACUGGGAAAUCUAAUACUAAAAUCCCAGUUUUAGCUUCUGGAAUUACUGAGUUCGUAAACCUGUACAGUUUAAUUUCUGAUUUAUUUGUAUAAGUUUCCGGUGAAAUAUUUUGGUGGCUGCCAACUACGUCAAUGAAUCUGCUACUCCCUUUGUGUUGUAGAGUGAGAGGAAUAUUUAAUUUUUGUUCAGUUCACAUUUGUUACUAUAAUCGAUAUCAAUACAUUAUGAUGAGUGCAGCAAACUUUAACAACACAACUCACUUUUUUUUAUAUAAUCAGAUAAUAAUUUUUAAUAAUUCUUUACAUCAUUUAAUUAUAAAUUUACUGGAUUGUUAAUCAAAAAAAUUUCAAACUGCAAACACCUUUUACAUAGUUUUAUAAAAGUGAAGAGAUUAAAUUAUGGAAAUUAUUUCAUUUCUUUAAUUUAUUUUAAAAUUACAAAAUUGAAGAAUAUUUGUUCAAAAUACAAAAUUAUCAUUUCCUUUAUUUUUCCACUCUCGAGUACACCGUUGAAGAUCGAAAGUUUUGGUAUAACUUAUACAUAGUAACAAACAUUCCUUUAACAAUUUAAUAACUAAAUAUUUUAAUAUAUUUAAUUUAUUUUUUAAUUAAAAAUAUUAUUAUAAUGGGUGAUGAGGAUGUGUUUUACUUUUUGAGUUUCAAACUAAUCUUUUCCAUUUUUCAAUGGAUAGUAUCAAAUCAGAUCCUCUGCAGCAAAUUUUCUUUAUAGCCAUUGUGCAGCUAAAUCCAAUCCACUGAUUAGUUAAUACUCUAUAGAGUUAAUAGUUCAGAUUUUGGCCGCAGAGACAAUAGAGGAUCUGGUUCAGACACACCUCUAUGAUGUGUGGGUAAAGAUAUAUUUAUUUUUCUAUUUUUUUAUAAUUUAUUCAGUAUCUUAAUUCAAAAGUUAUUUGUAUGAUUUUUGUUACAUUUAUAUUUUAAUGGUAUUAAUACUAUUUGGUCAAAUUUUAGUUUUUAUACUACUUAUCUUUAUUAUCAUUAUUUCAGCCAGAUAAUUAUUAAUUGUAAUAAUAUUUUUAAUAUAAGCUUAUACAAAUAGUGUAUUUUUGCAUUGUAACUUUCAUUUAGGAAAUCUUAUAUGCAUGGUUUAAAUAAAAGUACAUCGCAUCACUGAAAAAAAAAAUAUCAUAUUCAAUAAUACUUGAUAUUAAAAGUGUUUUUUUUCUUAAAGUAUUUUAUUUGGUUUGUGAAUCAGGUGUUCUUCUCAACAUUUAAACAUGAUAAAGAGUUGUACACAUAUUUUGAAUAUCCGUGUGUGACACAUGUUAUGGAUACUCAAACAUUAUAAAGUAGUGGAUGAUUUCUUUAGAACUUUUUGGAUUGCAUUCUAAUAUGUGAUUGGUGUUUAAGUGUUGGCUACAUCACUAAAAUGUUAGACAUUCAAGUGAUGAGGUAGUUAUUGAAGUGAGAAAAAUUCUAGAAGAGAAUUAGUCUCGAGUUGUAGUUUACUCAAGUAGCAAGUACAUUGCUCCAACGAGAUGGUUGAUGUCUUGGUCAUAUUGAAAAGGUCGCUCCAACAAUGAUGUGCUAGGAGUGUGAUGAUGUUAUGUUACAUUAUAUAUUUUUAUACAUGCUUCUACUGAUGACAUAGUGUAUAAAAUGUGAGAUUAAUUAUAUAUGGUCUUAAAUGUAUGUGAUUAAUAUGUAUGCAUUUAUAUGGGCUUUUGUGGGUGGUGAAUCCUAUUUGAAUCGCUUAUAUACAUGUAUAUAUUGGUAUAUAAGGCUUGAUCUUGGAUGGAUAGCUCAAAUUGAAUGGUUUACAUGGUCCUUGAUGGGAUACCCAGGAUAGAAUCAUACCAUAGGUGUCAUUGAAAAACAUGAAACUCAUGUUAACAUAUGUAUUUUUGUUUCUCUAGUGUCUAGUCAUGUAGAUAAAACUUUAGGUAGUGAAAAAUUGAGAGACACUAACAUUUGGUUUGAUAUCAGGGUACAACCUAUAACAAAUAUUUUAUUUGACAUUGGAUGUAAGUUAAGAUCUAGUGGUUCAAGAAAUAUCAAGUAUUAUACUAUGGUGGAACUUAUUUAUGUGGAGGUUGCCUUUCAUUUUUGUUAUGACAAAGAUGUGAGACUAAAUGUGAUUUCAUUAGCUUUCAUCAUGAUGAUGAUUAUAUAUGAGCAUGAUUACGAUAUUAUAGGUUAUGUUUUAAUUUCAUUAGCUCAAAUCACAUGUGUAACAAAUACUAUAUGUAAAAAUUAAUAUUUCACGGUCAAAUGAAUUAAGAGAGUGUUAUAUUUUUCAUAAAGAGAAUAGAACAAAUAAGAAAUGAGUAGAAACAAUAUACUUCUUUUAGUGAUGGAACUUAACAUGAAGUAAUGAAAAGAAGAAACAAUGAAUUUAUGUUUUAUUGUUGAAAAAUAAUAAUAAACUGAGUAGGUGAGAAGAGAAAAUAUAUAAAAAAUAAUAAUUUUCUUCUCUUUUACAUUUUAUCACUUUUUUAUUGUUUAUUAUAUUUAAUUUUAUAGAUUAAUAUUUAUUAAAAUUAAGUGAGUCUAGGUAACAAAGGAAUAUAAGUUUUUUUUUUUAAGAAAACUAAUAUUGAUUUUGUAUUUUAUAAUUCUUAGUUGUUGUUUUUAUAUAUGUGUAGCUUUUUUUUUAUUCUAACAUUGAUUUUUUUUUUACAUUUUGUCUUUUUAGCUAUACCUAUAAUGAGUGUAUACUCAGACUAUUUGUUUUAAUUUAAAUAAGAAAAAAAUAUUCUUUUUCAUAUUCUUGGAUUUCUCUUGUUUUUAUAAUAGUAAAUUAUAAAACAAAUUGAUUUUUUUUUAAUUUAAUCCUCAUUAUUAUAUAUAUCAGAGCAUUUAAAGAUAUUACACUACCUACCUGGUUUUUAAAUUAGUUUCUAUUACUAUUAAAUGGUUUCUAGAUUGAUAUCUAAUUAGCUACCAAAGUUUUUUCUAUCAAAUUUAAAAUCUAAAUAAUUGGUAGUUAAAACUUUGGUAGCUAAUCAGAUACUAAUUUAGAAACUAUUUAACCAUAAUAGAAACUAAUUUAGAAACAAUUUUUUUUAGUAUUAAGAUGGUCUCUAAUUUAGUUAUUAUAACAACUAAUUAUUUUUAGUCUAUAAAAUUGGUUUCUAUUUCAUGAUUUUCUUGUAGUGUAUAUUAACAUAUGAAACAUUUUUAUUUCCAUGAAAGUUUGGAGUGUCGUUUGUUAUUCACAAUGACUCUUUGGUAAACUUCCAACAAUCCAGUGGUUAAUGACGUUUGGGGACGAUUUGGGUUGGUGUUGUGAGUGGAAUUUAGAGACAUAGGAACUCGGUGACCUUCGACAGGGGCGUGGUAGAUGCGCUCGAGGUAUUUGCACUGGUACAGGUAAAUGUUUGGUCUUUGCAAAGUCCUGUUGUAAUUCCUUUACGUACCCCAACUGGGUUUUGAACCUAGUGGAUUGUAUGAGGCUGAUUGUUUAAUGCUUUCUUGAGUUGCUUUGGUUGUUCCUUUUUUAAGUUGGAAGGUGUUUCUUGGUUGGAGGUUGGUAGGACGCUAACUAUUUAUGUAUAAGGGUUGGACCAUCCCUGAAGUGGUUCCCAUUUAUUUAUUUUUUAUUGAUGAUAAAAAACAAAAUUUGAAAGUUAUAAAAGAUCAACUAGCUAACUUAUCGCUUAUGAGUUAGCUUAACACGUAAGAGUUAGUUUAUCAGCAUACAUUUAAAAUCAAAAAAUAUUUUAAAAGUAAAACUAAAUAACCAAGUUAUAGUUGUAAAGAUUAAAAACAUUUUAAAACCAAGUUAUAUGUUAUAUUAAAUAAAUUACAUAGAUACCAUAUUUAUUACUAUGUUACUAGUAUAAUUUGAUUCUGCUGCAACCUAUAUAAAUAAAGGAAACAGAAUUUUGCGGGUUCAUUUCUUUUUGUGAAAUUGUAAAUCAAAUUAGCGCGGUAAUGUUUGUUUACACGAAAAUAGAAGUAAAACAAUCAUGGUUAGGAAUCUUAUUUGAUUUUUAAAAAGGAGAUAACAUAUUUUAAUUACUGCUCUAAUUUGGUUUACGAUUUUAAAAAGAAAACAAAAAAUAUACUGUAGAGGAAUCUAAAGGGAAGAAGUUAUCUUCUCCCAUUAAGUAACGUUACUCCUCUCCCGUUAAUCAACGAACAUAGUAAGCAUCCUCCUCGAUCAGUGUAGCCUGAAAGACUUUGAACACACAUCUAACGUCAGUAAUCCUGUCAGUACAAUAAACACUGCCAAUUUUUGUAUGUUCAGCUGCUAAGGUAAUAAAUAAGUAAUAGCACAAGAAGGGAUAGAAGAAAGAUUUUGAAUCUGUGAAUAUGUGAUGGUUAAUAGCAAAUCGAUUAAUCAACUGUAAGAAGAAGAAGAUUAUAUAUAUGUUCGUCGUGCCCUGAUUGAUGUUUGAUCAUUUAUGGGUCGUUUUUCGAUUUUUGUAUCUCCCAUUAUUAUGAAGGAGCACAAGUCAAGGGAUCUCAAUCAAUCAGACUUAAUCAUUCUUAAUGACUCAAUUAAAACAGAAUCAUGACUAAAGAUGGAGAUGUUACAAUUCAGUUUAUAUAUAUAUAUGCUCUACAGAAAGACAUCAUCUAAACAUAUAAUAAACAACACAGGGAGUACUCUCAACUCCUAUUUCAUAUUAUACUCAUUAUAUUAUACUCUUACUGACUUAAGCGUCGGAGUGUCAUCGCAGGAGGAGCUCCUCUCAUUUUCAAAAGGUUUUGCUCAUCCAGAUUCCAUCCUUAAGUUAGGUAGAACAAUAUAUAUUAAUUUUAUUUUAUUUAAAAUAGAUAAGUCAUGUUAUUUUAAUACACCUAUGGAGUGGCACACAUAUAUAUAUAUGAGUCACUGUCACACGUGGUUUUACUUAUUUCUGCAUCAGGCUUGGCAGUUAAAGCUUGUCUACUUUCAUUAAUAAAGAGGUCUGAAAAAGUGAGAUUCUGUACAAGCUACUGGAAGGUCCAGUCAAUGCAGUUGAUGAGUCGAGUUGAAUGCAGAUCUUGGUCUUAGAUAAGAGUCAAGACAAUUCACCACUUGCUUUGCAUGGCAUCUUUUGUACUUCCAAUUUCCUUGUCCGUUUCCAAAAGAUACACAUGAGAACUAUUUAUUGUAGCACUCAACGUUGAGCAUUGAAAAUAAAUAAAUAAAAAUUAAAACUGCUUGACUGAUAUCAUUGAUAAAGUGCUAUUUAUGUGCCUCCAAUUUGGCUGCUGAAGUGUACAUGAUAAAACAAAACAAAGAAAAGAAAAGAAAAGGGAUUACUGAUUCAGGUGUGAAUCUUCUGGUGAUACUUCUGAGGUAGGAGGCACCUUUCUUACUUUUUCACGCAAGAGAUGUCAGCUUAGGAAUAUAUAUUUGUUGAACACUUGAGACUCCUCUCAAACGUUGAAGCCUGACAGCAUCAGAGGCAUCCACGCCACUCCUAUCAUACAAACACAAACACUCUUCUGAUUCACAACCCUUCACGAGGAGUGAUGCAUUAUCUAUUGGACUUUGAGUAACCUUCCCAUUAGACACCUGUGAAGACAUGCAAGUUGGCAGGGUACAUUUUUUUUGUCUCUCAAGGGAACUUUUGUCUUUUUCUCUGUAUCUCAGCUGCUUUCAAUCCUCUCAUUUCAUCCAUUGUAGAGGGAGAAGAAAAAUACAAAUAGUAAUAAAUGUUAACAGAGAGCUUGUAGUGAAAAUUAGUUUAUAUAUUAUUACUGUUAUGAUAUGAUAUGUCACAUGUACAUUUUUCUUUGAGAAUCACAACACAUCACACGUUUCAAUUUGUUUGAAAGUAUCAAAACUAGACUUGUUAUGCUACUUUAUUUACUGUAUAAAAAAUGAUCAUGGAAACUUUUAUUGAUUGUAAUUUUUAAAAUAAACAUUUAAAUAUAAAUUAGGAUUGCAAAUUUGUCUAGAUGGCAAUGUCUUUCAACAACGAAAACGGUCGGAUUGGUCGGUCAAAAAUAGAUAAAAAAAUGAAAUUAUUUAUUUUAUAAAAUUAAUUUAAAUAGAUAAAUUUAAUUAAGAUAUGUAAAAUAUUUUAAUAAUUUAAUUUAAAUUUUAUUAGAUAUUAUUUUUAUUAGUAUUAAAAAAUUAACUUUAAACAGUAAAUUAUUAAUGACAACAAUAAAUAUAUUUUUAUUGGUGAGAAAAACAACAACAAAUAUAUAUUGAAAUUUCUAAAAUAAUAAAAUAUUAAAAGUAUACAACAGAAAAAUUAAAUUUAAAUUUUUAAUAUAUAUUUUAUUUAUUUAAAAGAACGGACUAAUAGAUUAAGUAUGAGAGUAAACAAAAGGGACCAAGAAAUCGACAAGUUGAAUUAUCCAUUCCCACCCACCAUUUUUAACCCAUUAAUUAGCCUAACAUAUUUUGCUAAUCCCAAUUUUGUCUGCUAUACAAAUCUAACGUACACUUUGCUUAUAACUUUGUAUAUUUUCCAUUAUCGCUACGUUUACUUCAAUAUUAUGAAAUAUUGUAUUUUCAAGGUCUAGUUAACUUACCAAUAACAUUUGAAACAACUAUUUCUUUUUCGACCGAUAUGUGUUUUCCAAAAAUAUAUUUAGAUAUUCAAAUUAGUUGUGGUAAGAGUGAAAUAAUAAAUAAUAUUUUUCAUUUAGAAAAUUUUACUUAUUUACUUUCUUAGUUUCUUUUUAACCAUUUUUUUAUUUUUUUGGAUAAAUAAUUAAAUAUAAUACCUUUUUAUUUUAUUAAAAUAUUUAUACAUUUUUAAUUUACUAUUUUCAUUUCUAUGUUAUAAUAAGUAUAUAUUUAAAUUAAUUAAUUAUUAGGUGUAAAAGCAAGAAUGUGUCAAAAAUCAACACUUCAAAAAAAUAGGGUAUAUUCUCUUUCCAUUGUCAUUUCAAACUUUAAUCAGGUUAUAGCUAAUUAUUCUGUUUCUAAAUAUAACUUAUUCCAUUUAUUUAUUUAUUUUAACUAGUAAAAAUAAGUAUUAUAGUAAACUUUUACCAGUAAUAUUUUAACCAACGUGAACUGAUAACAAAAAAAAGUAAAGAAAGAGUAACAGAAAUCGAAAAAACAGCAGAGUGUAAAAAGUCACAAAACAAGGUAUGUACAAACACUCAUCACUAGUAUUUUCUUUUUCAAUUAAUCUUCCUUCCGCUGAAACAUUACAUCAAGCUUUAUCCUACAGUCAAACAUGUUCUUAGAUUUGCUUGCCAAGCUAUGAGUAGUUGGUUGAAGAAUUUAUCUUUCAGUUUUAACUAAGGCCAGACUAUAAAGCAAAUAUUUUGUAGCACCUCAUCUUCAUCAACUACCUUAUUUAUGAAUACUAUGUUGUCCAAAUGCUCCAAGUUGCUCACACCAAAUAGUGUACCAUCAUCUCUCCUUCAUUUGUCUAGGUUCCAUUCUAAAUUCGUGUUGCAAGAAAUGGUCAAGAGUAUUACCUAGGAAGCAUGUCCUCCUUCCACCCAUGAGUAGCAGUUUUUCUAGAUUCUAUCAACUUUGCUACAUGUGAACAAAAUAUAUAUAAGAUAAAGUUUCUUCUUAGUCACCACAUAAGGGGAAUUUAUCAAUAUAUUUAAAGAGAACACCCCUCCUUUUGAGGUUUUCUUUUGUUGGACUCUGUCAUUAAAACAUCUCCACUAAAAUAAGUGGAACUUUGAUGCUUCAAAGAAAGCUCCAAAGAGUGGGAAUGUUGUGUGCAUCCCUUCUCCGAUCUUCCAUGAAGCAGAUUUCCUAAACCAAUUUUCUUGGUUAUUUGAACUGCGUAUACUCUUUAAAAUCUCUACCAAAUAAAUGCAUUUUUAUUUGCCAUUGUUCCAUUGUAUGAGUUUCUCCCACCACCAUACUUUGCUUCCAAUAUUGAUCCCCACAAACAAUCAUCGAUGUCUUAUAUAUUCCAUACCUGUUCUGCUAGAAGUGCCGGAAUGAUAUAAUUCGAGAGUUCAACAUCUUGACCACUAACAAAGUUCUGGGCCAUGUAGCUGCUAUAGCAUCGCACCUACAUUUUGGUGAAGUUCACCUUAAGGUCGAAUACUAGUUCAAAACACCUCAACAUACUCUUAAUCAUUCGAGCAUUCUACACAUAAACCUGACCAAGGAAAAUAAUAUCAUCAACAAAUUGCAAUAAGUUAGUUUCUAUAUUUCUAUGCUUCCUGAUGCCACCAUAUAUCCUUUUUACAUUCCUUUUCCACAUGCUUUUUUCGUCAAGCCGUGAAAAUGAAGGGAACAAUAGGAUCCCUUUUGCGCAAGCCUCUUUGCAUUUGGAACUCAUGUCUUUGAAAAUUCAAGUCUUACUAACAUGUAAAAUAGUAUAUGAAAGAAAUUGUUUUUUUGGGUAUAAUCAAUUACCCAUUAUUUUUUAAGCUCUAGUCGAUUGUGUAGGGGUUGAUUUUUUGACCAUAAUCGAUUAUAUACUAUAACUAUGCCUUUGAUCGAUUUUCUGCACAAGAACACUGUGAUCACGUUGUCACGCACAGAUAAAAGCUGGGGCAAAAGCGAAAAUAAACAAUUACCUAUGUGAUUUUCCGUUAUUUUCUCAACAUGUAGGAGGGGACUGCUUUCACUAUUUACACACUCAUCUCCUUUCCCACCCACAUCCGUUCUUGAAGCAAACAUAGAGGAUCCUAAUUUUUCCAUCUUCACACACCUCUCAGGUUGAACCAAACACAACAUAGUAUAUAAAAAAAUUGAUAACUUUGUAUAUAACUUUUUGAUGCAGAUAAAACUCUGAUUUUUUUUUUCAACAUAACCUUUCAUCAGAUUCCCCUCAAAUUUAUAUUAGCAUAAUAGGACCCUUAGCCCAAAUGCUCUGAUCCAAGACCCCAAUGAAAAAACAGUAUAGAAUUUUUUUUAAGGCUUUAUGAGAAGUUAACUUAUUUAGUAUGUUAUCAAAUUAUUUCAAAUUGAAUAGUAAAGUUCUUAUGCUUUAAAAAAAUAUAAUUAAAUUCUUAAAUUUAUAAAAUAUUUCUAGUCGGGUUCCAAAUUGAGUUCUUGAAGUUAUAAAUUAUUUGUAAUUGUACCCUAACAUGGUGAUUUACUAUUACUGAGAAAUAAUAUAUUAAAUAAGGAAAAAUAUAAGAAAAACAUUAAUUGAACUUUCAAACUUUAAAACAUCAAAAGUAUUUAAAAAAGACAAAAUUAACAAAAAUAAAAUAAAAAUCGCGAAGUUAAAUAAAUCACUUUAAUCUGAAUUACAAUCUUGGUAUGCAUAUUAUUUUAUUUGAACAUUUUAAAAAGGGUGGUCACUAGAUUAAUCAAUCAAUAUAUUUCUAAAUUAUCUGAGAGAAAAAAAGGUCUUAGUAUUUUUAAAAUUAGAUUAGCAAAACCUUGGGAUUUAUUAGUUCAAAAGUAGUUGGAUUAAUACUAAUUCAAAUCAUAUUUUAAUAUAUAAUAUUUUAAGUGAUAAAGUAAUUCAAAAUUAAAAAAUUUAGACAUAAAAGUUGUAUAAUUGACAAAAUAGCAUAUGUUUAUGUAUUCUAUUAGUUACUAAAAAAAAUAUCGGCGAAGCUAUGCAAGGGGUCAACAUGAUCGCCGGUUGAUGAAGCGGCGUUCUCCUUGGGCUAACAUGAUCGCCGAUCGGUAGCGGGAUUCUAUAUGUGUGUAGUUGGUGGUCGCCGAAGUUAUGCAAAGGUCAACAUGAUUGCCGGUCGAGGAAGCGGUGUUCUCCAUAUAUGCGUAGUCGGUGGUCGCCUAUGUUUUGCAACGUGCAUGGGUAACUCAUCGCAUGGCGAGGUGAAUGUAGGUGGCCUCGGUUCUGGGUGUCUCGGUAUAGCUGAAUGUUGCUUUGAGGCUGUUGGUUAUUUUUUGGAUAUGGUUUUCUUACUUUAUGGUUGUUAUGCUCCAACCAUAGAGGAGAGUUUCUUUUGUGGAUUUGUGAAUGAUAUAUGAAGUCCACUUCUGGUGUCUGUAUAUGGGUUGGGUUACCCCUGAAGUAUCCCUUUUAUUUUAUUUAUUCAUUGCUGAUAAAAAAAAAAGUUACUAAAAAAAAUCUUUUAGCGAUCACUAAAUUCGAUCAUUAAAAGUACGGUCCCUAAACAUAUUUGCAACCAAAACCGUCACCAAAUAAACAUAUGCUAGAUAUAUAUAGAUAUAUCUUAUAUAGAUAUAUAUUUUCGGUUAUUAAAUUCGAUGACUAAAUUAUUAUUUUCUUGUGGUGUUAUAUCAGAAAAAUUAUCUAAUCACAAUUCCAAACCAAUAAUAUUUUGUUAAUUUUUAGAAUGAUUAUUUUAAAAUGAUAUCAAAGCGGAUGAAAUUUCAUUCUUUGACUAUUAACCUUGCCUUUAUAUUUUAUUUAUAUCUUUUUUAUAAGAAAAUGAUGAAAAAUGAUAAGAAGAAGAGAUGUUUCUUAUUCUCUUAUGUGUAUACAUUACUUUCAUGUAUAGAAAAUAUAUAGGGAGUUUCUUUCUCCAAAUUACAAUCUAAUUAGGUAGGAUAUUAAUAAUGAGAUUCUAUCAUUAUUAAAUUAAUUGCAUAUAAUUAGGUAUAAUAUCGUACAAUAUUGCAUACAAUAAUUGCAUAUAAUUUGAUAAUUAUUAUUUCCUUAAUACUCCCCACAAGUUGGUAGGUGAAGAUCAUGAACCCCAACUUGUGUCGUAGCGUCAAAAACUCGUUCCUUACCCAGUGCCUUUGUAAAAAAUAUAUGCGAGUUGAUAUUGUGUUAGUACAUAUGAAUGACUGAUUAUUCUAGCUUGUAAUUUUUCUCGCACAAUGUGACAGUCUAUCUCAAUGUGUUUUGUGCGUUCAUGAAAUACUGGGUUUGUUGCUAUAUGUAAUGCCGCUUGAUUGUCACAGAAAAGUUGAGCUGGCAAGUUACAUGACACCUUUAAAUUCUGCAAAAGAUAUCGCAGUCAAACUAUCUUCAAACAAGUAUUGGCCAUCGCGCGGUAUUCUGCUUCCGUUGAUGAUCUUGAUACGUUUGUCUGUUUUUUUAACUUCCAUGAGAUAAUAGAAGAACCAAGAAAAAUGCAAUAUCUAGAUACUGAUAUCCGAGUUGUCUGACAACCUCCCCAGUCUGAGUCGCAAUAAGCUUUCAUGUCAGAUUGUUUUCGGAUAGCAAUAAAAAUCCUUGUCCUGGUGAUCCUUUGAUGUACUGUAGGACUCGAAUUGCGGCAUCCCAAUGAGGUUUCCAUGGAUCCUGUAUAUAUUGACUUAGGGUUCGAACCGAAAAGGCUAUGUCAAGCCGAGUAACCGUGAGGUAUAUCAGUCGUCCCAGGAGGUCGCCUGUAUUUGACUGUUUCCUUUAAUAACUCUCCAUCGUCUGGUGUGAGUUUUAGGUAUUGCUCCAUUGGAAAUUUGUCUGGACGAGCACCUGUGAGUCCCGUAUCCUGCAAAAUAUCAAACACAUAUUUUCUUUGGGACAUGUAAAUACUAGCUUUGGAACGGGAAAAUUCAAUCCCUAGAAAAUAUUUUAGGUCUCCAAGAUCUUUAAUGCGAAAUUGUUGUAAUAGACAAUCUUUAACACGCUGAAUUUCUGUCAAAUCAUUUCCUGUCAAAAGAAUAUCAUCCACAUAAAUCAAAAGGGCAGUAAAUGAUGAGUUAUUAUGUCUUGUGAAUAGAGAGUAAUAUGUCUUGAACUGUUGAAAUCCUACAUAUUUAAUCACAUGAGAAAAUGUUGAAAACCAUGUUCGAGAUGCUUGUUUGAGACCAUAAAGGGAUUUGUUGAGUCGACAUACAAUGUUCUCCCUCUGUCGAUGAUGCCUGAGUGACAAGUCCAUGUAAAUAAUUUCAUGUAAUGUGUCAUGUAAGAAGGCAUUUUGCACAUCUAGCUGGUGAGUAAACCAAUUUUUGGUUGCUGCAAUGGUGAGGAGACACCUCAAAGUUGUUAGUUUUACUGUUGGUGAAAAAGUUUCAGAAUAGUUGACACCUACAAUUUGAGUGUACCCCUUUGCGACAAGGCGCACCUUAUAUCUGUCGACGCUACCAUCUGAGUUGUACUUUAUUUUAUAGACCCAUUUGCAUCCGAUGGGUUUCUGCCCAGCGGGUAACGAUGUCAAGGUCCACGUUUGAUUUAGCUGCAAGGUGGAAAGCUCUUCGUCCAUUGCUUUUUGCCAAUUUGGAUCAAUGAUAGCUUGAUCAUAAGUGUGAGAUUAUUCGGUGGUUGUGAUGUUAGGAUACCUGGUUUCAUUCGGUCGGUCUUAGGCAGUGAUCGAAUGAUUGGCUUGGGAUCCCAUUACGUAGUCUUGAAGCUAGGAAUGUGAGGUUGAUGUGCGACUGGAUCGUCGAAGAGGAAGGUCGGUUGGAGAAGGUUUGGUAAUGGGUGCAAGAUUUCUUGGCAUGGGAGAAGAAGGUUGGUCUACUGGAGGUUCAGGUGUAUUAUGACGAGUAGGAAAAGAAGGUUGGUUUGAUGGAGGUUCAGGUGCAUCGUGUCGAGUAGAAGAAUAGAGUUGAUUUGAUGGAGGUUCAGGUGUAUUGUGAUGAGUAGGAAAAGAAGGUUGGUUUGAUGGAGGUUCAGGUGCAUUGUGAUGAGUAAGAGAAGAAGGUUGAUCAAGUGAAUGUUGGACAGGAGUGGGUAAGUCAAUGUCAAUAGUGGGCAAAAUACAUUGUAAUGGAGGUGAUGAUAGUGCCUGUGACUGUUGGCAGAAUGAGAAAACAUUUUCAUGCAAGAUGACAUCCCGACUUGUAAAAAAAGUGUCUGCAUCUAUAUCAAAUAAUUUGUAUGCUUUUUGACUAUGAGGAUAACCAAUGAAGAUGCAUUGUCGGGCGUGCGGAUCAAAUUUUUGCUUAGGUGAAACAACAGUUGCGUAACAGAGGCAACCAAAAGUUUUUAGGUGAGAAAGUGAAGGUGGUUGAUUAUAUAGUAGCUCAAAAGGUGAUUUAUUUUUUAGUAAAAGUGAUGGCAAGCGAUUAAUGAUAUAUGUGGCGGUUAAAACACAUUCUCCCCAAAAUUCUAAUGGUAAAUUGGACUGAAAUAGGAGGGCUCGUGUUGUGUUUAAAACGUGUUUAUGUUUGCGUUCUACUACUCCAUUUUGUUAAGGAGUGUAGACGCAAGUGCAUUAACAUUCAAUACCUUUUUUGAGAAAAAAAUCAUACAUUGAAAUAAAUUUCAAUCCGUUGUAAAUGCAGAUGGUUUUAAUAGAUGCCUAAAAUUGAUUGUGCAAAUGUAAUGAAUGAUUCUAAGAGAUGUUGGGUUUUAGAUUUGUCAUUCAUAAGAAAUAGUCAAGUACAUCUAGAAUAUGAGAAAAAAACGUUUUCUGAGUUGGAGUUUUAUGAGGACCCCAAAUGUCACAAUGCAAUAGAUUAAAUGGAGAAUGAGAUUUUAUUGUGCUUAAAGGAAAGGGUAGCCUUGUCUGUUUAGCUUUGGGAUAAAUACUAUAAUUAUGAAUGAGAAUGAGAUUUUUGGUAGUAAGGAAGAUGCAAGUUGUAGACACGUCGGAGAAGGAUGUCUGAGGUGCUUGUGCCAUAAAUCAGGUUCGGUCGAUAUUUGAUAUGCGUGGGCUUGGUUUGGAAGAGGGGACAUGUUUACUCGAGCCAAUCAUCCUCCCUGUAGCCAAGCCCUGUAAAAACGCAACCAUGUGGAUUAAAAACGACACAACAAUUUAGUGAAUUGGUUAUCUUACUAAUGGACACAAAGAACACAAAGAACAUCUUUGAGAGUGAUUUGUCAUUGAAUUUAAUUGUGCCUAUAGAUGAGAUGGACGCAGUUGAGUCUGUGGGCAAAUUAACAUUUGAAAUAUAUGAUGAUGAAGUGUGUGUGAAAAAUUGUGAAUCAGAUGCAAUGUGAUCGGUUGCUCCGCUAUCUAAUAUCCAUGGUUUCGUAAAAGCAGAAUUAGAAGAGGAGUUAUGGGCAAGCAGACCUGCAGAGCUAACAAACGUGUCACUUUUACCGUUAUUGUUGAACGAGUAAAUAGCCUUUGUCAAUUGCUGAAUUUGCUCGGCACUGAAGCCUUGUACGAUGAGGUUUCUAUCGGUCGUUACUGAUGUCUUUUUUGCCAGACAUGAUUUUUUUAUUUAGGAGAUAAAAAUGGAGAGGUUGUCAGGCACCAAGAUCGGUGUUUUGAUAUCAUAUAAGAAAAUGAUGAAUAGAAUAAUUGUAGGAAGAAGAGGAUGUGUAUGAAGUUUCUAUCUCCAAAUUACAAUGAGAUUCUAUCAUUAUUAAAUUAAAUUAAUUGCAUAUAAUUGGGUACAAUAUCGUACAAUAUUGCAUACAAUAAUUACAUAUAAUUUAAUAAUUAUUAUUUUCUUAAUAUUUUUCUCCUUCUUCUCCUCCAUAUAAAUUACAUAUCAUUUCAAUUUAGACUUUUUUUUUAAAUUCAAUGCUAUCUCUCUUUUACGUUAAAUCAAACCCAUGACAAGAUUUUUUUAGAGAAUUAAAUGAACAUUUUAAAAAUAUAAAAAUGAAAAAUGAAUUUUGAAAAUUGAUAUGACAACUUUAGGAUUUUAAGUCAGUAAUUUCUAGAUAGUUCAUUCGUACUUUCUCUGCUCUCUUUUUAUAUAAUUUAUUGUCAGUUCUCUCUAGUAGUAGUGUAGUCUCUUUUUUAGUUAAGGUUAGUUUCUGUUAUUAUUUUUUAUUAAAAAAAUAAUUAAUUAUUAUAUUAAUUAAAUUAGAUGCUAAAAUUAAAAAAAUUAUUAAUAUUUAAAUUAAUUUUUAAAUUGAUAUCUAGUUAUAUUUAUUAAAUUAGAUAUUAAUUUAAAAAUUAUUUAUCAAUAAUAUAAAUUAAUUUAAAUUUAUAAUUUUUAAAAUAAAAUUUAAUUUAAUCAAUAUAACAAUUAUUUUUUUUAUAAAAUUUAUUUUUAUUUAAUAAUUUUCGUAUUUUUUUUGAGUAAUUAUCAUAUCAGUUAUUAAUUAUACUAUAUGUAAUUUUCUCGUGAUAUUGAAGUAAUUGUAAUCUAUCAUUUUAAAAUGUCUAUCACAAAUUAUGGGUAGCGGGAACACAGGCACGUCAGUGACUGUGUAUCCGCAUUUUUUAUUUCUGUAGUAUUUUUUUUAUUUUUCAAAAACAAUUUCUCUUAAUAACAUUAAAAUGAGAAGUUAAAGAGUAGUGGAGAGAGUGGGAAGUAGAUACUAUAUAGGAGAGAGAAAGUGGGAAGUAGGAUAGGUGGGUUAUGUGUAGUGGAGAAUCAUAAAAUCGGUUUCUUAAAUCAAUUUUAAUAAAAAAAAAUAUCAGUUUAAAUUAGAAAAGUAACGUAUCAAAUCUUCACUCUCCUGCUAAAGUGGUCCACAAAAUAAUCAAUCUCUUCAUUUUCUCCACUCUCCCAGUUAAAUAAUAACAAAUAAAAUAAAUUUUAAAAUUAUUUUAUUAAUUUUUGAAAUUAUAAAAUGUUCAAAUAACCAAAAUGGAAAAAAAAAUGACACAAAAUAGAAAAACAAAUUAAGAACAAUUAAGAGGGCAAUCCUUUAGGUAUAAGUAUAGAUGAUAGUCCAAUGAUAUUCCACUAACUGUCCCACAUUCGGAACUGAUCAUAAAUAAAUAAUAAAGUAAAAUGAAUUUAACUUUUUUACAUGAAAAUAAAAAAGUGUUAACCAUUAGUAAGCGAAAGUUCCACACAGGAGGCCUUAAUUAGAAUAAUGAAGGUUUGAUAUGAUAUGAGAAUGGGUUAACUAUCCGCGGCGCAAUCUGCGACCACACUUUUCACUCAUCUUUUUCGUAUGUCCCACACUCAUCAUUUUACUUUCACUCUCCUCUAUUUUUCUCCUACAUUUCUCACUCAACUUUCUUAACGAUCAAGGUUUGGGUGUACAAACAAACUUCUGAAUUUGGAUUCAAGUUUCCUGUAAAAUUACUCUAACUUCAAAUUUAUUUCACUUAAAACUGAGUGUAUAAAAAUAGUUUACAAGUGAGUCUAAUAGGCUGUCCACAAAUUUCACAAAUCCCUUCCCACUUGCUUCCUAUCCUUUUAAACUUUAGGUUUAAUCGUAAACAGAUCCUCCUUUCACUUAUUCCAAAAUAGAUUUGAACUUUGGCCCAUAGUACAUUUAUCGAUACGCAAAAAAACUAGCUUUUGACCGCUUCAACAGUAAAUUUUAUGUACUACACACAUUUUCUAUUUUGGUUCAGACGUAGCUUCCAUUACUUACACAAUGGGCUACUAAUGCCUCCAUAAGCAUGCUCUGGGUGGGACCCUCAAUUCAUCAGUGAGUUACGCUCAAUUAACACCUAUAAAUUAAAAUAUGAAAUUUCAUAUUUAUUCAAAAUAUAUUUUAAUUUGAAGUUAAAAUUAUUUUGAAUAAUAAUACUAGAUUGGAUUAAUUUUUUUUAUGUUUUAGCUCCGAAACUACUAACCGUUUUGAAGUUUGAAAAGAAUUUAUUCAAACAUAUAUAUUGUACAACAAGUAUAAUAGUAUAUGCUACAAGUUUGCAUAUAAUAAAAUGUACAACAAUCGUGUUCCUUUUACUAUAUUGCUCAUAACUUCAUUGCAACCUAAAUAAUCACUCAUGUAAAGAAUAAAUAACUCAAACGAAAAAAACUGUUUAGGUUUCCCAAACCAAUAUACACCGAAUAUGAAGAAUUAAAAGACUGCUCAGACAUUCAUCAAAGUAUUAAAAAAAUCAAUUUCUAACACAAAGAAUUGCUCCUAUACACUUUUCUACAGGCUGUAAGCAAGGUGACCAAAUUUAUGAAGCAGGUAUGAUAAGCUAAUUCAGCUUGAUUUAUUCAGAGCUGAUUCAUUUGAAGAAGUGUGAUUAUCUUCAACUGCUAUAUAAUUUAACUAAUUUUUCUAACAACUCGUGGUUGUUGCCUGGAAUUUCUUUAACCCUUGAUCCAUUCUUGUAUAUUUUAAAGGCUGGGAUGCAGUUCACACCUUCUGAUUUUGCCAAGUAGGGGUGGUCUUCAAUCUCCACCUGAAAAUGUAAAUCAAUUAUAAGUAUGAGACAAUGUAAUUCUUUUUUCAAUUCACCAUAUAGGCAUUUGGUUUUGUAAAACUUUGUUUUGCUCCUACAUAAAGAUGCUAUGCUGUUUUCUCACAUGCUUGUCCAUGUUAAUACCACCCUAACAGUCCUUUAGAGAGUUCAAGAAUUUCUAUUUCAAUCUUUCAGUGAACAAUACCACAAACUGCAAGGCCUAGAGCAUUCAAAAUUACCAACCUUAAGAAAAUUAACCGAUGGAAAUCUCUUGCAGGUUUGCUCCAACACCAACAAUACUUGUUUGUGGGUUGCCUUGUUGCAAAAGAGCACCACAGACAUCCCUGUUCAAAUUUUCCACAUCUGAUCAGAAUUUGUUAUUUGUAAGGCCAAAUACAAUUACAUAAAAGACGCAGUCAAAAGUGACUUACCAGGUGAUGUUACGUAGUGUCUGAACCGGUCAUUGGUUGAGAUGAAAAACAAAUUUGAACCAAAUUUCAAGUCCUUAAUAUCUUCUCCACGCAGCAUCUUGAGCUGAAGCUGAGUCUCAAACAGAGCUCUGGCCACCUCCUCAUCCCCUGGCUUUUCUCUUAAUAGCAUUUCAUAGUCUUGAAUCGCAGCUUCCCAUCGCUCCAACUAUUAUAUGUCCAAAAAAAUAAUUAUUAACUGAAAACAAGUAUAAUAGUAUAUGCUACAAACAAGUUAGUAUUGAAGUAGAUAUUAAAGCACCUUGGCAUUACAAUCUGCCCUUCUCAACCUUGCCUUGCUAUAACUAGGCUGAACUAUAAGUGCUACGUUGCAAUCUUCAAUUGCUUUCUCAAAUUGACCUAGCUUAGAACGACAUGCUGCCCUAUUGCAUAGAAGAACUGAGUUGUAUGGAUCAUGCUCUAGUCCUUCAUUGUAUACAGCGCAUGCUUCCGUCAAUUUUGAUGCCUUGAAGAGUAAGUUACCACUCAUUCUGGCUGAUGUCACUGCUCUGGCUUUCCUCACCACUGCAUUCACCUCAAAGUUACUUGGAUCUAGUUUAGCUGCUUGCUGAGAUGUCCUUACAGCAUCCUCAAACCUGUCGGCACACAAAGAACCAAUAUAACUUAGGGUCAUUUACUCAUUACUAGUUAGACUCAAUAUAUUACGUAUUAUCAUUCAAUACAAACAACUAAUAGCAGGGAGAAAUAACGAUUUUCUCUGACCUUUUGGCAUCUAACAUAUAAUAUUUGUUCAAGUGAGAUUGGACUAUAAACACAAAGUACCAACUAUAUAGUCACCGUUAUCACACAAACUUUAUAAAAUAAAUUAAAAAAAUGGAAAACCCAAUUGUUGGCACUUCUCACUAUUUAGCCUGCUUUUAGAUGUUCAUAGGUCCCUUAUUUUUUAAAAUUAGCAUGUUUGCUUACAUAUCAUGUAAAAUACAGAAAUCAUGAUUGAAUAAUAAGAUAAUCGUCAUCAAAAUAAAACACUUCCACCAACCUGCCGGCUGCCAAGUAAAUUUGCGCAGCUAUCAUCAUGAGGUAAGCACUACGAGCUGGGCCGAAUAUUUUCUUACAACUAUCAAGGUCAAAUUUUGGCAUUUUCUCGUAGGUAGCGUAUGCCUCUUGAUGUCUUAGGAGCUUCAGCAAGGCUUCAGUUUGUAAACAAUAGACCUGAUAUGCAUAGUCAUUUUUCAAUCAGCAUAAGGCAUACCACAGCCGUUUAUUCAUCAAUCAAUCACUAUAGAACCUUUUAUGUUAAAACAAAGUGGAAAACAUUACAUGAAAUUCGAAAUCAAGGGUAAGAAAACGUUGUUGUACAAAAUGUUUAGGCGUUGGAAAGAAACCUAAAAAAAAUGUGAAACCAAGGAAACUAACCUGUGGAGCUGAAUCAGCACCUAAAGAUACUGCAGCCUGUGUUUCCUUUAAUAUAGCUUUCCAGUCUUUGGCUUUCCGAGCUUCAGUGCAUUUGGUAAGGUGAUUUUGAAGAGCCUGCGCUUGUAAAGUGAGAACGGAAUCAACACAUGGGCUUGUUUCAUUGCAAUUCAGUGCCUUUUCUGCUUCUCCCAGUCUGCAAUCAAAUUAUCAAUUCUGUAAGGAAAAGUAAUAAAUAAUAAAACAAACACCACGGCAUCUAGAGUUCUUUUGUUUACAUUAGUCCAUGGAAAAUUGAAUGAAGCAUAUUACCAACACCAUCAUCAUUAUUAUCUUUUGAGUACCUGAAAUAAAUUGUUGCCAAACGGUCGUGGGCUCUGCCAUAAGAAGGCUCCAAUCUGAUAGCUUCCUCGCACUCGACAAUUGCCUGCAGAAACCUUCCCAACCCCAUCAAAGCUGCGCUCUUAUUGCAAUGAUAGGUUGCCUUAUUGGAGUCAAGAGCAAUGGCUCUGUCAUACAAAACCAAAGCCUCUUCAAAUCUUCCUAGCUUGUAGGCUUCAUUCCCCAUCGACUUCAUCUCCUCCGGGUCCGCUCUGCUGUUCCUUGGACUUCGAAAUUGCGCAAGCUCAUUGCUGUUCUUCCUCAUGAUAUUCCCCAUCACGCCUUUGUUGCCGUUACUACUGUAAGCAGAGGAACCGGACUUGAAGUUCGACUCCUUGCUCUUGGUAACACUAGUUCGGGGGCUGCUAUUCACAAGCAAAUUCCCAGUUAUUGGUAACACAAAUUCUUUGGCUGGGGAUUUGGUCUCGUUGUUCUGAUGAUGACUAGCACUUGUACUUAUCCUAGCAAGUUCCAGAGAAUUACCAGAGUUCUCUUUCUGUUGCUUACUCUCGUCAUUUGGGUCAUGGGCUUGUCGAAUUGAGGUUCUUGCAGCGUCUGAGGGUCUCUCAUUUGGAGUGUUUCGGUAUGCAGAAGGUGCACGGUGACUAGAGCUACUCUUUCUCGCAGGAUUCUGCUCCCCCUUCAGUGUAGGAUUGAUUCCAAUGGCGCUAUCCCGUGGAACCUUUGGUUCAUGGUUUAGAGGGGAUUUGAGCUCGUUUUUAGCCUGCUCUCUCUGUUGUGCAGUGUUGCAAGCCUUCAUGGGUAGUGAAUGAACAGAGGAUUUUCUUGGCCUGUUAUUGGUUUUGAGGUGGAAAAUUUUCCCCACCAAACCGCAACCCACAUCAAAGUCCACCCUGUCCUUGGUUUUCCCUUCCAUGCUUGAAGAUGAUUCUGAAUAGAGCAAAUACGAGUUUCACAGAAAGAAGUGAACGUAUGCAAAGAAGCUGAGAGAAAUUUGAGAAAGGUUAUGAAAAUGAAACAAUCAAGUAGUGGCUUGCUUGAAUACGAUGGAGUUUAUGUAAGACGUGUCGUUUGCGGGUGGAUAUAUAUAAAGGUGUAGAAGCCUUCAAGAGUGGCUUCCAAGAAACCUACUUGAGCUCUUUUUGAGUCUUUGGAGAAACAAUGCCAAGUGUUGUCGAUUCAAAAGAAUAGUAACUCACGCAUGAAUUUGUAUCAUUACAAUCUUCUUCAUGCUUUCUUCAAUUGCUAUAAAAAAAUAUAAACCCACAAAUUUUAGCUUAGAUCUCCUGUUCUUAACAGGAUAUGAUCCUGCCACAAAAAUAGCCAAAUAUAAUUUUUAACCAUAAAAAAGUACACCUCGUGAUUAAUUAUCGUGGCUUCUACGCCCCAAAAUUGUGAAUUAAAGAGGGUUCUUUUAACAAGUUCAUAAAACAUAUGGAAAGAAAUUAAAAAAAAAAACAAUGUUGAGAUUUAUCAGUGUAGAAUGUUUGAUGUAGCAUUUGAGUUACAAAUUUACAUCUAGGGAUGGAUGAAAAAUAAUUUGAGAAAUUUUAGCAUUCCCUCAAACUUUUAGCACAAGCUUCUGAAGAGAAUUAAAAAAGAAAAUGUGCGGAGAGGAAAAGAGAGCUUAAAAAUUUACAGCUCACGGUAUUGCAAUCCGCGGGAUUUAAAUGGUAUGGUUGGUCCAUAAUUACUGGCCUAUUUUAACACAAAGCAGUAACUUUUAAUGACCACGUAAGUAUAUGUGUGUGAUGUCACAAAUGCAGAAAACUAUUAUUGUAUUUUGUAGAGUUAAUUUGACUUCCAUUGUCUGUUAGAAUCAAUUGGUUAAAAUGUACCCUCAAUCCAUCUCAAGGGCCCACCCUAAAUUGAUUUAAUUCUAAUUUAAGAGCAAAACUUUAUUGGAUCAUAAUAAUUGAGUCUAAUACCGCUAUCAUUAGGACCAAAUAGAAGUAAACACAUUUGACGUUUUAUAUUAGGAUCCAUAGAAAUAUAUAAUUAAUCGUCUUAUCAAGUACCGGUAGCACCUUAUUUUCUUUCCACCUUCUCUCAUAUAAAAACAAAUACCUAGUAUUUCCUGCGUCUAUUGUAACUAAUCUGGAUAAAUAAAUUAUUUAUUGUUAUGAAACAAAUCAAAAUUUAAUAUAACUAUGAAAAUAAAAUCAAAACUUACGGUUUAGAGGAAAAAAUAAAAAUUGAUAUAAAAUGAAACUAUAAAAAAAUAGAUAAUAGCGGAACCAUUUGCCAUAAAAAAACAAAGAAUCGAGAAAAUGAUUGAACGAUAUGUAACAAGUUUUACAUUUAAGUACCCCAUCUCGCCUUUUUGGAUUAUAUAUUAUAAAUUUUGGAAGUUAAAUUUCUUUUUAAUAAUUAAGAUAUUGACACGUCGGUUUUCAAUUAAAAAAAAGUGAGUGCAAAUAAUCUAAUACAAUGUCUUGGAUCGGUUAAUGUUUGAAAUAAACGGUAAUGCAUCAAAACUUAAUAGAAUUAUAGUAUAGAUAGGUUUAUUCAAUUCAAUAUUCUUCUAACAAAUUCAAUUAUAAUCAUGUUUAAAAAAAAUUCAUGUCUUGUAUUAAAAGAAUGUUAAUUAUAAAAAUAAAUGAAAAUGAGUUCUAUCGUUGAAAUUAAAAUAAAUAAGAAUAAUGAAUUAGAAAAUAGAUUCAUUCUCGAGUUCAUUUAUUUUUAAAUUAUUCAUUAAUUAUCAUAUAAUUAUCAUUCAUUAAAUGUUAAUCAAAUUUAAUUAAUAAAAUAAAUAUCAACAAAUUCAUUUAAUUAAUACCUCACUCGUCUUCAAGUAUCUAUUCAUGAGAUUUGUAGUCUUUUACAUCUUGAAUUAAGAAAAAAAUACAUUUUUUAUAAUAAAGAAAAAUAAACAAGAAUUCUAAUUAAAUAACAUAAUUGAAUUAUCAACGGGUGUUCAAAAAAUAAUUCAAAUAACAAAAAUUAUAAUUAAAAAAAAAAUCAUAACGUUUAGCAUAAAUGGUUACAGAAAUUUAAGAACAAAAUUAAAUUGAGCAAAACCUUAUAAUUUAACGUGAAAUUACAAGAGAAUCAACUAAAAAAAAGUUUAAUCUUUCAUGUGGAUGACAAAAGGAAGAUUACAAGAGAAGAAAGUAGAAAACUAAGAAAAACAUUCAAGCAAUGAUAAAAUGUCUCUAAGAAAUGCCCUUCUCCUCUUUAUGUAUCCAUUUGUAAAUUUUUUUUCUUUAUAAUUUUCAUAUUGUGAUUAAGUUUCAAAUAUUGUUUUUAAUAUACUUUUUAUCAGAUUUUCUUUGUGUGAAUUUGUUUCCAAUAUUUUUUUUUUGAUAUUGUAGAUUUGAUUCUUCAAUUUAUUUCUCAAAAUUUUACUUUUAGGUUUCAUGAUUUUUUAGUCUACCAUGUCGAUGGCAAGAAUACUUUCUCAUAAGAUAAGAUUGUCUAUUGUGUCAAGAAUUAGACCAUUUGCUUAUGAAAAAUUUGAGAUUAAUCAAUAAUUACAUUUAAAAUUCAAAUAAAUCUGAUUAAGUAAAUUCCAAUAAAAUUAUUCAUAGUUAUAGGCCAAAAAGACUAAAAUUAAAUGCUCUGAGUGUGAGUAGAAAUCUGUUAAUAAUAUAUAUAUAUAUAUAUAUAUAUAUAUAAUCCAAAAAAAUUAAUAAGAAAACUGUUGAAAGUCCUUAAAAUUGCUGUGGUUUAAGUAGUUUGUUAGUUACUCUCAUUGAAGUGGAACCAUAAUAAAAAACGAUGGAGGAGAUGGCUCUUCUUUGUUUUAAAAUUGAAUAAAUUAAUUUUAAAUUAUUAAACACGAUUGAUAAAUGUACUUAAACUAUUUUCAAACAUAAAUUUGCAUCUAAACACUUUUAUUAAAAAUUGAAUGAAUUAAUUAAUUUUCUGACUAUUGAGACAGUCUUAGGCGCCUUACUAGAAUUGAAAAUUUAGAUUAGCUUUAUCGAAACUUUUAUCUCUUCCCCUGGAUCACAAGUUUCGAAUCCUAAAACAUCCACUGUUUCAAUUAUGUUUUGUAAAAUAAUAGUAGUGAAAUAAAUAGUAGUGUUGUGGUUUCCUUUUAGUUAUUCGAGAACCAUGCUGAUGUUUAAAAAUCACUAAUGAUUAAGGAUUUGUCCUAACGCUGAAAUAGAAAGAACCUUACUUUAAUAACCAUAUUAAAAGAAUCGCAUGUCUGUCCCAUAAAAAAUUAUAUCUAUUAUGGUUUUUAAUGUACUGAAUGCGUGUUUGGUUCAAAGUUGUGAAACAAUUUAUCCAUAACAAACUAAAACUAUCAUAAACAACUACUAAAAUGUUCAUGUGACUUCAAUAUAAAAACUGACGACAUCAAUCUAAAUACACGAAUAAUUUAAAGGAAGAAUAAUCAGUUGUGUCUCCACAUGUGUUUUUUUAAACAAUGAUCUCAUAACUAUUUUUUUUAACACUUAACUGAUCACCUUCUAUGAAAUAUCUUUUCUCAGCAUUUUCAUAUUCAAGAUUCGAAUUUAAAAAUAUUUGGGUCAUAAAUAGAAUAUAAGGUUAUUACUUACAUUUUAUAAGAUCUCUCUGAAAUUUAACACCAAAAUGUUUUAAAUAAGACUCUAAGUUAUAAGAAUUAUUAUUUUGUUUAGAAAUAUAUAUUUAUGUAAAAAAUAAAACAAAAUAUUAAUUAGAGUAUUAGAGAUCAUCUUCAAAAGUACAAAAUUGAAUGUUUAAUCGAUAAUCUCUAUUUAAUUCUCUAUUAAAUUGAUUAAAAUAAAUUAAACUGGUAGAGAAAACUUAUGUGUGGUCUACGUUUGGUAGGUAUAUUUAUAUACACUGACUUUGAAACAGUCACAGUGUAGAUGCUGGUAGCUAUGAAACUUAAAUUUGAAGCAUGAAAAACUUGGGUGUAAACUAUUACACAAUUGUGUGCAUUUGACAUACCUUUGUGUUUUUUUUUCUCUGGUUAGAAGACAUAUAUAAUCAUGUGUUAUAUAUACUAAUAGACGAAAUUAAAAAUACGUUUACGUGUAAGUUGGGGGACAAACCUUUUUGACCACAAAUAAAGCAUUGAAAAGCAAAUAUAAGAUUCUCGUAAUCACGGAAAACAAUUAAUUUGUUAGCAUACUAAAGUGAGUCUUUUCAAUUGUUGUGAAAAAAAUAGCAUCGCCAUCCAUUUGAAAAUGUGGGUUAGUUGUGGGUAGAAUAUAUAUUGAAUUGAUAUAAUGGACACGUUGGCGAAACCAUCAAAUAUGAUUGCACAUUUGUAUCUUUCCUCGGAGGGUAAGAAUCGAUGAGAAACUUUGUUAUAAUAGCUGGUAACAACUUCCCCUAUUGAAAAGAAAAGAAAAGAAAAGGGUCUAGGUUUGGUAACAUCGCUGAAUAUGAUGGCUGUUUUGAUUUGUUGCCAAGGCACAACUACAGAGCCCUUUCCCAAAUUCAACUUUUACACACAUUCAUUCAUUCUUGUUUAAUCUAUUGCAUAAUAACUUUUCUUUUUCUUUCCAUUGAAUUUGGCAAGCAACAAAUAAAUUUUGUUUGGCCUCAAGACCCCACCAAAAUAUAUAGGAGGAAGAGGGCCUGAAGUUGCAUCCACAUAAACUAUUUUGGUUACUUUUGCUCCUAACUAUUCCAUUUUGGUGGUUGGUGAGGAUUCUUGUUGCCUAUUGAUUUUGUGCGAGAUUUAGGCGCGGAGGAGUUCAUUCGUUUUCAUUAGUUAGAAAGUGUUUGGGGCCAUCCAAUUACAGACAAUUCAGAUCUUAUCUGAAGCAAUUUGUCAUACAGUUUACCCACAUCCUGUCCCGUUUACUGUUCGUCGGUGCCGGCUUCUAAAUGCUUGGCACCACCCCGCACCAGACGGCACGCCAUAUAAUUCAACAUUCUACAUGCACUAUAGCUAAAUUCCAACCGUGCAUUAUUUUUUAGGUUCACCAAAUUUCAGACUGUAAUCAUUGUAAGGGCUUCAAAACACUAAAUUAUGGCAUGUUGAAUUAGACUAGAAAGGAACUACAACUGCACCCAACUACACCAAUUCAGAUGGACAUUCCUCUCAAUUUUCUAAAAUUACAAUAAAAUAUAUGAAAAUUUUAAAUAAACUCGUAUGUUAACAUAAAAAGGUAUAAUUAUGCAAAAGAUGUAGCAAAUUUGUUGUUUAUUACUUAAUUUGAUAUAUUGGCCACGUACGUUCUAACUUUUAUAUAUUGGCUACGUAUGUUUGGGGAGUGAUUUGGGUUGGUGUUGUGAGUGGAAUUUGAAGACAUAGGAACUCGGUGACCUUCGAUAGGAAUAGGAGUUUGGUUGUUCCUUAUUUAAGUUGGAAGGUGUUCCUUGGUUGGAAGUGGUAAGGCGCUAACUCUUUAUGUAUAAGGAUUUGACCACCUCUAAAGUGGUUUCCAUUUAUUUAUAUUUUAUUACUGAUAAAAAAAAGGACGAGAUACUUUUUUUAAAAAAAAACAAGAUAUUUCCAUAAUCGCUAUGCAUCAAACUAAUGUUUUGCAUGAAGAGAUGCUCGAUUUUAUCUUUUUCAAUAAUUGGUUAAAAAAGGAUAAAAUAUAUAUAUGAAUAAUACCUAAAAUAAAGCGAUAUUUAAGAGUAUUGUUUUUAAGUUUUAUUCAUUAAUAAAAGGUGCCGGAAUCUGUUACUCAUUUAUCACGCGGCUUGAAUUUAAUUAUUGGUUGACACCAUUGAUGUAAAGAUGAAAGUCAGAAUUGAAUGCUAGAAGAGCUCAUAUAUGCUUUUCAGAAUCUUAUUUCUCAGUUAGUUCUUCUGCUGUUAGGGUAAAAAAUAUGGAAACACGACGAGACAAACUGAUUUUCUCUGAUUCAGUGAAGUGGAAAGAUGAAGUACACGUAUCCCAACAAGGAUCACGUGUGCAUACACUUCAACACAGCAUGUAGUCAAAGUUCUACAACGAUCAGAUAUACAUGUUCUUCUUCAAGAUUUUGUCAUUUGUUUAAAGGAAAAUGAAGGUACAUGCUAUAAAGUUUAUAGUAUCAGUGUUGAAAUUAUAAAUAGAGAGGAGAAACAAUGUGUAGCCAUAGGGCAUAUACGACGAUGAUACGCAAAAAGAAAACGAGAAAUUUGUGGAUAAUUUAGGUUGUUCCUUGUUGUAACCUAACAUAGACGGUAAGCAACAAAACGACACAGGAAUAUUGCAGUGUCGUCGGUGGGCAUGAUAAUAAUUGUGGUGGGUCUGUUUGUGAAAAAAAAGAGGUGUGGGGUAGGAGAAGGAUGGGGGAGGAAAAGACACGAGUGAUUAGAAUAUUUGAAGGUGAAGGUUUUGUAGCCAUUUGUUUACUCUCUCAUACACAGUCAUUGAACCAAUCAACUCACUUAAUGCCUUUCCCAACUCCUUCUAAACCUCUUAAUUCUUCCUCCUAUCUCUUUCUAUAAAUUAAUUCCAAUGACGUGUCAAACACCAAAACCCUAUUAAAUAGAGAGUUAGAAGGUAUUAUCACAAAUUAAAACUCUGAAUUGCAAUAUAAUCAUAAAAAUUUCUGAGCCAUCUUUUCUCUCCUUUGCAUUAUCAUAGAAUUACAAAUAAAAUAAUGCUCGUGUCAGUAUUCACUGUACUAAAUAAUUAAUCAAGACCUGACUCAUCAAGACGUCACUGUGUCUCCAUUAAUAAUCACUAUUAGUUAGAAAACUCCUUAUUAUGUAUGUUUAUGGUAAAUAGAUAUGUUAACGUUGUGGCACUUUUGGGUUUAUUUUGUGGACUAGCUAGAUAGCAAAUAUUAUAAUCAUGUGUGUUACUAAUUAAAUGUUAAAUUACAUAAUUACAUUUAGGAACUACAACUUAAUUUAUAAAUUUUUAAUAAUAAAUUUAAAAUUAAUUUGAGGUUUUCAAAAUUAAAUACAAUGAAAUAAGAAUAGAUCUUUUUUUUUUCAAACCAAUCCAUUCUUUUAGGGUGUGGUUGGAUUAGGGAGGGAUUUGAGGGAGAGGAUUUAGAAUGAUUUGAGAGUAAAGUGAGGUUGUUUGGAUUGGGGUAUAUUAGAGUAGAUUUGUGAGAAAAGUUUAUUGAAGUUUGUAAUGGAUGUGAUAUUGGGAAAGAUUAUUUUAAUUUUUUAAAAUGUAUAAAAUAUAAGUUUACAAAUUUAAUAAAUAAUAAUUUUAAAAAAAAAUUAUUAAAGAAUUUAUUAUAAAAGAAUUUAUUAUAAAAGAAUUUAUUAUAAAAGAAUUUUAAAAUAUAUAUUAGAAUUAAAAUAAUUUAAAAUAAAAAAUUAAUAUUAAAUUAAAUAAAAAUAUACAUUAAUAAUUAAAAUUAAUAUUUUAUUUAUUAUUUAUUUUAUUAUAAUAUGAAAAUUAAUAUUAAUAAUUAAUAAAGAAAUUAUAAAUGUUAUAUAUAUAUAUAUAUAUUAAGAUAUAAUUUACAUACUUAAUUAUAUAAGAAUUAUUAAUUUUAAAAAGAAAAUAGUGCCAUGUCAUCUUUCUUAGCAAAUCUUCUCAUAGAGAAAGAAAGAGAAAAUUUUAAGACAUAAAAAUUACAUCGUUUUUUGUGUUUUUAUUUUUAUUUUUUUUGUUUUUCUAACUUUUUGUGCUCUCCUCCAUUCUCCGCUUUUCCGCACCACGAUACAAACAGACCCUUAAUUUUCACAACAAACAAGUCUUAACAUGAGAUAAUAAAAUGUGUUGUAAGGACGCGUUUUUAUAAAUACAUAUAAGAAGAUUCAAGAUACUUAAAAAAUAAUAUUUUAAUUUUAUAAGAUUCUCUCUCUAUAUAUAUAUAAAAAAAAUUCAUUCUUUAUUUAUUAAAAUUCUUUUUUUCUUUAAAUUUUAUUUUAUAAGUUGGCUAAUUUAUAAUUUAUUCAAAGAGAAUCAUUUCAUUGAUAUAAUAGGCUUCCAUCCAAUUUGUUCUUAGAAUUCUUUAUGAAUAUGUAUAGUCUACCUUUGUAUCGUUUUUGUUAAUAUAUGUGUUUUUGUCUAGUCUCCCAAUAUUUGUGUAUUUUCUUUUUAAUAAUAUUUUUUUCAUAUGAUGACAAAUGAUUGUUGUUACUUGAGGUGUCAAUCUAGCUGAGAUAUCAAGUUGCAUAGUGAUGUCUAACAUGAAAACUUUUAUAAAAAUAAGUGUAAUUUUAUAUUACAAAUAAGUUUUCUAAAGUUUCAAAAAUUUAUUUUAAAAACUCAGCAAAAUAAUCUUGAAUAAUAAGUAUUUCAACAGUAUUUGCAUAUUUUUUAUGAUUAAUGGUAGAUGAUUUAUAAAUUCCUAGUUAUUUUUUAUUACGAGCUCAUACUUCAAAAAACUUGACUUAUUUUGUUUUAGUUUUUGAUAUAUGUAUAUUUUAUGUGCAAUUUUAGUUUUAGUUAUAAUUGUUAAUAUUUAAUUCUCAUAAUUUUGAAAUAUUUUAAAUUAAGGCCUUUAUUUUAAAAUGCAUAUAAUAAUUAAUUCACUGUGAAAGUGAGAAGUGAUAAAGUUAAUUUCUCCUUGCAAUAUGUUCUUGCAAUCUUUAACCAAGAACACACAUGUCUUUGAAGCCUACAUCUGAUAGAUAAUGCAAUUAUUUAGGAUAUAUAAAGCAGUGAUAAACAUUAGUUGUUGUCGAGUUAGGUAACAGUGGCUUGUGACCAAGUUGAGGCAGUAAGGUGAUGGAAGAAGCAAUAUUGGAGUAAGAAGAAGAUAAUGUCUUAUUUAGUGUUUAUUCUCCUUAGAUAUAAUAAACAUAAGUGUAGCUGAAUUGUGAUUCUUGAUUGAUUAUUGAUAUUGUUGUUUUACUUUUAACUUUCCGUGACAAAUUGAGAAUCUUAAAUCUGACCGAGAGGUAUUUUUAGGGUUCGGACCUAAACAUCAAUACUUAGCAUAUUUGAGUGCUAGAGAUAGACUUGAAAUGUUAAUUGUCAUUAACGUCUGAUUGUGAUUUCUAAGUUGUUUUUAUAAGUAUGUGAGAGAUCGAUAUUUAGGAAACAUUCUUAAGAAUUUUAUAUGCGAGAGAUCGAUAUAAAUGAAUUUUCUAUGGGCAUCAAUUUCAAUCAAAGAACUUAAUACUAACAUGCUAAUCAAAAUACAAAAAUACAUGAGAGUGAGAGAGAUGAAACCUAAUCCUUAUUUUUUUUCAAUUGAAGCAACUAAUUCUUUGUUUGUUUUCUUAUUGAUCAAUGUCAACAUAAUCACUUUAAACUCUUCUUUUUAUUGUUUUGUUGUUAUAUUUAACGAGUAUUGUACUCGAUAAUUCACUGUUCCUUGUGGGAUCGAUAUCCGUCCUUAGGGACAAUUAUUACUUUUGACAAACACGGUGCACUUGCCAUAAAAAGUCAUCAGGGGUGUCACAAGAGGGAAACUUUUUGAGAUGGUGUGGUUGAAAGAAUCAAAUCCAGAUUGGGGAGAUGGAAAGGUAGAUGUAUCUCGAUAGCUAGAAGGAUUUGUUUGAUCAAGUCAAUUCUUUUGACUAUCUCGUUGUUCUAUCUUUCUACAUUUAAGUUGCAUGUAGUUGUGUUGAAAAAGAUUGUGAAUCUUCAGAGGAACUUUCUUUGGAGGUGGGGAUCUGAAGAGAGGAAAAUCGCUUGGGCUUCUUGGGAAAAUUAGUUGCUAUAAUGACUAAAUUAUAUAUCAUUUUAGAGACUAAAAUAAUUUUUGGUUUCUAAAUUAGUUUCUAUUAUUGUUAAAUAGUUUCUAAAUUGGUAUCUAAUUAGCUACCAAUGUUUUAACUACCAAUUAUUUAGAUUAUAAAUUUGGUAGCAAAAACUUUGGUAGCUAAUUAGAUACCAAUUUAGAAACUAUUUAACAAUAAUAGAAACUAAUUUAGAAACUACUUUUUAGUCUUUAAAAUAGUUUCUAAUUUAGUCAUUAUAACAACUAAUUUUUUUUUAAUCUCUAAAAUGGGUUCUAUUCAAUGAUUUUAUUGUAGUGUUUAUAUAUAUAAAAAAAUUGAAAGCAUACAAUUCAAAAUAUUAUAUCAAUCAUCUAACCAGAGAAUAUUUAGGAAGGCAUGAUAUAAAAGAUAGAACUUAAUACUAGUAAAUUAGUUGAUUUAUUGCUGAUAAAAAAAUAAAAUAAUUGAUUGCAUAAAGGUAGUCUCCACCACCUAGUAUUGGUCUUCUUCUAUAGUGUAAUUGUUUUCAAUCAAAAAGUUUCUCAUUUUUUUUUCUUUUAAAUUAUCUCUCAUAAAUUAAAUUAGAUCAAACUUAUACUAAUAUAUAAAAAUACAUGUUAUGCAAAAAAUAAUAUUUCCUAACUUAAAAUCUCCUUUCUAAAAUGUUUCCAGAAGCAUAGGACAAUUCACAAUCAUCCUAAUAAUUUUUUUCAAAUUUCCUUUAUUCAUUCUAUUUGAUUAUAACUGUAAUGUUUCUUCUUUAUAUUUCUUUCGAAUCAUAAUUUCUGUUAUUAAAACAUUUGCUUACAAUAAUUUAUCCAAAGUAAACCAAAAGAUAAGGACAAACAUGAUAAANNNNNNNNNNNNNNNNNNNNNNNNNNNNNNNNNNNNNNNNNNNNNNNNNNNNNNNNNNNNNNNNNNNNNNNNNNNNNNNNNNNNNNNNNNNNNNNNNNNNNNNNNNNNNNNNNNNNNNNNNNNNNNNNNNNNNNNNNNNNNNNNNNNNNNNNNNNNNNNNNNNNNNNNNNNNNNNNNNNNNNNNNNNNNNNNNNNNNNNNNNNNNNNNNNNNNNNNNNNNNNNNNNNNNNNNNNNNNNNNNNNNNNNNNNNNNNNNNNNNNNNNNNNNNNNNNNNNNNNNNNNNNNNNNNNNNNNNNNNNNNNNNNNNNNNNNNNNNNNNNNNNNNNNNNNNNNNNNNNNNNNNNNNNNNNNNNNNNNNNNNNNNNNNNNNNNNNNNNNNNNNNNNNNNNNNNNNNNNNNNNNNNNNNNNNNNNNNNNNNNNNNNNNNNNNNNNNNNNNNNNNNNNNNNNNNNNNNNNNNNNNNNNNNNNNNNNNNNNNNNNNNNNNNNNNNNNNNNNNNNNNNNNNNNNNNNNNNNNNNNNNNNNNNNNNNNNNNNNNNNNNNNNNNNNNNNNNNNNNNNNNNNNNNNNNNNNNNNNNNNNNNNNNNNNNNNNNNNNNNNNNNNNNNNNNNNNNNNNNNNNNNNNNNNNNNNNNNNNNNNNNNNNNNNNNNNNNNNNNNNNNNNNNNNNNNNNNNNNNNNNNNNNNNNNNNNNNNNNNNNNNNNNNNNNNNNNNNNNNNNNNNNNNNNNNNNNNNNNNNNNNNNNNNNNNNNNNNNNNNNNNNNNNNNNNNNNNNNNNNNNNNNNNNNNNNNNNNNNNNNNNNNNNNNNNNNNNNNNNNNNNNNNNNNNNNNNNNNNNNNNNNNNNNNNNNNNNNNNNNNNNNNNNNNNNNNNNNNNNNNNNNNNNNNNNNNNNNNNNNNNNNNNNNNNNNNNNNNNNNNNNNNNNNNNNNNNNNNNNNNNNNNNNNNNNNNNNNNNNNNNNNNNNNNNNNNNNNNNNNNNNNNNNNNNNNNNNNNNNNNNNNNNNNNNNNNNNNNNNNNNNNNNNNNNNNNNNNNNNNNNNNNNNNNNNNNNNNNNNNNNNNNNNNNNNNNNNNNNNNNNNNNNNNNNNNNNNNNNNNNNNNNNNNNNNNNNNNNNNNNNNNNNNNNNNNNNNNNNNNNNNNNNNNNNNNNNNNNNNNNNNNNNNNNNNNNNNNNNNNNNNNNNNNNNNNNNNNNNNNNNNNNNNNNNNNNNNNNNNNNNNNNNNNNNNNNNNNNNNNNNNNNNNNNNNNNNNNNNNNNNNNNNNNNNNNNNNNNNNNNNNNNNNNNNNNNNNNNNNNNNNNNNNNNNNNNNNNNNNNNNNNNNNNNNNNNNNNNNNNNNNNNNNNNNNNNNNNNNNNNNNNNNNNNNNNNNNNNNNNNNNNNNNNNNNNNNNNNNNNNNNNNNNNNNNNNNNNNNNNNNNNNNNNNNNNNNNNNNNNNNNNNNNNNNNNNNNNNNNNNNNNNNNNNNNNNNNNNNNNNNNNNNNNNNNNNNNNNNNNNNNNNNNNNNNNNNNNNNNNNNNNNNNNNNNNNNNNNNNNNNNNNNNNNNNNNNNNNNNNNNNNNNNNNNNNNNNNNNNNNNNNNNNNNNNNNNNNNNNNNNNNNNNNNNNNNNNNNNNNNNNNNNNNNNNNNNNNNNNNNNNNNNNNNNNNNNNNNNNNNNNNNNNNNNNNNNNNNNNNNNNNNNNNNNNNNNNNNNNNNNNNNNNNNNNNNNNNNNNNNNNNNNNNNNNNNNNNNNNNNNNNNNNNNNNNNNNNNNNNNNNNNNNNNNNNNNNNNNNNNNNNNNNNNNNNNNNNNNNNNNNNNNNNNNNNNNNNNNNNNNNNNNNNNNNNNNNNNNNNNNNNNNNNNNNNNNNNNNNNNNNNNNNNNNNNNNNNNNNNNNNNNNNNNNNNNNNNNNNNNNNNNNNNNNNNNNNNNNNNNNNNNNNNNNNNNNNNNNNNNNNNNNNNNNNNNNNNNNNNNNNNNNNNNNNNNNNNNNNNNNNNNNNNNNNNNNNNNNNNNNNNNNNNNNNNNNNNNNNNNNNNNNNNNNNNNNNNNNNNNNNNNNNNNNNNNNNNNNNNNNNNNNNNNNNNNNNNNNNNNNNNNNNNNNNNNNNNNNNNNNNNNNNNNNNNNNNNNNNNNNNNNNNNNNNNNNNNNNNNNNNNNNNNNNNNNNNNNNNNNNNNNNNNNNNNNNNNNNNNNNNNNNNNNNNNNNNNNNNNNNNNNNNNNNNNNNNNNNNNNNNNNNNNNNNNNNNNNNNNNNNNNNNNNNNNNNNNNNNNNNNNNNNNNNNNNNNNNNNNNNNNNNNNNNNNNNNNNNNNNNNNNNNNNNNNNNNNNNNNNNNNNNNNNNNNNNNNNNNNNNNNNNNNNNNNNNNNNNNNNNNNNNNNNNNNNNNNNNNNNNNNNNNNNNNNNNNNNNNNNNNNNNNNNNNNNNNNNNNNNNNNNNNNNNNNNNNNNNNNNNNNNNNNNNNNNNNNNNNNNNNNNNNNNNNNNNNNNNNNNNNNNNNNNNNNNNNNNNNNNNNNNNNNNNNNNNNNNNNNNNNNNNNNNNNNNNNNNNNNNNNNNNNNNNNNNNNNNNNNNNNNNNNNNNNNNNNNNNNNNNNNNNNNNNNNNNNNNNNNNNNNNNNNNNNNNNNNNNNNNNNNNNNNNNNNNNNNNNNNNNNNNNNNNNNNNNNNNNNNNNNNNNNNNNNNNNNNNNNNNNNNNNNNNNNNNNNNNNNNNNNNNNNNNNNNNNNNNNNNNNNNNNNNNNNNNNNNNNNNNNNNNNNNNNNNNNNNNNNNNNNNNNNNNNNNNNNNNNNNNNNNNNNNNNNNNNNNNNNNNNNNNNNNNNNNNNNNNNNNNNNNNNNNNNNNNNNNNNNNNNNNNNNNNNNNNNNNNNNNNNNNNNNNNNNNNNNNNNNNNNNNNNNNNNNNNNNNNNNNNNNNNNNNNNNNNNNNNNNNNNNNNNNNNNNNNNNNNNNNNNNNNNNNNNNNNNNNNNNNNNNNNNNNNNNNNNNNNNUUAAAACUUAUAUUAUUUAUAUGUAUCCAGAUAUUUCACAUAAUUAUAAUCCAAACAAUUUUCAAAAUCUGAUUUUGUUUUCUAUUAAAACUUAUAAACUCAAACCCCAAAAUGUUGGUUAACAGUGGUCUAGAACAUAUAUAAUGAUAUUGAUUAGAGUAAGUUUGGGAUUUUUUUUUUGUCAACGUGGGAUGCUAUGUUGCAGAAAGGAUACAGUCAAAUGUAAACGGUCAACGAUGAAUGAAAUGGAAUUUUAAAUUUAAUUAGAGUGCACGAUAAUGGAUAUAAAUCAUUUUUACAUUGUCAUAUAAUUUUUGCAUCCUCAUAUAAUUAUUUAUUAUUGUAUCUAAUAAAAUUUAUAAUAAUUUCUUUAAAAGUUAAACUCAUUCUCCGUUAUAUAAAGUAGGUUUCAGAAUUUGAAGAAUUUGAAGGAGAUGAAUCUAACUUUAGAUACUUUCACUAGUAGAGACCCGUGAUCUUUAUUCAUUAUGACAAUUCAAACACUAUUUCCACAUGUAUAAUAAGCCCAUGUUUGUUUCCAACCACGGAAAGACAGAGGAGCAGAUUUAAGCAGAAAGUACCAAAAAUGAGAUAAUUUCUUUUUCUUUUUGGUAACUUUCUGCUCAAAACAGCGACAAAAGUUUCAAAAAAGCAUACAUAGUUCGAUUACAGGAUAAUCAACUAUGCAUAUAUAUUUUAUUAUAUUUAUUUUAAAAUUAUAAUAUAAUAAAUAUUUUAAAAAAAUAAUAUUAUAAUAGUGAAGAAUAAUUUAAAUUUUAAUAUUUAACAAUUAAUCUAAUAUAAAAAUAAAUUAAUUAUAUAUUUUAUAUUAAUAUAUAAUAAUUAAAUAUUUAUAAAUAUAUUUUAUUGUUAUAGUAAAAUGAACAAUUAAAUUAAAAAAUUAAAAAAUAAUAAAAUAAAAUAUUUUGUUAAUAUAUUUUUUAUAUUAAAACAAUUAAAUAAUUAAAAUGAAAAUAGUAAAAUAUUUAAUAAAAUAAAUAAAUUUUGAUAAUUUGUUUGAAUAUAUUUUUAUUGUAAAAUAUAAUUUUUAUUUAUCAAAAUUUUGUAAUGAUUUUGAAUUUUAAUUUUAAUUUAUAUUUUCAAAACAUAUUUUAACAUUAAAUUAUUUUAUAUAUUAUUUUGUAAAUAUAUUAAUAUGCAAUUAAAUUUAUGCCAUUACAUAAAUCACAUACACAAACUUCAGUAUCACUUCUCAUUCAAAUUAACUCACUCUCUAAAUUCAAACAACUUAAUUCUCAUUUUUUUUACUUCUUUUCUUUUUCUAAUUUUACUCUCCCUUUAAUUGAAAGACACAAUAAGAGUAAUUAGUAAGAAUGUCAAACCACUGAAGUUUCUUUUCUUCCUAUCUUUAAUUUUGAUAUUUGUAAAUGCAACUAAGUAAAUUGUCAUUAUAUUACAAUUCAAAAAUUAUUUAUUAAAAAUCUACAAUAUAUUUAUAUAAUUAAAUAUAUUUUUUAUAUAAUGUACACUUAUGACAUAAUUUUAUACUAAAAAUAUUUAUUUAUAAUAAAUCGUAUUUUACAAAAAAAAAAUUAUCCAGUACAAUAAAAUAAAACUACAAUAGUUAAAGUUUUUUUUAAAAAAAAUUCAUAUUAGGCAUCAAAAAUUAAAAUUAAUUUAAAAAAUAAUAAAGUACUAAAUUGUAAGGUUUAACAUUUGAUACAAAUUAAAACAAACCAACGGCUUAUUUUGAUGAUGUCCAAAAACAAAUUUGUACCCUGUAAAUUAUGAUCACCAUCUAAGCAUGUAUUUUUAAGGAAAAGAUAAAUUUUGAAGGAAAAUAUAUACUUUUUUUCACUUCUACGUAUGUGUUAAAUUAACUAAUAUUUUUCCUAUACAAUAUCGUGGAAGCUUUUAAGAAAAAAAUAUCUGUUUGAAUAGACAAUAAGCCAAGUAUGGAUUACUAGGGGAAUUAGAAAUUGUGUUAUAUUAAAAAAUUGUAUAAAAACUCACACAAUUAAGUGGAGAAAUAGAGAAAGAAGAGAGAUGUAAUCAAAUUUAUUUAUUCAAUACUAGUUUGAGAGGGAAUAAUACAUUUAUGGAAUCUUUAAUCAUUAACAUGAGUAGAAGUCCAACAAUAUUCAGUGAUUAAGUCUAUAAAUGAAAGAGAAAGAGAGUAUUAAUUAAUGUAGAAAUGAGAGAAUUUUUUGGGGGUCUAUAAAAGCUAUUUAUAUUAUUUACUUAUUAUAUGUUAUAUAUAGCCGUGAUUCUUACAUGAUGUAGUGUGAGAAACAGCAUUGAGUAAAUGUUGUGCUAACUUAAUAAAGUUUGGCGUCAGAUUCAGUGUUUCCUAAGUAUAUUGAGAUUAGUGUGACACCAAAAGACCAGAUAAAAAAGUUAAUGAUAAACUAAAAGAUAAUUAAAGCCUAAAAUUUGGGCUAAUGAAUAAGUGCAAUUGGAUUUGCUUGGUAUCGAAGUUGGAAUCGCAAAAAGGAGGAAGAUGGUUAGAUUGGGGUGACAGUUGUAGCCAUGGGGGCAUUGCAUUGAGAUCCAAGUUAGGGUUGAAGGGUUGAGUGGGAAGAGGGUAUAAAAAUAAGCAAGGUAAGGCUUUGGAUUCAAGUCUUCUAAUCUUAUUACAAACUCUACUGUUUGCAGAGACGCACAUGCAAUAUUUUACGUAAAGAAAACCCAGGUGCUCACGUGAUUCAAGCUCACUAAUUGCAAAGCUGCUAUACAUACUUCCACUUUAAGCCUUUGCUGCUGCUUAUGUAUGUAGUUCACUUCAUAUUUCGAUAAACAUUUUCAAUUUUCAAAUAAACAUUAGAUUAGAUUGGACAUUAUAUAAAUAUUCCUAAUCAACUAGUCAAGUGAAAUUAAUUUCUUCUGCUGCAGAAAUGAUGACAACAAUUUCAUCACAUAUUUGUUCUACCAUUAGUGUAUUUUUUUUUUUUGUUACCAUCACUUCCUUUUUCAUUACCUAUGUGUUUUAUAAAUUUUUGUAUCAAUAAAAAGAAUAUAUUUUAAGAGUGUUCUAAUCCUAAUAAAAAGAUAAUACAAUUUUAUAAAUGCAGUUUCUGCACUCAAUUUAUUACACAUAUAUGCUAACAACAUUAGAAAAACUAUAACGGUGCAUAUUGAUACAAAAAUAUUUAACACAUUUAAUAUAGUGCUCUCCUAUACCAACAUGAUAGAUAUAGAAUUCCUGUGAUCAUCCUUAGAAGUUUAUGUAUUAAUCAAACUCCAAGUUGAGUUCUAAAUCCAUCAUUCCUGUAUUUUGUUGACCAAAUUGCUGCACUUGAGACCAUAAACCUUGAAUUGAAGAAAUUAUAUUUACUCAUGUGUCUAACUCAUGGUGUUUGUGUUAUAAGUGGCUUGGAGUGUCGUUUGUAUUUCACAUUGAUCCUAUGUCCAAUUUUGCUCAAUUUAGGUUGAGUCAGACUUCUGACUCGAUUAAUGUUGUGUGGAGUACAAUUUGGGCAGGGGUUGUGAGUGAAAUUUGAAAUCACAAUAAUUUUAUCAUUUUCAAAAGGGGGUGACUGAUGUGUCAAAAGUGUUUGCGUUAAUGCAAGUAAAUGUUUGGUAUUGGAUUUCUGCAAAAUCCCGUUUUGCUUCGUUUUCCUUUUUUGAUUGGUAUUUGAAACCUUUGGCGUGCAUGAGGAUGGUUUCUUGAUGUUUUCAGGUUGUGAUUUUAGUUUAUGCUUUUGUUUGAUUAGGUAGGCGGUUCUAGAGGAUUGAAUCACCCCUGAAAUAGUUCUCAUUUAUUUAUUGUUUAUUGUUGAUAAAAAAAACACCAACCAAUGAACUACAUCGUGCAUACUUAUCUCUCACACUAAGAGAAAACACUCUCACUAUACUUUGGAAGAUAUUUGAAUUACACAUAACAAAGCACUAAUGAUGACAGUUAAUCUCUCAUAUAUUUGCCUCAGAAUAUGAAAACUUAGCAUUACAAAAAACUUAUAAACCAUCUAUUUUUCCUUGUUUAAAGAUAAUCAUGUUUUUACGGUUACAAAUCAUGCUGACAAUAUCUACACGGACACUUUCAAAUUUUAUUUUGUUUCUCAUUCAAAUCCAUUAAAUUAAAAUUUAGAAAAUGUUGCAGCGGGCCAUUAUAGUGAACGAAUUGAGUUGCAACCUAUUACACAGAUGGAAUAAGAUACCUUACAUGUUAAUAGCAGAUGUGAAUCCGUUUUUUGUGCUUGGUUACAUAAUUCACAGAGUAUACCAUGUAUCCCCACCCUACUUACCAAGUCAACCUUUGUUUAUACUCUACCCUUAAUCAACCUCCAUGGCACAUGUGUAGCUGCUGGGGACAAGUUUAUUUUUCAAACUAGGGUAACAACUACAUGUUUAGCACUAGUGCAUUGCUUAUAUGGUUCGCAUAUUUUCAAUCAAGUGAGUUUUUGCAAGGUUUAUUUCUUUGGUUGAGAUGUUUGUUGUUUUAAGUUUAUAAGAAUUAGAUUGGUUAGAAGGGGUUAUGAGGGUCCGUUGUGUUAUGAUUAUUUAUAAGAGUUGAGUCACUAUAAAGUGGUUCAUAUUUAUUUAUUUUUUCUUGUCGUUAAAAAAAGGGUAACAACUACCAUCACUAAAAUAAAAUCAUUAAAUAGUAACUAAAUUUAAACACACAAAAUAGUUAGUCACUCUAUUAACUAAAUUAGAUACUAUUUUAGAAACUAUUUUUUUUUAUCUAAAGUGGUUUUUAUUAUUAAUAAAAAUUUAUAAAAUGGUUUCUAAAAUUGGUAUCAAACCUAGGUUUUAGUUACUAAUAUUUUAAAUUAUAAAUUAGUCUCUAAAAGUCUAAUAGAGACUAAUUUAGAACAUGAAGAAGUAGCUAAAAUCUUGGCAGUUAAUGAUUAGAUACCAAUAUAGAAACUAUUUUACAAAUUUUUAUUAAUAAUAUAAAAUAUUUUAGAUAUCAAUAAUUUUUUUAGUUUAUAAAAUAAUAUUUAAUUUAGUCAAAUAGUAACUAAUUAUUUUUAUCUCUAAAAUUAAUUUCUAUUUAAUAAUUAUUUUUUAAUAAAUUCUUUGUUCAAAUUUGAUUCAAACAUCACGUUGACUUUACAUUAUACCUUUUAUUUUUCUCCCACUUGAUCCAGACAAUUUUAUUUUCCUCAACUCCCGGUACCCAUGAAAAAUUUCUUUCUAGUUUUACAAUCUUCCUCUUUGUUAACAUUUGUAUCAUACUUUGACUUUGGAAUGAGUAUACUAAUGCAUUAACCCAAAUAUUGCAAUAUGAUUGGUUUAUCUUUCGAUCACCAUUAGAUCAUCGCGGAAGAAAAUUUGUGAGAAAUCCCUGCAAAAGAAUUUUCAAAAGGAAAUAUAAAGAAGAAAAAGUAAAACAUGCAUAGAUAAAAAAAAAUCAUCAAUGGUCAAUACGAAGGCACAUGAAAAUUGCCUGAAAUGUUUAAGAUGUGCUGCUAGCUAUGACAUUGUUUUUUUUUUUCUUCUAUCAGCAAUAAAAAAUAAAUAAAUAGAAAUCACUUCAGAAGUCACUACAAGAAAAUCAUGAGAUAAAAACUAAUUUUUAAAUACCAAAAUAAUUAGUUGCAAUAGUAACUAAAUUAGAGAUCAUUUUAUAAAUUAAAAAAAAUUAUUGGUUUUUAAAUUAGUUUCUAUUAUUGUUAAAUAGUUUCUAAAUUGGUAUCUAAUUAGUAACCAAGGUUUUAGAGACCAAAUUUAGAAACUAAAUAAUUGGUAGUUAAAACAUUGGUUGUUAAUUAGAUAUCAAUUUAAAAACUAUUUAACAAUAAUAGAAACUAAUUUAUAAACCGAAUUUUGUUUAGUUUCUAAAAUUGUAUCUAAUUUAGUUACUAUUGCAACUAAUUAUUUUGGUCUCUAAAAAUUGGUUUCUAUUUCAUGAUUUUCUUGUAGUGAGUGGUCCAACCUUUUUACUGGAAUACACAAAAUCAUUCUCCUAACUAGACACGCCUACCAACUUGACUAAGGAACUACCAAAACAAACACUAACAAACUUUAAAGAAUCAGUCUCACACAAGCCAAAGGAUCCAAAACUCAACUAGGAUAGAAAAAAUAAGCAAAACGAGACUUUGCAAAAAUUCAAGACCAUACAUUUACUUGCGCCGAAGCGAAUACUUUUAACACAUUUGUCACUCCCCCAUUAAAUAAAAUUUCACUCACAAUUCCAACUCAAAUUGCGCUUCAAACAUCAUUAACCGAAUACUAAAUAAGUUUUAAGCUAUAAUCCCAAAAAUAAUGAUAUUUAUAAAGAGAAAAACAAGUGGAAAGAGCAAACAAACCUUGGUGACUCUAUUGGAAUAACAAACAAUAAUGAUUGAGCUAGACUAUAUAAUGGUCUUUGUUUUUAUUUAUUUUGUCAUUAACUGAGGUAACGCCGUGAUUUGUAGAUCUCUUAUACAUGAAGCCUUUUCUUAGCUGGAUAUUUAUGCUAUGUUGCCAAAGUUGACAUUCUGUGUGCUUUCAAAUCCUAUAAUAAUACUAAUUCACUACAACAAAAUAAUAAAAUAAAAACCAAUUUUAUAGAUAAAUAAUAAUUAAUUAUUUUAGAAACUAAAUAAAAUUAGUUUCUAUUAAUAAUUUUUAAAUUGGUAUCUAAUUAGUAACUAAAGAUUUUUCUACCAAAUUUACACUACAAGAAAAUCAUGAAAUAAAAACCAAUUUUUAGAGACCAAAAUAAUUAGUUGUAAUAGUAACUAAAUUAGAGACCAUUUUAGAAACUAAAAAAAAUUGUUUCUAAAUUAGUUUCUAUUAUUAGUAAAUAGUUUUUAAAUUAGUAUCUAAUUAGCAACCAAGGUUUUAACUACCAACUAUCUAGUUUCUAAAUUUGGUAGCAAAAACCUUGGUUGCUAAUUAGAUACCAAUUUAGAAAUUAUUUAACAAUAAUAUAAACUAAUUUAGAAAACUAUUUUUUUUAGUUUCUAAAAUGGUUUCUAAUUUAGUUACUAUUACAACUAAUUAUUUUUGUCUCUAAAAAUUGUUUCUAUUUCAUGAUUUUCUUGUAGUGUUAGAAACUAAAUAAUUGACAGUUAAAACAUUGGUAACUAAUUAGAUAAACUAUUUAGUAAUAAUAAAAACUAAUUUAUAAAUCAUUUUUUUUAAUUUUUAAAAUGGUCUUUAAUUUAGUUACUAUUACAACUAAUUGUUUUGGUAUCUAAAAAAACUAAUUAUUUUGGUAUCUAAAAAUAGGUUUUUAUUUGAUAAUUUUUUUGUAGUGAUUAAUGCUACACUUUUUAAUGGUCCGUUUAACUCUUUUGGUAAAAAUAUUAUUUAGUUAAAGUUGAAUGAAAUAACGAUAAUGUACAAAAGAAAAUGCUUGUAUAUUUGGCUUUCUAGUUUUCUAAAAUUAAAUAAUUGUGGUCUACUGCUAUUAAGUUCUUCAAUUUUAAAACAAAAUGUUAAUACACUGGUUACUGAUAACAAUGUUAGUUAAUUAUUUAUACAAAAUAUUAAUCCCAAUGUUUAAUUAUAAAGUUUUAUUAUUGUUAUCACGAAAUAUAUAUUGGUAAUUUUUUGUUAGUGAUUAAAUAAUAUAUAUUAUAUUGAAUUAAAAUUAUUUAAUUUAAGAAAUUUAGAGAACUAAAUGUGAUAUUAAAACUUUUAUACAGGCAAUAAAUUUACGUUGACCCAAUUAUGACGAUUAAAAUUAUAUUAAAGUCAAAUAACAAUAAAAAAACAAGUAUAAUAUUUGUCAUGGCUAUACUAUUUUUCUUGCCUCACUGUUAUAGCGGUCCCAUGACAUAAUAUUCUGAUUUAUUUUUCUUGGCUUAGUGGAUAUAGGUUUUUUUUUUAUAUAUUUUUGCUGUUAUUUCUGAGGGUUUUUUUAGGGUUGUACUACCUGUUGGGUUUAAUAGUGUCAAAGUUCAAGAGGGGUGAAUUGACCUUUUAAAACUUUCUCGCAGAAACAGAGUUUAACACAGUUUACAGAAAAUAAAUCGAUUUAUGUGAAAAUGAACAGAUUUAUUUCAGCACUGUUUUUGUUUGAAAAGCGUUUAUACAGCAAGGUUAAUCACAAGAUUAUGCAGAUAGAUUUUCCAGAUGCACACACACUGAUAUUAGAACGAAAACCAGUGAAACACACAACAGCAAACUUCAAUUUCAAGCAAGUGAUUAAGGUUCGAUUGAUAGCAUGCCAAUUAAUUGAGUAACCUUUACAAUCAACCUGUUCCAGUGACUUUUAACAAAUUAUAAGUGUUCUUCUUGAAACAAAGAGUUUUCCAGAAAUUAAGAACAGUGAAUCACAGAACAGCAAGCUUCAAUUUUAANNNNNNNNNNNNNNNNNNNNNNNNNNNNNNNNNNNNNNNNNNNNNNNNNNNNNNNNNNNNNNNNNNNNNNNNNNNNNNNNNNNNNNNNNNNNNNNNNNNNNNNNNNNNNNNNNNNNNNNNNNNNNNNNNNNNNNNNNNNNNNNNNNNNNNNNNNNNNNNNNNNNNNNNNNNNNNNNNNNNNNNNNNNNNNNNNNNNNNNNNNNNNNNNNNNNNNNNNNNNNNNNNNNNNNNNNNNNNNNNNNNNNNNNNNNNNNNNNNNNNNNNNNNNNNNNNNNNNNNNNNNNNNNNNNNNNNNNNNNNNNNNNNNNNNNNNNNNNNNNNNNNNNNNNNNNNNNNNNNNNNNNNUUGAAACCUACAAGAACUUAGGUACUCUUGCUGAAAAAACCUAUUUCAGCUCACACACACUCUCCAAGAAAACCUAUCAAGAAGAGCGUUCAACCAAACUAUUACAAGAAGUGAAAAGUGAAACGACUACACCUGAUUGAGGAAACAAAGAUCUGCCUUAAACCAGUAGGCAAGAUUGCUAGAACAGUAGCAACACCUCACACCAAGCUUUUGGAACCAAACCAAGAACAAGCACUUUGUGAUUUUCGAAAUCUUUGAAGAACAAAUGUUAAUCCUUUGUAAAGUCUUAAUUCUCUGCUGUAAAACUUGUUUUUACAAAUGUAUGAACGAUGUUUAAACUCAGAAACAAGUUUUCAUUUUAUAGAAAACCAACUUAUAACAGAAUUUUGAAAAACAGUUAAAGUUGUUAUAAAAUGAACAGAUUGAAAACAAAAUGAACAAAUUUAUUUUCAAAAGCAGCUAGAGAAUUUGUCAAGUGAGGAGACUUAGUCAACCAUUCUGGUGCAGAGGUAAAACUGAAAAACGUUUAAGCUAGAUAUGGCACCAGAAACAAAAAGAAUCUAUUCAUUUACAGAUGAACAGAUUUAUUUUUCAAAACGAAAACAGAAAAGCUUAACUAUUUGAAACACAGUCGUUUUGAAAGAUAGAAGACUUAGUCAAAAUACAUGAUGCACAAAAUCUAAUUUUCACAAGACUUAGCCAAGGCAUCAGUGUAAAAAUGAAUCUGUUUAUUUAGAAAAGAACAGAUUUAUUUUUAUGCAGUAAACGUGUUUUUUGUAAAACAUGUGAAAAACAGUUUAAGAAAACUUAUGCUUGUUCUUAUCACAUGGCCAGUGGUUAUGAGGUGAGUUACUCAGCAAAAAACCCACUCUUAGACAACCUCUAAGCACUACACACUUAAAGCAAAGCAAAAUACACAUGAAAUGUACAUAGAAGUCUUUAUCAAACACAAUCUUGAAGGGGCAACAACCAUCUUCAACACUACCGGGUCGAUAAGACGUAGAAGUAAGUAGAUGAUAAACUGCGAUUAAUCAUAAUUAAGUCAGUUUAAUUAUAAAUUAUGAUUAAGGCACAAAUGAACCUUCGCCUGAGUUCAAAAGAAGGUCCAUAAUAGCUAAAGCCUAUAAAUAUCAGAAAGGAUCUAAUAUCAGAGGUAAUUUUCUAAUCUCUAACACACUUAUAUAUUAUACCUGGACUGACUUGAGCGUCGAAGCGUUUCGCAGGUAACACACCUUGUCGUUCUUGGGGAAGGACUUGCAAGACGGAGAGACGCCGAACACAGGAGCGGCAAAGAUGAGAAGACGAAAACUACAGGAGUCGUUAUGAGAGGAACCCGACCUUGUAAGAAUAAGAGUUAUAUAUAUAUAUAUAUAUAAACGAGUUAUAAUAAGAAUUAAAUUCCUUAAAUUCCUGAUAAAAAAUACUAUUUAUCAGGACAAUAAAGUCAAUAUUCUAAAAUCUUAACCAAAAGUUGAAAUUUCUUCCUGCACCCCCAAAAAUUUUUCAUGCAGUCCCAUAAUUCUAAAACUCCUAAACAUUACAAAAUCUGGAAUAUAAAAAUUUUGAUUUUAUGGAUUUUGGAUUGUGCGCAUAUAAAAUUAUAUUUCUGAUUGUGAAAUUUAGAAUAAAAUUUUAUAUUUUAUAUUGCACAAUUUGAAAGACUAUUCUAAAUCUAGGAAUAAGUUUUGAAUUGUACAAUUCAUACUACGUUUACAAUAUAGUUAUAUUUCAUGGUUGGUGGGUGUUGGUGUUAGUGCUACUUUUGCACCUUCUCUUUUGUGUAAUUAAAAUCUGUUUAGGAUUCCCUUUUCUUGAUACAAGUGUUAUUCGGAAUCUCUCACAAUAUUACAAGCUCUUCAAAAUCUCUCACAUAUUAAACGCUAUAGACACUCUUCUUCUUUCUCACAAUAGACGCUCCGUAACAAUCUUCUUCUUUCUCACGAUAGAUGCUCCAUGACUCUCUUCUUCUUCCUCACAAUAGAUUCUCCGUGACACUCUUCUUCUUCCUCACGAUAGACAUUCCCUCUUAUCAUGAUGUGUAUAUUGCAAAGAAGAUUGUUCCAUAUAUUCAAGAAGAUGAAAAAAUCUGGUUGCGGCGAACCUAUUAAAAUAUUGAGAGGAUUCCCUUGGACAUUGACAUUUACUACAAGAACACCGAACUAUCAAGACGAAGAAGAUGAAAAGAAGGUGUUGUUGGUUUUUUUAUUAAGGGUAAAAUAGAAUUUUCAUCAUCCUUAUGGUGGUGCAGGAAACAAAUUCCCCAAAAGGUUUGUCAAAAUUUAUUUGUUUUGGAAGCCCAAAUUAGAAAGGGUUAUGUAGGCUUCAAGCUUUGAAAUUAAGGAUGUUUCUUCCUGCUCCCUAUCAUUCUUCUUCGGGCACCCAUCAAAAUCAUGAAAUGACGAAAAAAUUUCUUUUAAAAAACCCAUCCGAAUUAUUUUGAUUGGACUAGGAUCAAUUCAAAUCAAGAGGCUUUAAACCAAAAAAAGCUCAAUAAAAGAGAUGAAAUAUUCGGAAAUUCAAUAAUUAAAUUAUAACUUGUAAAAUAUCAGUUUACACUAAUUUUUUUAAAGAAAACAACCGAUCAUAUAUAUAAAGGAAAGUAAAUUUAUUCUAAUAGAAAUUCUAAAGUAAUUAUUUUUUUCGUUAUUUACUUUUUGAAUUCAACAAUUAAAUGAAAAUAAAGAAGGGAGAAUAUAAAUAUAUGAUGAAGCAAAGUACUGAGUACUGAGGCAAAAGUAGUACGAAAUAUGGCUGGGGUUUUAUGGGUAAUCUUGUGGACCAAUUAUUGAAUCACAUGAGUUGUCCUCAUUAUUGAUAAUCUUGACUUUGGGGUGGGUGGUACUCCUUUAUUUCUCAUCUUCAUCAAUAUUUUAUUACAUAUUAAAUAUUUAAUCAUACUUUUUUAUAAACGAAUGCAUGUUUUUAUUUAUAGUGUUUAUGCAAUGUUAUAUAACUUUCAUUAAGAAUUUCGUAACUGAUUUUAAAAUUAUGAUUCUGUUUACUAUGUUUAAGGAUAAUACUUGUAAUUCUUUUUAUUUAAGUAAAUAUCUCCCUAUCUCUCCCCUUUUUUCACUCGCAUAACCCUCCCGUGAUUUGUAUAAUAACGUAACCCCAAAUAUUCAUUAAUGACCUCUCCUAAUUUCUUAUACUGUUAUAUAUAAAUUUUAGGAAGUUUAUGUGCAAUUUAUUUAGUUUUAGUCAAGAAAGAUUAUCUUAACUAUAGUAUUUAGUUGAACCGAGAACACUGAUUUCGAAUUGAAAUAUUCUAUCUAUUUUUUUUAUUUUAUUUUACACACGCAUGUCUUCUCUCCUCUUUUGUAUUUGAUUAGUUCGUAGUUUCAUUUAUCCAACUCAUUUGUCUCCCCCUCUUAACAAAUAAAUGAGAUUUUUUUUCAUUAAUUUUAGAAAUCAAAAUUUGACCCAUUACAUAUAAAAAAAAUAUUUACAAAAUAUAAGUAACUAAAGAUAUUAUUUGAAUGCAGAAAUCUUCCUAAGUGCAUUAUAUUGAAUUUCUUUUAGAUGUUAAAAUAUUACAUGCUUCUACUUGGGAGAUGGAAUCUAAAGAACUAUUGAAGUCUUCUUCUCCUUCCUUCGGUCGGUCGGGUGACAGGGCGGUGAAUUGGGAUUCUUCUCGUCCUCCUGCUUCUCCUUCGGCACUCGGUCUCGGGUGAACACCGGAUGGUGGAGGUACCUGCGAAGGCACUCCGACGCUCAAGUCAGUAAAGUGAGUGGUCAGCUCUCUCAUGUAGGUGAACAGUAAUAAAUGGCAUACCUUACUCCUUGGGAUGCGUGCUAUUUAUAUUAUUCUAAUGGGUCUACCUUGUUGGGUUCGUUUAUCGAGGUGGAUACCGCUUAGGGUUGCAUUACCUAAUUCUUAAUGAUGGAUUAGCUUUACUGAUCUUGGUUUGAGCGUUAAUGAUAAUAGGGGUCGGCCGUCGGCCAAGUUAACUUGUUGUGUGUCGGCCCUCGGCCAGAUUUCCAUGGUCUCGGCUUUCUCGGCCAGGUCUUCUAAGGUCUCGGCCAAGUAGGUCGUCGACCUCGUCGUCUCGGCCAAGUCUCUCAGGUCUCGAUCAGGGUCUUGGGUAGGUUGAGCAGGUCUCGAUCAAUCACUUGGGUCUUGGAUCUUGGGCAGGGAGAUCAGGGUUCGGCCUCGCCCAUACCAGUACACUACAAGAAUGUAAAAUUCAUAAAGAUUAACGAGUAUGUACAUUGCCAAACUUGUUUUUGAAAUUAAGAAGAAUAUAUAAACAGUAUUAAUUUAUUUAAAGUUAUACCAUAAAUAAAUUUAGAAAAUCUUUGAGAGAAAAGUAUUUAGCUGAAACCAUUUUUUGGGUUCUACAAAAGGUAUUAAUUGCUACGUGCUGAAAAUGAAGCAUAAUUUGAAAAGGCAAAGCAGGUGAUACUCUUGGUUUUUUGAGCUUACCCCUACAGAGCUUGCUAUCUAAUGGCUUACGCUACUUUUGGUUCAACUUUCUCUUUCACCACUUUUUGUUCCUUCUCUAUUCCUAUAAAAGAAACCAAUUAUUUAUUUAUAUUUCCCUUUUUUUGGUAAUGUUUCUUCCUCUUAUAUAUGCCAUUUAUUAUUAUUUUUUUCUGUGUAUCUUUCUUAAGUGAUUGAUGCUCCUCAAUUAAAGUGAUCUUAAAUUACAUGUUUUCUUCUUUUCAUGAAUAGAGAUAGUUUUGCAUUCUUUUGGGUUUAUAGAUAAUCAGAGACGGUAAUAAAAUAAGAGAGAAAUAAAUACACAAAAUAAUUAAAAUUGGAACAAAAAAAUAAAAUUGAUAUUUUGUUGGUUCUGAUUGAAAUUUGCACUAUUGUUCAGUUGCAGUUGCUACAUGCUCCUAAAAGUUUGAAUUGCUGAAUCUUUUUUUUUUUUUACUUUUAUAAUAACUGAUAAAAGUACGCAACAAUUUCUAAUUAGAUGGUUAAGAGUGUAUAAAAAAACUAUAUUUCAUACAAAAUGUUAAGAAUACAUUUUUUAAUGUACUUUUUAUAAUACAUUAUUAACUGCUCACUAGACAUGAUUAAAAAUACACAACUAUGUUUUACUCCUUAUUAAAUAUAUCUCAUGGUAAUUUUAAUAUCUUUUAAGACAUUUUAAGUGAUAAAAAAGUGUCUUACAUUAUUCAAAAAUUCGGGUGAACAAUAAUAUGAAUAUUUUCUUUCUUUAAUCAAUCAAAAUGUUUUUUUGAAUAUAAUAUUGAAGAAUUAGACACGGAUAAUAUUUCAAAUUUGAUUAUGAGUAUAAUCUUAGUUGAAGUAAGAAGAUUAUUUGAAGAGAUUUAGUAUAUGACUUUUUUUUUAUUGAAUACUUGGAAGUAAUGAGAGGAUUAAUAAGAGGUAUCUUGUUAAGUAAAAGUGUGUGUAGUUGCAUACAUUUCACACCACAUGUCGACAUUCCUUUGGCUUUUUUACACCUCUCUUUCUCUCACUGUCCCUCUCACAUUCACAUCGACUUUGACCUGUUGCCAGCCACCGGCAUCUCUUUUAUCUCUACUCCAAUGGCGACCCCACCCCUUCACUCUCUUCAUCCAUCAUCUUCAUCUUCUAAAACCCUCUUUUUCUCACCACAAUAAGCUUAAAUAACCUUUCCUCUCCUUUCAUUUCCUUCUUUUCCUUCCCUCAAACCCUAAUCCACUCCUCCUCGUAAUUUACGCCUUCCUUUCCCACCCCUAAUAUUAUGCAUCAUUAUUAAGAUCUAUAUGCAUACUUUCCUUUUUCCUUUUUCCAGAAGCCCGCUUUCCCAAUUGGAUUUCGUGAAAACUUUAUCUCCAUACACGUAAUUUAGUGUUCAAGUUCCACUCUUCUUAUACUAUUUCAAACCAUUUCUUCUUUAGUGUUUCUUUUUUUGUUCAAGCAAUGGAUUCUGGUAACAGUGGAAGCAUCUCUUCUAGCGAUGAAGAAUACGAUUCAUCACACGCUGAUCCAUCCUUCCUCAAUCAUUUCGGUUCCAUCUCCCACCCCCAACCAUCCCUUGUUCCUUCUCACCCCUCAAUGUUUGAUCUCUCCUCAAGCUACCUCCAUGCUCUCUCACAAUCCAACCCAAACCAAAACCCCCACAAUUCCUUGUUAAACAUGAAUUCCCAUGCCCAAAGAUCUGAGCCCAAUUGCACUCUCCCUGAAAGCCUGCCAUCUUCUUCAUCAGCUACACCAACAAUAAACCAAUGCUUGUCGGGUCCUCAACCCCUUGGCCACGACAACAUUAGUGCAAGACAACUCUCGUCACCACCAAAAACCAGCAACCUCGUACGCAACUCCAAGAAACGAAGCAGAGCUUCAAGGCGUGCACCCACCACCGUUCUCACCACCGACACCACCAAUUUCAGAUCCAUGGUUCAAGAGUUCACUGGAAUCCCUGCACCUCCUUUUUCACCUUCCUUCUCCCGCCGCCUCCCUCUUCGCUCAAACUCUUUGCUUUCAACUUCUUUAAGGUCCUCGUUACACAACAACACCACCAUCAAUCUUUCUCCUGAUAAUAACCCCAUUAACUACCAACUACUUCCUGAUCUAUCUUUACCCUAUCAGACCCCAGAGAAUAUCAUGCAACACCACCCUAUUCCCACAUUCCACCCCUCUUAUUCUCUUCAACCUCUUGUCCCUGCAGGGUUUGGUGCAAAGUCUUUAUUCAUGCCCGCACUUGAUGCGCAUGAUCUGGUGGUUGCACAGGGUCAUGAACACGUGGUAUCUGAGGGCAUGCUUCUGAGGGGUGUCGGUGACGGUGAUUGUAGAGAUGGUGGCAACGUUGGAGGGGGGAGAAGAGACUCGUUUAGGUGCUUGGAUGGGAACAACUAUGGUGGCUGCAAGCUCAACAUCUCGGUUUCUGCGUCGAGCAGCAUGAACCACGAGAAGAACUUGGAUAAUGGUAAUUCCCCUAGGGAAGGUGCCGUGGAAGCGUGGAUUUGUUCUUCUCAUCAAUAGGAUCCCGCGUGUGAGAGAGUAAACAGUAUACUCAACAGGUGAAUCAUUGCAGCGUGGAAUUUCAUACACUGCAAUGAAUUAAGAGUGUCAUGAUGAUGAUGUUGAUCCUAGUGGUGUAGUGUUGGUGGUUAGCAUUUGCAGCUAUCAUUUUUUCUUUUGUUUUGUUUUUUGCUUUAAUUUUUUUUAUAUUGUUGAAAGUAUAGGUAGAUAGGGUGAGAUUAAUUUAAUUACAUAGUAUAAGGAGUAUACUAUAUAUACAUAUACUCCUGUUAUUUGUAUGUACUUUGAUGCUCGUGUUAUCUUUUCUUUAGUGUUGGGAUCUAAAACUAAUAUUAUUAAUGGAAUAUUAGUUUCCCCAACCACAUGAUCGUACGCAUGAUUAGAUCCCGUUAUUUAAUAAUAUCUCUAUACUAAAAGUAUAUAUAAUGAUAAUCUUAUUAUGAAUAAUAAUGAUAAUGGUGAUGAUAAUUUAUCAUCUUCAUUAGGGUUGCAGAGAGACUGUAACUAAAAUACUACUGAUGAUGAGGAAAAAAUGUAUAGCUCAGUAAUGAAAUUAUUUGUGCUUUCCCUUAGUAACUAUGACAGUAAAUGCCAAUAAAAAAAACUAUGACAGUACUGUGAGAUAUACCAUAAAAGAUAUAGUCAUGCAUUUCUUUUUUAACAAGUUGAUUUUACCAUAAAAGUUAGAAAAAAAAACCUAGUACAGGGUGUGCUAAAGUCCAACGUAUAAUGUCUCAUAAUUUUAUAACAUACGUGUGAUAUAGAGUGCAGUUGUUGUUAUAUAUGGUCAUCAGUCAUUAGAAAUGACUAAAAUUUGUUUAAAUUUCAAAAUUAAGUUAGUUCAAAUGGAGACAAUUUUAUACUGUAAGGAUUAACUACUUUGUAAGUUGAUGUGGUAGUCUCUAAAGUAUUGUAUUUAACCUAAGAUCAAAUCUGAAACCGAAUAUAUUCUGAUACGAGACUAAAAAUAAAUUGGAUUUAAUUAAACUUUUAGAAGGCUAAUUUAAAGAAAAGGUUCUUUAUAAUGAUUGUUAAUUAGCUUCGUUUUUAGUCAUCUUGGCAUUAUUCAAUAAAAAAAAGUUAAUUGCAUUUGCAUGCGAGAGAACAUAAGGUGUUAACUAUAUUACAUGAAUAUUUUAAAAUUUAAACAAAUUAAAAUAAAAAUUUUCAGAAGAUAAUAGAAAUAGAAGAUUCAUUAUUAUCAUUGCCAAUUUAAAUAGAUUAAAGUAUAACAACGUUAAGAAAUAAAUCAUGAAAAAAAUUAAAUCAAGACUGAUCAUUUUUAUAAAAAGGGUAUAUCAAAAUUCAAAACAUUAAAACUAAAUUCAAACUAGGAUUAUUUAUGGCUAUAAGAUUCUUCAAUUUUAAUUUAUUUAGAACCAAGGACAAAAAGUAUUAAGAUUAAAAAAUAAAAGAAAAUAAAAUUUAAAUUUAAAAAGUAGUAUUGUAAAGAAAUAAAUAGCUAUACACUGGAAAAAUAGAAUUAAAUAUUUUAAAAGUAAAAGACCUUAAAUUAUUUUUACAAAUCCCAAGCAUCUUUUGUUAGAGGCAAUAUGUUGAAAUUGAAUAAAAUAAUUAUGUAUCAUGGAAUUCUUUCAUCAAAAUUGAACGGUUGCAUAUUCAAGACUCCAAAAAUUCUAAGUCUGAGAUUACUAAGCCAAAUCCGUUCACAUAUUUAUUAGUACAAAAGAGAUUACAUGAAUCAAGACAACGAAAACAAAAAUAUUUUUUAUUACAAAAAUAAUAACUCAAAGGGAUAUGGAGAUUAUAAAAUCUUGGACGAUUGAUUAUACCGGUGGAACCCUUUUCUACUUAUUGCUUUGGAAAACAUAAAAAAAAAAUUAAGAAGCCUACGUUGUUUGUAAACAAAGAAAUGGUUGUUGGAUUGAGUUUUGCCAUGAACUACGAAGCAGCUAUGAUAAUGGUAUUUAGAAAUGAAAGUAAAAAAUAUUUUAACGUACUAUAAAAUAAUAUGGCUUCCAUAUUUAUUUAUAAUUUAUAAGUUGUUAUAUUUUAAUAAAAGUGUGUUUGCAUGUUAGCAUUUAUUAACGGUAAUAAGGACUCUCUUUGUGAUUGUGGUCCAAAUGCCUACACUUUUUUAAUUUGGCAACAGAUACUUUCUUGGUUUAUGUAGGGAAGCCAGAGGAAAACGAAAUCAAUCUUUAUCUUCUUUUUCUUCUUGAACAUACACACGUUAUAUUGAAACAAAACUAAUAUAUGAGUAUAAUUCAAUUCACUAAGUGGAUUAAAUUAGAAAAAUUGUUCUAUUUACUCUCUAGUUGUGAUUUGUUAAGACUAAAAUAUCUAUCACCUACCUCAUCGAAUUUCUUAAUCGCAUAAGACUAAAAUAAAAUUUGCUUUCUAAAUAAGAUUCAUGGAGCUUAUUAUGCUAAAUUCUUAGUUUUUUUUUAUCAGCAAAAAAUAAUAAAUAAUAUAUGUAUUCUGGGAAUACCUCAACUCUUAUACAAGCAAGUCAACCUAAGACUUCAAACUCUCCAACACAUAAGACAGAGUUUAAAAUCAAAACAACCACCCAAGUCUUCCACUACCCCCACCUAAUACUUUUUGAUAGAUUUCAUGUAAACCAGCGGCUCAAGACACCAGUCAAAGUAAGAAAAACUAGCUAGACGAAUUUUGGAGGAAACUCACGACCAUACCUUCAAUUUCACUAUUGUGAAGAUUUCAAUGUGGUCUACCUCCCAUUCCUAAAAUCUUCUGAUUUCUAUGUCUCCACAAUUCGGUUUUUUGACCAUGAUGGGGUUAUUUUUUUUUGUUUUUACCAAAAUGGGGUCUGUUUUAAAAAAAUUACAAAUUUAGGCAAGUCGUGCCUAAUUGGGACGACUUCAUAUGCAGAAGUCGUCCCAAUUAGGCACGAUUUCUGCCAUGUCAUACUAAAGUCGUGCCAACUUGGUACGACUUCUGCCCUGUCAUACUGAAGUCGUGCCAAGUUGGCACGACUUCUGCCCUGUCAUACUGAAGUCGUGCCAAGUUGGCACGACUUCUGCCUUGUCAUACUGAAGUCGUGCCAACUUGGCACGACUUCUGCCACGUCAUACUGAAGUCGUGCCAACUUGGCACGACUUCUGCCACGUCAUAAUUUUUUUAUUUUAUUGUUUAUAUAUUGGGUAGUAAGUGUUCUGUAAAAUCAUUACUUCUCAAACUAUUUAUUUUGCAAAUUCACAACAAUAAUUCUCUAUUUAUUUUCCAAAUAUUCACAACAAUAAUUCUCUAUUUAUUUUCCAAAUAUAAUAAUUUUUCAUUUAUCUAUUUAUUUCCAAAUUCAAUAACAAUUUUCUUCAUUUUUUAAUUAAUCAAAUAAUCAAGUUAUUGUAUUACAUUACUGUCAAACAUGAUACAUACACAAUUAUCCAAUUUUUUGUUCCUUAAAACUAACACUCUUAAAAAAUUAUGUAUCAAAUUAAUUUUUAACAUUACAUAACUUACUAUCCAAUAUAUAAACAAUAAAAUUUUAAAAAAAAAUAUGACGUGGCAGAAGUCGUGCCAACUUGGCACGACUUCUGUAUGACAAGGCAACCUCACCUUCUCAUAAGAUUUAGACCACACCUGCCAAGUUACUCUAUGUACAAAAAAGAUAUGACGUUGUUUCCUCUACCUCCCCAUGUAGACUACACAUAUUGCUUCCCGAACUUAUCCCCUUUCUCUCUAGAUUCUCUUUAGAUGCAAUCUUAUCUUCCAUGACCCUCCAUGCUGCGAAAUGAGAUAAUGGUAGUGCUUUUAUCCUCCAAAAACAUUCAUAUGUAGCUACCUCAUCCCCCUGAACUUCCUC
rnacentral:lncRNA from 1 species